UCACAUCUUCUUCAAUAUUUGUAUGGUUGUCCAACUUCAGUACUAGCCUUGUUCAACUUGGCCUCUCUCGCAAUAACUUCACGGGUUCACUUCCUGAUGUUUGGAAACAUGAGCUCUCUUGCCUAUCUUGAUCUCUCUUAUAACCAAAUUGAAGGAGGGAUUCCACAAUCUUUUUCAGAGUUAUGUAGUUUGCAAGCAUUGCUCUUUCGCAACAACAUUUUGAGUAUACAACUUUCCAAGCUGGUUCAAACAUUAAUGUCUACAUGCCCUGAUAAGAACUCAUUAGAGACUCUAAGCCUCUCAAACAAUUCUCUUUCUGAAUCAAUUCCUAAUCUCAAAAACUUUUCGUCAUUGAAAAAAUUAGACCUCUAUGACAAUCAAUUGAGUGGAACAAUACCUGAAAACAUUGGCCAUAUGUCUUCGCUCGAGACUAUCCGCCUUGGCAUGAAUGCUUUGGAAGGUGUGGUUUCAGAAAGCCACUUCUCCAAUCUCUCCAGAUUAAUAAUUUUGGAUUUGUCCUCUACCCCACUAGCUUUAGACUUCAAUUCUAAUUGGGUUCCUCCUUUCCAAUUGGUUUCCAUAUAUUUGGGGUUUUGCAAGAUGGGUCCACAUUUUCCAAAAUGGCUUAAGACUCAGAAAAAUUAUUUGGACCUUGAUAUUUCUAAUGCAGGCAUUUCUGAUAUCCUUCCCAGUUGGUUUUGGGGCAUACUGUCUCAUGAUCAUGAAAUUGAUUAUAUAGAUCUCUCCAACAACCGAAUUAGAGGAAUAAUUCCAAAUUCAAGAUUUGAGUUUACAUCAUCUUCCCCUCCUGAUGUGAAUUUGAGUUGGAACCAAUUGGAAGGUUCAAUACCUUCAUUCCUUUCCAAAGCAUCAUCUCUUGACCUCUCCAACAAUAAGCUUUCAGGGCCAAUUUCUUUCUUGUGUCCAAAGACUCCAAACGAGGUUAGUUCAUUAUACUUUCUUGAUCUCUCAAGCAACAAUUUAUAUGAAAAACUUCCUAAUUGUUGGACACAUUUUGAAAAUCUAGCCAUUCUAGAUUUGAGUGACAAUUCCAUUUUAGGGAAAAUUCCUACCACAAUGGGCUCUUUAUCUUCUAUUCAAACACUGAAACUAAAUAACAAUAGGUUUGUUGGGGGAUUGCCUUCAUCCUUGAACAACUGUACAAGUCUCAUAGUUUUUGAAGUUGGGGAAAAUAAAUUAUCAGGUUUGAUACCUGAAUGGUUAGGGGUUGGACUUCCAAAUCUGGCUAUCCUUAUCCUCCGUUCUAAUCACUUCUAUGGAAGCAUUCCAUCACAAUUGUGUAAUAUGAGAGGCAUUCAAAUUCUAGAUUUCUCAAUGAAUAACAUCUCGGGAAGUUUACCCAAAUGCCUCAACAAUUUGACUAAUUUGGCUCAAAAAGGAAGUUCAAGUCUAACUCUCACUCAUACCUAUAAUGUAACCUUGAUUGGCAAGUGGGAGUAUUAUGAAGACGAAUCAUCCUUGAUAUGGAAAGGCAUAAUGUCCAAAUACAAAAGUACUUUGGGGCUUGUAAAGAGUAUUCAUCUGUCGAGCAACCGAUUAACAGGGGAGAUUCCUAGUGAAAUCACUGAUCUUGUGGGGUUGGUUUCCUUAAACCUAUCAAGAAACAACUUAACAGGUCAAAUAACUCCAAAGAUCGGGAAGUUGCAGUCUUUAGAUUUGCUUGAUUUGUCAAACAACCAAAUACAUGGUACAAUUCCAACAAGUCUCUUUGGAAUAUCUGGCCUUGGUAAGUUGGACUUGUCCAACAACAACCUGUCUGGAAAAAUUCCCAUGGGGUCUCAGCUUCAAACCUAUGAGCCUUCUGUUUUUUCCGGAAAUCCUCUCCUUUGUGGAAUUCCACUUGAACAAAUGUGCUCUCCUGAGGAAACAACUCCAGUGGAGCAACCGGUGGUUGAGAAUCAAGAUGAAGAUAAUGAUGAAUUUAUAACACUGGGAUUUUACGUGAGUUUGGGGCUUGGAUUUGUCGUUGGAUUUUGGGGAUUUUGUGGGAGUUUGAUAUUCAUCAGGUCAUGGAGAUACACAUACUACAAGUUCUUGAACUGUGUAUACGAUUGGCUUUAUGUAAGAGUGGCUUUGAUCGGGCGACGAAGAAUGAUUGAUGUGUAAAUUGUAAGUACUCUUCCACACAACAAAUAAUAUUACUGCAGUUUUUAGUCAUUUAAUUCGGGAUGCUAAGUGCAAUUUUAUACAUAUAACUAUAGUGUAAUGAUAUGGCAUUAUUGCCAUCAUGAUUAAUAUCAUUUUGGUCACUCUAAUUGUCUUUAAAUUUAUGACUAAUAUAUGCUGUGGUUUCUGAAUCUCUUUAGCUCGUGCAUCUACCGUUCGUAACCAUGAUCCCUUUCAGCUGGAGAAGAAGGAGAUUGAAGAGUGCAAUUUGAAGUUAUUGUUUAGUGGAAGUGUUUAGAUAAUCUUUGAGGGGUUAGGUGUUUUUAAUCCCUUUUACUAAGUUAGAUAAUCUUUGAGGGGUUAGCUGUUUUUAAUCCCUUUUACUAAGUGUACCAUUAUAUCCUUUUCAAUAAAUUUCCUUAAGAAACUUGCAAGAACUUAUUAAUCAAGUUACAGAGAGAAAAGCAAACAGAUAAUUCAAUCAAUAUAUCUAACAUCAUCAAUUGCUGGUUCUUUAGGGUUGAGAUCAGAUCAGACUGCAUUAUCUUGACAACGGACAAAAGAAUUCGAAUCAUUAUAUAAUCUGAUUUGAGUAAGAGCUCACUGUUGGUUGAAUCGACUAUAUUACCAUCACUCACCAACCGAGUGUACCAACAGGGCAAUUCAGCAUGACAGAUGAACCAUUGGACUGGCCGAGCAGGCAGACCAUGUUUGAUAGCAUUGAUGCAUGCAGCAUAUCAUUAACGCGAACACAAAGGAAACUGGUUCUUCACACACAGCGCCCCCAAUAAUGCAUUGGUCCAGCUACGCAAUGUUAGAAAUAUUCGGACCAUAUUUUGUAAAGAUUCAACAUAUUUUAGCAAAUUGACUGGUAGCAAGCAGUGAUAAUGCAGAGCAUCAAACUGCUACUCAUAUAUUAAGUAUCAUACACACCUCUUUCGUGAGAACAGCCUCUUCAUUUGCUACAGUGAAUGCAACUUGAGUAUCUGUUACACAUGCGGGAACUGGGAUGACACAGAAAAGUCAAGUGAGUAUAACAUAUUCAAGAUGUUCCAUAUGAACAUUUAACUAUGAAAGGCAGAAAUUCAGCGAGAAAACAUCAUUGCAGUUUAGCACUGAAAUUAGAAGUUCUAGGAAUUAUGAGAACAAAAAUGGGGCAAAUUCUGAAUUUGUGUGCGGAAAUCAUUCUCAGUUUUUAUUUUGUUACUCUUCCAUAUACAUUUUUUUAAAAGUCCUCCCCACCACCCUUCCUACACCUCUGUCAUUUCUCCUUCCUCCCCGAUAUUUCCCCUCUAUAUCUUACCCAAAGAAAAAAAAAUUGAAACUAAAAAAUAAAAACGAUCGAAUUGGUUAAAAACGGAAUAUCCUUCAACUGUUUUAUCCCUUCUUUUGUGUGUAUAACUUGAUCAAUAACUUGUUCAGUACUAGAAGAGAAGUCUGUUGGUAGUUAAGGGCCACUACCAAAGGGUUUUGGUCCAUUAAUUUCCCCAUUACAAUGACACUUCCUAUUCGUCCACAGAAAAAAGAAGAAAAAUUCGAUUUUACUCUGUUGUUACCACUAUCUUUAUGAAAUAUUCAAUUAGUAAGUCAAAUCAAUACCUAGUUAUUCGAGUUGUCUUUGUCUAAUCUAUGAAGUGAGAUUUCCGCACUCCCAUUAUUCAAUUGUUAUUGAAUGAUAUUGACAGAAUUUGCAGUGUUUUGUAUGUCAAUCCAGUCAUGUAUGAACAAGUGACUCAGCUUUGACCUUUAACUACUACAACUGUAAGGCAUACUUUUCUUCUGUAAAAGCUUUUUUAUAUUUGUCAAGAUAUCAGAAACUGGGCAGAAUUCCAGCAAGCCUUGCUCGGAUAGAUCCUUUUCGUUUCUUGGGCUUGUCAUACAACAACUUUUAUGAAAAAAUUCCAAUAGGCACUCAGCUCCAAAAUUUUGAUCCCUCUGUUCUGGCUGGAAAUCCACAACACUGUGGACCUCCACUUCAAAAAUGUGUGCUGAUCAACAGGAAACUGUGCUCUCUAGUGAUGACGAAGAAAAUAAUGAGCUUAUAACACGGGGAUUUUAGUCAGCAUAGGGCUUGGGUUUAUUGUUAGAUUUUGGGGACUUUGUGGUGGUCUGAUUUUUGUCAGGCCAUGGAGAUACUCGUACUUUAGGUUCUUGAAUGUUUUGAGUGGUUGGUUUUAUGUGAGGAUGAUUUUGAUCAAGCGACACUAAGCAAAGGUAUGUAAAUAUGAUUUUAUAUUUCUUCUUAAAUUAAGCGAUAUGCAUCUCUUCUUAAAAUCUUCCUGAUUAAUUUGGCUGUCUUCUCUCUCUCUCUCUCACCCACCCUCCCUCUUCGGAUCUGAUCUUCCUUUGUCUGCGAGAGAUGCGACGGUGACGGAAGACAAGAUAGUUAGUAUGGCAAAAAAAAAAAAAAAAAAAGGCCUAGACCACCUAGAGAGCACCUAACUACUACCUGAUAAGAAAUUAUUUCAAUAUAGACAUAUGAUAAGAACUUAUUUCAAUAUAUGACAAUCCCCCCUCAAAAGAAGUGUGUGGCAACUGCCAAUGGUUACUCCUAUUGUUGGAGCAGGAAUAGUGUGUCUUGCACCCUCUCUCCCUUUACAUCAUUGUUUAUUGGUUCCGUCAUUGUCUUAUCAUCUAUUUACUGUACCACAAGUUAUGAAAGAAUUGAAUUGUGUUGUAUUAAUGUAUCUACUAUUCUAUGUACUUCAGGAUAUUCAGACCAAAGAGAUCAUUGAGCAUGGCACUAAGAGAGAUGUGAUAUACUAUGCGGAUGAUGUCAUUUAUGGAAGGGCUAAUUUGGUUCAUACGUCUCAUGACAGUAAUCUACAGAAGAUAGGGUUGUUGCAUCACCGAUUGGAACAUGCAACUUUUGGGUAUUUGAAGCAUAUGGUACCCAGUUAAUUUUAGUGACUCAGAUUUACAGUGUGAAGUUUGUAUUCUUGCUAAAAGUUAUCAUGUUUCAUUUUCUCCAAGUAUGAAUAAAAGUGUUUUCCCAUUUCGUCCAGUCCAUUCAGAUGUUUGGGUAUUUGUUACAUUUGUUGAUGAUUGUACUCGUAUAAUAUGGUUAUAUGUGUGUUAAAAAAAUAAGAGUGAUGUUGGUUUGGUAUUUCAGAACCUUUAUCAGAUGAUUAAGGCUUAGUAUUCUUAUGUCAUUAAAGUUCUCCGUUCUUACAAUGAAGGUGAACAUAUUGAUUUGAGUUGUCCCAGUUGCUCCACAAUCAUGGCGUUUUACAUGAAACUAUUUGUCCUUGCACUCCACAACAAAAUGGGAUAGCGGACAAGAAUAAUCGCCAUAUCCUGGAGACAGCCCGUGCAUUGCUUUUUGGCAAAUCUGUUCCUAAACUUUUUUAGCCUGAAGCAGUUGUACAUGCAGUGUAUGUUAUGAAUCGUAUGCCAUCACGUGUGUUGGGGUUUCAAACACCACUUCAGGCACUUACACAGCAUGCACAUGUUGUGUCUACAAACACCCUGACCCCCUGUGUCUUUGGUUGUGUGGCAUAUGUUCAUAUUCAACAAAUUCAUCGUAGCAAGCUUGAUUCAUGUGCACUUCGUUGUGUCUUCGUUUGUUUUUCAACUCAGCAAAAAGGGUACAAGUGCUAUCAUCUAGAAACCCGACAUAUGUAUACUACCAUGAACGUAACUUUCUCUGAGUAUGAAUUGUUGGAAAAUUUAAUAAUAAUAUUAUUAUAUUAAAUUUAUUAAUUGAAUGGAAAUUAGAAGUGGAGCCUUUUGGUAAAAAGAUGUGUCUAAUCAAAUGAAGAGUUGCAACUUUUGAUUCUUCAUGAAUAGUCACAUGCUUUUCAAAGAGGUAUCUCGCAUUCUAUAAAUAGGGAAUCCCCCUAUAAUCACAAAGAACUUUUCAUCAUACAUACAUGUAGUGCAUUAAAUAUUAGAGAGUCUCAUUGAGUUCAUAUGAGAGAGUUUUCAACACAAUCGUGGUUCAUGGAGCCUUGUGAUUUGGAGUGCUACUAUUACAGGGACGUGGUCGUUGUAUCUUGGGAGACAUGCGCCGAUCAACCAUGAGCAUCGUAGUGGGACGUAAACUUGUCUUAAGGACAAAGUGUCCAACAUUUGCCUCGACCGUAUUUUCUAGGUUUUUCUAAUCCAUUCUAUUAUGUUCAUUUAACAUUGGUUACUCAUGUGCAUGUAUUAUUGUGAUAUAUAAUUGCAUGAAUUAUUUCUUGAUUUUUUAUGUGAUUUAAUAUAGCAAUUAGACCCAAUUUUUCCAACAAUCUUAAGACAAGUUUAGGUUUGGUUGCUAUAAUUUUGUCAUCAAUUCCGAAUUGGCAUUACAUACGUGUUAAUUCAUAGUUGCUGCUUGUUUUGCAUGAUUGCAUGCUUGGGUUUUUCAUGUUCGUUUUGACCGUUAAUUUAAUAAGUGCAUGAUCAGUUUGUAGACAACGUAUUUUGUAUUCAUACAUGUAUUGUUUCGAAGAACAUGCCAACUAUAUAUGUGUUAUUUUUGUGUUUUUACAUAUGCUUAAUGUCGUAUACGCGAAGUGAUUCAUAAAUUCAUAGUACAGGUAAAGCAGUGAAAAAAAAAAAUUCUUGGAAACAGAAUUCCAAGCCAAACGGUUAAUUUGCACAUAGUUUCUUAUGCAUGUUGUCCUCUCUCUCUGAAACAAUGAUAUAUUUGAAUAAUCGAUUGCAAUCUUUCCAUGUUAAUAUAUGAAAAGGUGGGACACCUGUUAUGAAAGUCUUUAUUUGGGAAGUUGCGUUCCUUGGAAGGCAUGCAAACACGGCUUGUGAAAUCAGCUGCGUAAGUGCGGUUGGGAAACCUGCAUCGAUUUCUGGAAGUUUUUGGUUUUCCAGAAAAGUUUGUUCGUUGUAAUUGCAAACCAAAAGAUAUUUCUAAGAAAAAUGAAGGACAUACGUGGAAAUGUCAAAGUCUGAGUAACUCUUUACGAAGGGUUGUCGCCGUUGGCCGGCUAAUUGUGUUUCUUGGAUAAUAACUUUUCAGAUCAAAGUUAUGACAUAAAUUUGAUGCGCGAGUGCCUGGGAACGAUCUCUAAAUUUCGGAAUGGUACAUUACCAAUAUGUAUGUUUGCUAAAACCAGACAUGGCUACCGUCUGAAUGGACUUCUCCAUUUGCGGUGGCAGCAUAUCGAAAUUUUGGCCAAAGGAAAAACUUGGAUUGAUCAUUGGCCAUAUGUGAAAUCAAAGGCCAAAGAUAUGAUUGGAAGGCCAAACCAUGUCUGUAAAGCAGAUUGAUCUAUACCUUGUUUACGAACCACAUGUACAUGGUUUUUAUUACAUUUGGGCAAAAGAUUUGGUGAAAGAAAUUAACCAACCAAGUCACUUGGGAUAAUUAGAUUUCAAGAGGAUGAUGGAGGAGAGUUUAGUCUCCUGAAUGUGACUUGUUCAACUAUUAAUAGUUAAAUGUGACAACAAAAAUGAGUUUUGCUCAUGGAUAUAACCAAAGGGAAUUCCUUUGAGAGGAAUUAGUGAAAGUGUGGGGGUGUUGGGUAUACUAAUCAAGAUGUGGCUUCACUAUAUUAUUGUUAUAUAUAUUUUCCUGAAAUUAAUCUGAGGACAUGAGUUUUGUGCGUUAUAUAUUAGAAUAUAUAUCUUUGUAUAUAUUUGGGAUGAGAAUGGUGUGAAAUUAGUAUGACAGUUAGAUGCAUACCUUGAUUUGUUGCAUUCAAAUGUGUGGAGUCCUGAAAUGAAUCAUUGGGUGUUCUGUAAAAUAUAUAUGGUAUAUGUAGAACUCUAUCACAAUUGACCAGUUGGAGAUUCUAGAUAAAAGAGAAAUCGAUGAGACCACGGCUUGACGGUUCUAUAUUCAUUUGAGUCAAGAAUUUUGGGACAUUUAGAACCAUGUGGCGGUUAAGAUGCAAAAAGAUGCAACUAAUUGACAAAUGAAUAGUUUCUGUAAGGUGGUGGAACCAAAAGGUGGAAUCUGCCAUAUCAGAUUCCAAGAAGAAAGAAAAUGCCAUUUGAAGUGCUGCUUUUGACAGUGAAAGGGUACGACCUUUCCAACUAGUCAUUACCAUUCUUAAAUUUGAAUAUGUGUUCGUGGGCUGGUAUGUAAACUUCUACAUACCGACUGGAUGUAUUAUCAUAUAGUGAUAAUAAUGUUGCAAAAUCAUUUAUCUGAUUUCUUCGAAGAGAUUAAUUCAUCAAUUUCAAGAGGCCUAGAAUGAUAUCAUCAUAUUAUUACGAACAAUUAUAUGACUGUAGUCAUAUAUGAUGCAACACUUAACUUUCUGGAAGAUUUCUUGAGAAGCAUUUAGUUUAUGUGUUUUGCUUCUUUACCGAGGAGAGUGAUGCAUUUGCCAUGUCAGUCAUGGAGAAAAUGAAUAUUAUUGAGUGUUAUUCAAAAUGUUAUCAAUAUAGAGAAAUAAUCUUGAAAUUGUGGGGGUAUUUCACAAAGGAAAAGACGACACUAAAAAUGUGAGGGACCUUUCGCAUAAUUGUAUUAGACAUGUCUGAUGAUACUUAUUAAGUAAGCAUAUUAAUGGACAUGGCCAUUGGGUCAUGUAUGUUAGUCAUAGUGCGGAGGGACGAAAGCCAAGAAAUGAUUUUUCCAUAAUGGCUAGUGAGGCAUGAAGGCCUAGAAGAUAGAUAUAUAAGGUCUAUCUUAGUUGUUUCCUACUUUAUAAAAUAAAAAACGUGAUCGAUUUAACAAUGAUGUUAAAUUAACCACAAUUAAUUGUGGGGGAAUCUUAUCUAAUUUUGAGAUAUGAGAUUUAUUUAAGAAGAAUGGAAAUAUAAUUUGCUAAUUGAAUGAGACAAUCAAAAUGUCAUUUCUUAUAAUGGUAACUUUAAGGUAUUGAAAGGUUGGAGAUCUUCUAGCAAAUACCUUAAAUGUGGGGGAAUGUACCCGAGUGUUAGCAAAUUACUUUUUAAGUCCUAACAUAUGUUUUGAAGGACUUAGCGUUGGAAAACAACUACUCUCGAAUGAAAUAUAAUUUCAUAAAUGGAAGUGCACACCAUAAGUGAUAGUCAUCAACCUAGUGGAUCCAAUUUUUAAAGGUUUGAUUAGAGAGUAAGUUGUAUCAUCGAGGGGAAUGGAUUAAAAGCCUACGUCUUAAGAAUCACCAUAAUGGCAACCCAACCUAGUUGAUUGGAGAUCCCAAGAUCUAGAUUCAAAAGGACAACCGAAUUGUGGAUGAUUCAAUGGGAGCAUUGCGGAGAUAAUCUCCUACCUAUGUCCUAUGAUGAAACAAUGCUAUCUGCAACGUAUGUAGGAUAAGCUUUGCUUUUAAUGAUUCCUAUAUUUGGAAAUAACAAGUGGGGUAUUGCAGGAUACUCUUAAUGGGAAGUCACCUAUCUUGAGUGAGGAAUGGGGCCAUUCCUGUGAGAAUUUUUUGAAGGGCUUAGUUCUCUAAAAGCACUCAUGAGAAACCAAGAAUUGUUCAGGGCCAAAAUGAACACAACCGAGCAACCACGGGGUGUCUGGAAAGGUAUUGUGUGAUUACUAUUAUCUUGGUUUACACAAACGGCUGAGCAGUUCAAGACAUCGCGUUCACUGAUUAGCCAAGUAAAUCCGAUAGUAAUUCACUACGGAAGGUUCAAAGCCAAAAGCCACCUAUCCCGAUGCGGUACUUUUCCUAUUGAAUUCUCUCUCUAGUGUCUGCAUUGUCAUUUGCAUGGUAUUGAGUCAAUUUCCAUUCAUGUGGGGGAUUGUUGGAAAAUUUAAUAAUAAUAUUAUUAUAUUAAAUUUAUUAAUAGAAUGGAAAUUAGAAGUGGAGCCUUUUGGAAGAAAGAUGUGUCUAAUCAAAUGAAGAGUUGCAACUUUUGACUCUUCAUGAAUAGUCAUAUGCUUUCCAAAGAGGUAUCUCACGUUCUAUAAAUAGGGAAGCUCCCUAUAAUCACAAAGAACUUUUCAUCAUACAUACAUAUAGUGCAUUAAAUAUUAGAGAGUCUCAUUGAGUUCAUAUGAGAGUUUUCAACACAAUCGUGGUUCAUGGAGCCUUGUGAUUUGGAGUGCUACUAUUACAGGGACGUGGUCGUUGUAUCUUGGGAGACAUGCGCCGAUCAACCAUGAGCACCGUAGUGGGGCGUAAACUUGUCUUAAGGACAAAGUGUCCAACACUUGUCUCGACCGUAUUUUCUAGGUUUUUCUAAUCCAUUUUAUUAUGUUCAUAUAACAUUGGUUACUCAUGUGUAUGUAUUAUUGUGAUAUAUAAUUGCAUGAAUUAUUUCUUGAUUUUCUAUGUGAUUUAAUAUAGCAAUUAGACCCAAUUUUUCCAACAUGAAUAUUUUUAGGCCCCUUCCUUAUCCAACUCAGAUCACUAGGGGGAGAGUGCCAGUUUUGGUGAUCUCUGUUGGUUGAAUUAUGGUUCAUGGGGAGAAAAGUAGGUUGUCGAGAUGUUUGUACAGCAACAACAGGUUGUUGCCGAGCCCUCUGUCCAACAGCAACUGGUCACUACUGACCCAACAAAAGAGCCUCAACAACAACAUUCCGAACACAAGACAACUAAUCCAAAUACUAUUGUGAGUAUAUAUAAGUUGCCACUAAGACAAAAUCAAGGUGUACCUCCUAAUAGGUUUUCCCCAUAAGGAAAUGUGAAGAGAUGUUUGCUCUGCUGAAAAAUAAAAUUUGGGAGAUAGUGUAGUUACCUAAGGGAAAGAAACCUGUUUGUUGGUUGUUUACAAUCAAAUACAAGGUUGACUAGUCUAUAGACAAGUAUAAAGCAAGGCUGGUGGCUAAGAGGUAUACUCAAACAUAUGGUGUCGAUUACCAGGAAACAUUUUUCCUAGUGGCAAAUAUGAAUACGGUACGUGUUUUGAUUUCUUUAGCUACACAUAUUGGCUGGCCACAAUGAAGGACUCGUUCUUACAUGCGAACUUGGAAUAAGAGGUAUUUAUUGUUUUCCUCCAAGAUAUAAUGUGAAUGGGAAUACUAAGAGUGUUGGUUACACAAGUCUCUAAAUGGAUUCAAGCAAUCACUCCGUGCAUAGUUUGACAGGCUAACUCAAACAAUGAAAAAAUGGGUAUCUCCAGAGUCAUUCAGAUCGCACAUUGUUUCUGAAUUGUAGACUAGGCAAAGUAACUGCUUUUAUUAUUUAUGUAGUUGACAUAAUUAUUACAGAAGACAAUUCAGAUGAAAUACAGAGAUUGUAAAAAAAAUCUUGCAUCAAAGUUUAAGAUGAAAAAUUUGGGAGAUUUGAAGUACUUUCUUGGAUUAGAAGUUGCCCGCUCAUCCAAAAGGUAUUAUCUUUUCCUAGCGAAAAUAUCUUUUAGAUUUGUUAAAAGAGACUAGCAUGUUAGGGUGUAAGCAUGUGGACACUCCUAUUUGUACCAUAUUGCACCAAUCUCGAAAUUACCGAGCACUAGUCAACCUCAAGCCUUCAGGGGACCCACUGAAGGAUUAGUGUUGAGGCACCCCUACUGAAGCACAAGAGUUUCUCUUUAACCAGGAGGCAAAUCACAAUGCAAUACGUGUCAAUAAUAAAGCUCCUAGAGUCCCACAUCGACCGCAGAUGGAAGCCAGAGACUCUCCUCAACUAUAAAAAGCGACCAUUAUCUUACAGUUAAUCUCUAAUGCCAUUAUUGUACUUAAAUCAUUAUUAGAACCCAGUAAUGAUGAUUAUACUUAAACCAUUGUAUUAUGUCAACUCUACAAUAUUAAUGAUCCUCUACCUUCGUGGACGUAACCCAACUUAGGGUGAAUCACGUACAUCUUGUGUUUAUUUCCAUAUAUCUCUCUACAUAUUUACUUACACUUCCAGAGCAACCAUGCGACUAUCAUAAACUUGACACUUUACAUUGUUCCAAAGUCGCACCGCUUUUGUGCAUCAACAUUUGGCAUCGUCUAUGGGAACGACAAUGUUCCUACUCCCACCUGUAUUGUCAGGCUGGUUUCCAUGUGUCAUAUGCUCUUAUUCAAUUUGGCAUUCCUCACCAAUAUGGGGAGUGAGAGAAAGCCAUAACACACAGAACGACAACCCUCUUUAUGGCUAGUGUGAGGCAACGAAUGAGCAAAAGAAAGAACGUUCCUACCCUCACCUGUAUUGUCAGGCUGGUUUCCAUGUGUUGUAUGCUCUCAUUCGAUUUGGCAUUCCUCACCAACAUGGGGAGUGAAAGAAAGCCAUAACACACAUAACGACACCUCUCUUUAUGGCUAGUGUGAGGAAACGAAUGAGCGAAAGAAAGAACAUUGCUAUUCAAGCCAAAGUUGAAGAGCUUUAAGAUUAGAACAACAAAUAGCAAUCACGAAUGAGAUUCUCCAAUAACAGUAUAAUAAGCUCUUCAGGAUGCUCCAUGAGGCUAGAUAGACUUAGUCUUAUGGGCCCAUCACCCCAAUAACUAUCGAUCAUCAUGUGGGUACCCCCAACACGAAGGGUCACCAGUUUUCAACAUGGCUGUUCCCAAUGAGAAACAACAUUCUUAUCAGAAUGUUGAUCAACAUGAGACUUUUCUCAAUCUAGCUGCUUCGACCCAAAGCAGGAGAAGUGGAGAGAGAUAUCUUCUUGCAGAAGGAUUAGAAGGAUUAAGAGUCAUUUACCGUGAUUGUCACGUCGAGAAAACAUGUGAGAAAAUGAAUUUUCAGGGCCGGAGUAAGUUUUGUCUGAAUGCUGCUACAUCAAAAGUUUGGUCAUAGACUCACCAGCUUUAGGCGAAGUUGUAUUAGAUAAAGCAGGGUGCCACCAUCACUCUACUUUAAGGCAUUAGGUGGAGUUUUAGCAACUCCACUGGAUGACCAUGCUUGUUUCGCAAGACAUGCUAUCUGAUCUAGAUAUGGACACAAUCAGAUCCUAUAAGUCUUGGAAUCCCUACUUACUAGAUAUCAUCUAGGAUUCUCCCAGCUUAGAAUAAGGAUUCUAUCAUAAAAAUGUCUCUUUUCCCACGGUAUAAAUACACCCACCUAGGGUUCCUCUAUAGUAACACAAAAUAUAUACUUCAAUUAUCUUGCCCACUGCUAAGUCUAAAAUCAUUCACUAACUUGAUCGCCUGAGAGUCUUUUGCUAGCACACCCCUCGGGCCCUAGGCUUGAUUACUGUUUUUUUUUCUGUUUUGCAAGUUGCUCGAGUUUGUGCUCUACCACCUUUAAGGAGGUGCACGAAUUUGGUUCCAACAAAACUUAUUCACAUAGACUCAAACAUCAGUGACACAAAGGUUGUCAAUGGACUUGGUCCCCUACCACGACUUAUACCAACUACUAAUCUAGGGAAUAAGCGACAAGCCUUGGAGAGAGAAGAAAGUGUAGGAGACUCAUGGGGCUUCCAACAGGCACUUCCCGGUAGCCAGUACUAUGAAUCCAAGGAAAUGCCACAUGUCUUUUACCAAACUUAAUUUUCUACUUCUAAAAGAUGGAAGCUUGCAAAAAAAGGUUCCAAUAGUGCCUGAUUCCAAUAAGGACCCCCUUAUUUUGCAAGUCCUCGAAGAAGUGAACAAGUUGAAGGCCGAGCGUUAAGUCGCGAUACCUGACUGGAAUUAGCCAAGGCCCAACCCUCUAACAAAGAGGAUUCUUGGCACCCCUCUACAAGGAGAAAUAAAACAGAAGUUGGGCUUACAAUCGUAUAAUGGGAGGGAAGCCAAUUUUUUUUUAAAUAAUAGAAAAAAGAAAAGAGGCUCUGGGUUUCUAAUUUGGACAUAUUUUUUUCUCUUCUCAACAAGAAAAAGAAGGAAUUGGUUUUAUAACACACACACACACACACAUAUACAUAAACAUAUAUAUAUUCAGCUAUCCUCCUUGAUUGGAGAUUAGGAAGAACUCCCACUAUAUGCUACUAUACUUCAGUACUCAGAAGUUUUGUGAUUACUUAGUGACUUGAAUUUUGCAAGCCCCAACCUAGAAGCUUUCCUCACCCGGAAACUUGAGAGAGCAUUGUUUGUACCAUAUUGCACCAAUCCAGAAAUAUCGAGUACCAGUCAACUUCAUACAUUCAAGGGACCCAUUGAAGGAAUCGUGUUGAGGCACCCUUGCCGAAGUAUAAGAGUUUCUCUCCAACCAGGAUGCCAAUCACAACGCAACACAUGUCAACAUCAGAAUAAAGCUCCUAGAGUCCCACAUCAACAACAGACAGAAGCUAGAGACUUUCCUAAACUAUAAAAUGAGACAAUUCUCCUAUAAUUAAUCCCUAAUGCCAUUAUUAUACUUUAAAUUAUUAUUAGAACCCAGUAAUGAUGAUUAUGCUUAAACCAUUGUAUUAUGUAAACUCUACAAUAUUAAUGAGAACUCAUUUACCUUCGUGGACGCGCGUAACCCAACUUAAGGUGAGCCACAUACAUCUUGUGCUUUCUUCCAUAUCUUUCUCUACAUAUUUACCUAUACUUAGUGACCAGAGAAACUGUGCAAAGGUCACCAACUUGACAUUUUACGUUGUUCCAAAGUCUCAUCGAUUUUGUGCAUCAACAACUCCUAUUGUGGAAAAACAUCGCUUGGGUAUUUAUCCUGAUUAGGUGUCUGUUGCUAAAGAUGGUUAUCAAAGAUUGGUAUGGAGAGUAAUUUAUUCAGCUCAUACUCGUCAUGAUAUUUUCUAUGUUGUUAGUGUUGUGAGUCAAUUCAUGCACUCAUCGAGUCAAGAUCAUGUGUCUGUUGUCUCGUGCAUUUUAGUAUACUUGAAAUCUGUACCUGGUAAAGGGAUAUUCUAUAGGGGACAUGGGCACCUGAAAACUAAGGGGUUUACAGAUGUAUUGGACAAGUGACGUCAUUGACAUGAGUUAUACAUCUAGGUAUUUACAUUUGUUGGAGGAAAUUUGGUUACAUUUGUGUAGUAAGAAACAGAAAGUGGUGUCACGAUCUUCAGCAGAGGCGGAAUAUAGUGGUAUGGUACAAGAUGUAUGUUUUCUUUGGUUACGCAAACUUCUGGGUUGUCUGGGUUUCAAACCAACGGAUGCUGUGCAAUUUUAUUGUGAUAAUAAGUCUGCAAGAGACAUUGCAGAUAAUUAAGUUCAACAUGAUAGAACAAAGCAUGUGGAGGUUGAUAGAAAUUUUUCAAGGAGAAUCGUGAAAGGAAAAUUGUGUCUAUACCAUUUGUGAACUCAGGAGAGCAACUUAUUGAUCUUACUCAUGUAGUGUGUAGUAGAGUGUUUAAUGACUCACUUGUCACGUUGGCGUGUGAUAUCUAUGCGCCAACUUGAGGAAGAAUGUUGGCGUGCGUUAUAAACUAUAAAUAUUCUAGGAGUCCUUUAUUUAGUAGGAAUAUGAUUUUGUAUUUAUGUCUCCUUGUGAGAUAGCACAUGUACAUUUAUAUGUAUAUAUUGUAAUCAAAUGCUGAAUAAAAAGUAAGAAAGUGUUUUGGGUAUCCUGUUCUACCUAUUUCAACUGAGAGACAUAAUAUCAAGGCAGAUAGGCCAUCAUUUCCCAAAAUGACUUCAAACCCUCAAUGAAUUGGAAAAUUACAGUCAUUGGAUCCCUUUGUUUAUGUCGGAAACCCUCAAUUGUGUGGACCUUCACUUCAAGGAGUGUGACUCGGAGGAAACAGGUCGUCCAAAACACUGUGGUGAGUAAUGAAGAAGAAAAGAUGAACUUAUAUAAGUUUUUGGGUUAAUGUUUAAAUAUUGGGCUUGAAUGAAGACAAACCCAAGGAUGUAAAAAUUAAAUGAAGACUUGCCUGAGGCCCAACAUUGAGCCCAGAAGCAAACUGAAGCCUUCUCAGCCAAGACAAAAGCCAUGUGUCCACAAUGGAAGUGACAAGUGAUGGAGACUAACCUACUAUCAGCAAAAAAACACUUUCUAAUGGCAUUACAAGUAAAAAGCUGAUAACUCACUACCAUCCCAGUACUUUCGGGCAAGAGCAAAAGCUACAGCAGCCAGGCCAAACUGCUUAUAAAAGGGAAGACAGGCCCCAAAGACAAGGAUACUUAACCAAUCAAACAAACAAGCAAACAAACUCUGCUCUCAAGCCAGUUUGUGCUCUUUAAGCCUAAAAUCAACUCAGAUUCAGUCUUUUUAAGCAAUGGUUUCCUUACAAAAGCUAUCUUUUGUCUAGUAUAAAAGCUCCGCUACCUCCCUUAGUGUUGUAGUAUUGAUUCCCACAUGUAAACUUGUUUACCAUCCAUCCCUUUUAAGCAUACAACCCCUGUAAACUCAAAGAGAAGUGGAUGCAAGAAGUUCAACCUUGCCAGACAAGGUGAAAUCUUGCUCGAGUCUUUUUGUUUGUUCUCUAAAUUAGUAGAUCUAUUGAUUAAUGCACUAUUCAACUUGUAUUCAAGUCAUUUCCACCUUGUUGAUGCACAAAAUCAGCGAAGACUUUGGUACAACAGAAAGUGUCAGGUUUUGUGACCUUCGCUUGGUUGCUUCGGUCACUAGUGAGGAUAAGUACGUAAAUGAAUAGAGACAGAGAAGCAAACACAGGAUGUACGUGGUUCACCCAUAUUGGCUACGUCCACGGAGUAGAGGAGUUCUUAUUAGUAGUGAAGGGCUUACACAAGUACAAAGGAUCAAGCUCUCAAUUUAGUGAGUUCUUGUGAAUGAUUUAACACAAAAUGGCAUUACGCAAUAUUGUGGGGGGAUGACCCCUAUUUAUAGAAAAACUUGUAGCUUUGUCACAUUGACAUGUGUCAUGUUAUGAUUGGUUCUUGAUGUUGACACGUGCUGCGCUCUGAUUGGCUUCUAAUCUUGACACGUGUCGAGUAGUGAUUGGCCUCCUGGUCGGAGGGGAACUAUUCUGGGUCCUUGACAGUAUAGCGUUGGCCGGUGCUCGGUAGUUUCGGGAUUGGUCAAGUAUGGUACAAACACACCUGUUUUUCUAUUUUAAGAGUCUUAUUUGCAUUUGGAUCUGUUUAACUUAAUGGGUAUGUUUUCAUUAAGAGCAAUUUGGAACCAAACAAAUGACUUAAGGGGCUCUGGACUCCUUUCAUUCGAACAUACAAGAUUAUGAACUAAAAGUCCUUGUUCGCAAGGCAAGAAAAAGAACUUAAUACAAACUUAACCUAUUUGUGACAAUCCUUUGAUAACAAGAAGUUUGAGUAACUUGGGGCGCAAAUAAUCGACUUAAAACACAUUUGUUCUACAUCUGCUAUAUUGAGAUAGCAGUGGCAUGCCUAAGCAUUUAGUUAGUUUUGAUUGCAAGCCUCAAGGCUUACACCUAAGGCCCUAUAAAAGCACCUUUUAGAACUAACUUCAAGCUCUUAUUGCAGCACACAAGGCAAGCAAGAGCCUGACUACCAAACAUACACAUCCAAAGUGCCAAUCCUUUGGGGAGCUGUGCUGAGGUCUAUAUACCUUCUCCAGAGAAAUCUUUGCCCGAACAUAGUUUUGGCAUGCCCGGAUGGACAUCAUUUAGUCUUGUAUGCCAAGAAGGAAAAGGGAGGAACGAACCUUCAUAGUUUUGGCAUGCCCGGAUGGACAUCAUUUAGUCUUGUAUGCCAAGAAGGAAUAUGGAGGAACGAACCUUCAGGUGGAAUGAUAGACCAUCUUGAAGAUUUCCCCUCCCUACGAGGACCAGCUGUUCUGCAAAGCCCGACUUCAUCUGAGAAGUCGGGAGGAAAUGUGACCAAUAAAGACUUUCAAGCCACCAUGGUGCAAAUGUUGAAAAGUAUGGAAAAGAUCUAUCUGGAGACCAGAUGAGAAGUGAGCAGACUCUGUUCCUUAAUAGGAAACUUGGAGAGAAGACUAAAUAUAUAGUACUCUACCGCUAGAUAAAUAAUGAGAGAGGCAAGCCCUGAGAAGGAACCAUCUAUUCCUUUAUUUCCCUUGCUUGAGGAGGAGAAUGAAAGAGGAAAGGAUAAAGUAGGGCCUGCGGCCAGCCAGUCAAUCUUAGAAGAGAUCCUGGAAGCAAAUUUGCUCGACCCUGUCACUAUUCUCACUAGAUAGUAGGGGCAGGCCGGGCAAGACAAGAAGAAGUACGGAAUGAACCAACAAGUUAGAGAAUCCAGUGGAAAUGUUGUGUCCACAACUGCGGGUAAGCCUCCCCCUUAUAGGCCGUCACCAUUGGCUAAUAAGGGAGGAGGGGCCAAGUGGAGACAGUCUGAACCAAAGAAUGAGACUUUCUCAGGCAAUGAUCGUAGCCCGAAGUGGGAACCUCCUUACACCCCACAUAGUAAUAUAGCCAACCAGCAACUUAGAGAUGAGUUGGCUGAGUUAAGAAGAAUGGUGGUCCAUAAUGCUCAACCCUAAGCUCGCCCGUUGUCAGGAUCACCUACCAGAAGCCCUACCCUGAGCACAUUGAUGAGCAAAAUCCUUUCCCUCUUAACUUCAAGAUGUCCGCGUUCCCAACUUUCAGUGGAGAUGACUGUAAUGUAUCAUCUAGGGAUCACAUCUUCAAGUUCUCCAACCAUUGUGUGGCAUUUGAAGACAAUCCUAACUAUAUGUUAAGAUUGUUUGGGAACUCGCUGGAUGGCCUAGCAUCUUAAUGGUAUUCCCUUUUGCCCCCUAAUUCCAUUGCUAACUGGGGGCAAAUGAAGAUGGCUUUCCAUGAGCAGUUAAAUAGAGUGGAGCCCGAGAUGACUAUCAACGAUUUAGUUGAGGUGAAGCAAUAUGAGCAUGAGUCCACAGAUGACUUCAUGAUGAGAUUUAAGAGGACAAGGAUGAGGUGCCAAUUUCCUAUCAACCAUGCCUAACUUAUAUCUAUCACUCAGAAGGCAUUAAGGUUGCCUUUGAGAAAGAAGUUUUAUGAUGUAUAGUUCAAUGAGUUGCAAGAGCUCAUAAUUGUUGCCAUAAAGUAUGAGAAACUAUUGAUUGAAGAACAACAAGUGAAGCACUCAUCCAAGGUGCAUUCUUUCUACAAGAAUACUGCAAUUCACCAGGUGGAGUUUAAAUGAGUAGAGCCAGAAGAAAGUGAGGGUCAUGGAGGAGAAGGAAUUGAAAUAUGUGCAGUAGAGAUGACUACCCCCUUCAAACCUUUAAUGGUGAAGGGGUUAGUCCAGCCAGUCAAAGAUCAAAAAGUAGUGAUGAAUGAUGGUGGAUUUGUCCCUAUGAAACCCCCUAAAUACUAGAGUUAUUCUUUUGAUUUAACCAAAGUCUCGGAGAUUUAUGAAGAGUUGGUGCGGGUAAGAGUCAUUGUGCCCGACAGUACCAAAAAGAUGCCUAAGCCCAAAGAAUUAAAAGGAACGAGGUAUUGCAAGCUGCACUAUACCUUCAACCAUUCCAUAACUAAUUGUGUCCAGUUCAGGGACUGGAUAUAAGACCUCAUAGUCAAGGGAAAGUUUCUCUUGGAUAAACCUCAAGCUAAUAUGAUAAUUGACACAGAUCCUUUCCUAGAGGCCCCAAUAAACAUGAUCAACCUGACUUGGGUGAGAAAGGAAAGGGAAAAGCCACUUGGGAAGUGAAAGCAGAAAGGAGGCAAGUUGACAGACCUACAAAAUGAGCAAUUAAGUUGCCCAAGAGACCUAAAGUAGUUAUAAGUAAAUGGCUGGUUUUGUGUAGCAAGUGCCUGAAGAAAUUUUUUUGUCCUAGCUAAGAACAUGUGAGAAUAUUUGAACACAUAGGCAAACUAUUAACACAUUAAAGUAGGCAUGCAUUAAAAAACAAUUCUAAAACCCAUGACUUUCAAAGCCUAGUGAAUAAUGAACCACAAGACUCUUUAACAACAUUAAAGAGAAGGAAGGAUUUAGAGAUUCAUUACCCUUGAAGCUCAUCCUUGUUUACACAAGGGAUUCACCCAAGUGGAGGGCCUUCAAGUCACCUCCUAGCUCCUUGGAUCUUCCUUGUGAUUUUCUCCCUUUUGAUGCUCCUUUGCUCCUUGAGGAUGUGAGGAAAGAAUCUCCAAGAACACCAAAGAUUUGGUGUCUCUAAGUCUCCACACCAAGGAUGAGGUGUGAAGAUGAAAUGGAUGACUUAGAGAAGAAAAGAUUGCUAGCUAUAUCUUCUCUAAGUGGCCGGCAUCCUUUAGAGAAAAAGAGAGAAAAUGUUUCACCUCUUUGCCUCAAGAAAACCCUAAUGAGAAAUAGCUAUAAAGUUGACUUUAUACUACAUCACAUUUGAGUGGCAAACUUGUAAUUAAUUGAGGUUUGCAUCCACUCACCCUUAUGGCCAGCCUUGUCUUUGUUAUUGGGCUAAUUGCCCAUUUUGUUUUAAUUGUCAUACAACUUAAACAUAAUGGGCCUUGUGGACCAAAACACUUUUGGGCCCCGAAACCCAAAACCAACUUAAAAGCCCAAUACGAACCUUUCGUAAAAUUAAUUAACUAAUUAAUUAAUCUUGACCAUUCUUAAUUAAACCAUUUAAUCGCUUAUCCAUCUCAUUUAUAUUUCUUCACUUUCACCCUUACUCGGUGUACAAUCCAUUAGGUUCCAAUUAGCGAGGCAGUGGGCGAUUGUUACUCUUAACGAUCGAUUAUGAAUUGAAACAACAUUUCAAUUCUCCCUUUGUUGAAGAUUAGUGUUUGCUAAUCUUCAGGGCUUCCACAAACCAUGAGUGACACCUAGCAGUAUGUCAUGGCUACCCAAGCUAAGUAGAAGUGGUUGGAGAACCAAUCCAGUUACAAUUACAAUGCAAUACGGUCAUUCUCUAAUACAAUACUCUUAAUCACAUUGUUUGAGUGAUAGUUUGUAUCAUGUCUACUAUCCAAUGUGAUACUUCUCUAUAUGAUUCAAUUGAAUAUGAUUUGGAACAUACUUCCUAAGUCAUAUUCGUAUGCUUUCGCCAAAGACUCCCGAAUCAUAUCUUAGAGUAUUCUCCUUCCACCAUGGAAGGUUAGAGAUUCCUUGUUGUGCAUUCAUAAGCCUACAUGACUAGAUAGCUUGACUCCAACAAUGCCAUGGACACUCUCGAUGGAAUGCCUUUGACAUGAUCAAAGAUCAAAGACCUAACCAUUAGACAUCUAUGAUGCCUCAGGUCAAAUGACUACUUUGCAUAUUGCAACUAAUGAGUUCUUACAUGACAUGUAUGUUUGAACUCUCUUUUGAUCGUUGUUCAGUGUACUCGAUUACUCUUUCAAGCACCUACGUGUUUGUCUUAAUGUCCAACACUAAAUGACUUGAAACUAGUCAUACUCACGCUUGAGUUGACAUAACACAUACUAACCUUAGCGGAUUGUCAAUGCCCAAUUGGCAAUCCUAUGGCUAGGAACGUUUUAGGAAUGAACAUAAGAGAAAGGUCUCGUUAAUCUAACUUACUUAAAUCACUUCUCUCUUAGAUCAAAUACAUUCCUUGGAUUCCCUUAUUGCUUAAACACAUGAUACAAUAAAUAGUGAUUAACAAUAAGCUUUGCCCUUCAUUAAACAUAUAAUAGUUUAAUACAAUAAGUAUUCCAAAAGCUAUUACAUCAAAUGAGUGACUUUGUGGGCAUACUUCCAACAGUGCCAAUGUGAAUAUGAGUUAGAAAUGCCAGCAUAAGGAGCUAUUAUUGAUCAAAAGUUUAUUAGAAUAAGAGAGAAAGAAGAGCAAGAAGCCCGCAGGAGCAUCAUGUGGGCAGCUGAGAAAGAGACAUCCAAAAAUGUUUUACAAAGGUUAGGAGGAGAUUCUGAACCAAAAGGGUUGUUUGAUGUGUUCAGAAACUAUGAAGCCUAAAAAGAAGUGGAGGAUAGAGAGGCCAAAAUGCCAAAAUGGAUAAAUGUAAGGCCUCCCUAACCAAGUUAUGAUGGUGGUGAUGUUAGAAUAAAGAGAAGAACAAAAAACCCAGUAUCCCCAGUCACUAAGAAAAAUUAUGCCCGACUCGGGUGGAAAUGGUAUGUAGUGGGGAAUGAUGGAAAACCAGUAAAACAAAUGGGAGCUUCUAUGAUCAUGAAAGUCCAAAGGCAACACAAAGCCCAUAUGAAAUCAUUAAAAGUCCCUACUACAUCAGAAACCUCUGAAAAUGUGAAGUGUGAAAAAGUCCCUUAUGGGGGAAGGAAUCAACUUCACUAGAGAAGCAAAAAAGCGGUAGAAAGAGACAAUAACAAGACUGAGGGAGAAGAAAAUCAUGUGCCACAAAACCCUCAUCCUGGAAAGUACAUAAUCUUGAGGAGAGUUCGAGAAGAUAUGAUGAUGAUGCCAACCCUAUGAUGGAGUCUAGAACCAAUAUGUUUUGGGACUAUUUCACCUGAGAGAGGAAUACCCUCACCUUUGUUGUUUGAGACCCUUUGUAAGAUGCCAGGGCAAGUGCCAAACUUUGGUAUAACUAGGGAAGAAGAAUUGCCCGAACUAAUGUUGCCAAAAGAAGCACAUGCCUGGUUAAAUGAGUUUACAGUCUAUAUUAGAGGAAAGAAUGAGGAUUUACCUGGACCUAGUAGCUUCCACGUAAGCAUGACAUAUGUACUAUCUUCCAUAUUUUGCACCGAACCUGAUCAGCCUACCACAAUAGAGGGUGAUUACUUAGCAAAAGAACCUAUGAUGGCACAUGUUAGUGUUGAAGAAGCAGGAAAAGAAGAAUACAGCCAAACAGGUUUGCCCGAACUCUCAAGGAGGGAGCCCAAGAGAGUAUAUUCUGACAUAAUGGUCUUUAACCGCCCGAGUAUGUCCCUAGCUAACCAUCUCAAGCCCAUAUACGUAACUGCUCAUCUGGAAUGAGUACCCUUUAAAAGGAUUUUGAUUGAUUGAGGAGCUGCGGUGAACGUGAUGCCAUUGAAACAGAUGAAGAAGUUGGGAAGAUGUGAGGACAAUCUUAUUCCUAUUGACUUAACAGUCUCUAGCUUUUAUAGAACCAUUACUAGAACGCAUGGGAUAUUGCCCUUGGAAGUUGACUUGGCAUCCAAGCAAAUCAUGCUAGCCUUCUUCGUGGUGGACAAUAGUUCCAUUUAUGGAGCCUUGCUUGGUAGAGAUUGGAUUCAUCAAAGUCUCUCAGUGCCCUUCAUCCUGCAUCAACAAGUAGUGGUUUACCACGAGGCAGGGACCAUAGGACCAGGACUUUGGGAGAUGGUAGAGGCCGAAUCACGGCCAUUUCUCCCUACAACCAAUGUUGUAGAAGCCAGCUUUUAUAAUCCCAGUGUUGGGAUUCUACAGUGCCUAGGAGUUGAUGAGAACGGUCGCUCGACUAAGGUGACGGUUCAAAAGCUUUUGGAACAAGGCUUGUUUCUCUCUAGGGAAGAAUGAGAUAGACCCCAUAUCAUCCCAGCUCUUCAACACUAGUAUGCGAGAGAGAGAAAACAUGAAAGGGAGAGCUCAACCAAGGAAGAAGCUUCAAGUAGCCACAAUACAGGAGAAGAAGAGUUUUUUAAGAAGGAGAUAGAGGCAGCCAUACACAUGGCUGAGUUUAUAUAUGACUUGGAUUGGCCUGAUGACAUGCUCGAGGGUCCAAAGUCAGUUGAAUUUUUGUGUAUAGAACCUGACAAGCCAGAACCAGAGGUACAAGACUCCUUAGAAACCAUUGAUUUGGGAACUAAGGCCAUCUCCAACCGAAGGGUCCAAAGGGCCAGAGGGCCGAAAAUAGCCCGAAAACCAUCUCCAAUCGAGGGCUAGGCCAGAGGGCUCUGGAAUCUGGGAGGGCCCCACGGAAUCGGAGAGGCCUGGAAGGCUGGCUACAUGCAGCCAACCAGCUAGCCCGGGGUUGGCCAAUUUUUUUUUAAUGUUUUGUUAUUUCUAUCGGUUAUAACCGACAGGAAUACAUGCUAUUAUUUAAUAUAAAUGUAUUACUGUCAGUUAGGAUUUCUUAAGAAAAAAUUCAAAUGAAACGGCUAGUAGCCAUUGCAUUUGAUUUUUUUUUUUACAGUUUUAUUAUUAUUUUUUAUUUACAAAAUUUUUCAUAUAACUUCUAUUUUUUUCCUAUAACUUCUAUUUCACAAAAUUUGUUUCAUAUUUUUUUUAAAUUCCAUUUUUUUCCUAUAACUUCCUAAGUCAUUAUACAACAUUAAAUUAAAUUAAGUAACAUGAAACAACAUUAAACAAUAUGAAACAACAUUAAAUAACAUUAACCAACAUAAAAAUUAUACAACAUUUUUAAAAACAUUUAAAAACAUAAAACGUAAAUGCCUACUCAUACUUCUUUGGGCCCAAAGAUGCGCAACAAGAUCUUGUUGUAGGUACUUGUUUGUGGCAAGAACGUAUCAUUCUAUAGCGCCUCAUGUACUCAUCUAUAGAGAUACUACCAGUUCUUGGAUUGAAAGCCAAAUUAGGCUCAUCAUAUAUUUUUGCACGAGUCCUUCUUGACCUAUUUGGAUCUUCUUGGUCGUCAUCGGACUCUCCAUCGAUAUACCCAUCUUGCUCAUCAUCCACUAUCAUAUUGUGUAAUAUGAUGCAAGACAUCAUGAUGGAGUCCAAAUUUUCUCGACUCCACCCUCUUGCCGGUUCGCUGAUGAUCUUCCACCGUGCUUGUAGAAUGCCAAAAGCUCUCUCAACAUUUUUCCGAUAUGCCUCUUGGUGUAAGGUAAACAACUUUUCCGCGUCAUUCCUAGGGUUUGGAAUUGCUUGGACAAGUGUCGCCCACUUUGGGUAGAUGCCAUCUGCCAAGUAAUACCCCAUAUUGUAUUGACGGCCGUUGAUGUAGUAGUCAAGUUGAGGUGUUUUACCUUCCGUCAAGUUAUUGAAGAGGGGUGAACGCCCAAGAACUGUAAUGUCAUUUUAGGAACCAGGGACUCCAAAGAAAGCAUGCCAGAUCUAUGUGUCAUAUGAGGCAACCGCCUCUAACACAACAGUUGGCUUUCUCGACCUUCCGCUAAAGCCUCAUUGCCAUCCGGUAGGACAGUUCUUCCAAUCCCAAUGCAUGCAGUCUAAUGACCCUAUCAUGCCCGGAAACCCACGGUCUUCAGCUUUGUGAAAGAGCCGAUUUAGAUCUUUUUUAUUUGGCUCGCGGAAGUACUCGUCUUUGUAAAGCUGAACAAUUGUGUCACAAAAUUCUUGAAGAGUAUCAAGGCAUAUAGACUCAGACAUACCAUGGGUUUCAUCCAUCGAAUCAGCUGAGGAGCCAUAGGUCAUCAUUCGGAGUGCAACAAUAACCUUCUGAUGAGGUGAGAAAUUAGGGCGGCCUGCUCUGUCCCGCUUCUGUCGAAAGUACGGAUUGACCUGCUGGACAUCACAAAGUAUACGCUCGAAGACAUGACGCCUCAUCCUGAAGCGACGCCUGAAAUCCUCUUAUGUGUACAUUGAGUUGGGGUCGAAGUAGUUGUUCAUCAGAUUGACAUGCGUCAUCGCUCUGUUUCGUGGUUUGUAAGAGUGACUAGCAAUAGAGCCACCCCAUUGAGGUUGUUCCUCAGUUGGCUGACACACCAUGGCCGCAGCCAUGACUACUGCUAUGUUUUUUUUAUUGCGCCUUACUUGAACUUCUUCAUCAGACUCCUCAUCUUCUCGUCUCAUUUGCACCCAUUUUACUUAUCUUUUGGAAUUGGAUGAUGACCCCCAGUUGGAAUCUGAAGAGGAUCCAAAGUUGGAAUUCAUUGCAAACUUGAAUUGAAAGAGAUUGAAUUUAAAUAGAUUGAAUUCAAAGUUGUGUGAAUUAUAUCCCAAUAUCCACCUUAUUUAUAGCAAAAAAAAUUCAAAUCCAACGGCUAGCUGACAUAAGCAUGAUGUCAGUUACCAACGGCUAGCUGACGUCACCUAGCCGUUGGAUUUGAAUUUAAGUUAUAGUUUUUAAAUAAUAAAUUAUGUUUGGCCCUAUGGCCCUUUGGCCCUCGGUGGGAGACGGUUUUUUGUGAAAUGGCUAAAACGAGCCCUCUGGCUCUCUGGCCCUCGGUUGGAAACGGAGGCAAAUAUGACCCUGUACUGUUCAUUAAAAUAUUAAUAUCUUGGAGAAUCUUGGAGGGCCAGAGGGUUAAAACGAGCCCUCUUGCCAGCCAUCGGUUGGAGAUGGCCUAAGGAGGAUCCAAGGCCUAUACAUAUCAGUGGCCUGUUGGAAGCAGAAGAUCGUUCAAAGAUAGUUAGCCUUUUACACGAGUUUAAAGAUUGUUUUGCUUGGCAUUACACUGAAAUGCCAGGUUUAUAUUCAACCUUAGUAGAACACAGAAUGCCUAUUAAAGAGGGAUAUAAACUAGUAAAGCAAGCACCACGAAGAAUGUCAAAAGAGAUAGAAGAAAAGGUCAAAGAAAAGAUUGAAAGGCUGGUAAAGGCUGGAUUUAUUAGGCCUGCCAAGUAUGUCGAGUGGUUGGCCAACAUUGUACAUGUAUUAAAAGCUAUAACUAAUGCAGUUCGGUGUUGUGUUGACUAUAGAAACAUUAAUGGAGCCAGGCUUAAAGACGAAUACCCCAUGCCCAUGGCUGACUUAUCCAUAGAUGCAAUUGCAAAACACAAAGUUUUAUCUUUCAUGGAUGGAAAUGCUGGUUAUAAUCAAAUAAAAAUGGCUAAAGAAGAUAUACAUAAAACAACUUUUAGAUGCCCGGGGACAUGUUGGAGCAUAUGAAUACUUGGUAAUGCCAUUCGGGCUCAAAAAUGCUGGUGCAACUUAUUAAAGAGCAAUGAAUGCCAUUUUUCAUGACUUGAUUGGCCAUAGCAUGGAAGUAUACAUUAAUGACAUCAUGGUGAAGUCUAAAACUAAAGAACAACACCUAGUAGGUCUCAGACAAGCCUUAACAAGAAUGAGGACCCACCCUAAGAAAUGUGCUUUUGGGGUAAGAUGGGGGCAACUUUUUGGGGUUCCUUGUUCAUCAAAGAGGGGUGGAGGCCGACAAAAACAAAGCUCGGGCAAUAAUGGAAUCACCUUCUCCCACCAAUAAAGUACAACUGCAAAGGCUGGUGGGAAAAAUCAAUUUCCUAAGGAGAUUUAUUGCUAACUUGGCGGGCAAAAUUCAGACGUUGACUUCUCUGUUAAGAUUGAAAGAUAAAGAAGAAUUUCAGUGGGGCCCACUACACCAAGAGGCCUUUGACAAAAUAAAGACUUACUUAGCCUCUCCAUCAGUGCUCAUGUCACCUCAGAAGCCUUUAAAGCUUUAUAUUUCUGUCUCUGAAAAGUCAAUAGAAAGCUUGUUGGCCCAAAACAAUGAAGGUGGGAAAGAGCAAGCAAUAUAUUACCUCAGUAGAAUCCUUAUUGAGGUAAAAACGAGAUAUACCCUAGUGGAGAAGUUGUGUUUAACCUUGUACUUCACUGCCGAUAAGCUAAGGCAUUAUAUGUUGCCUUGCCACAUCCACAUAAUUGCAAAGACCGAUGUAAUCAAAUAUAUGCUAUCAAAACCAAUGCUAACUAGAAAGGUUGGGAAGUGGAUUCUAGCAUUAUCAGAAUUCAGUUUUCAAUAUGUACCUCAGAAAGCAAUAAAGGGGCAAGCGAUUGCAAACUUCUUGGCCGAGCACCAAGAAUCACAUGAUGAACUUAUCAAUAUCGUAGAGACUCUAGAGGUGGCCAGUCUUUGGAUCCCACCAAGCAGAGUUCUCUCAGGCAAAGAUGAAUGGAUUCAACAAGAGAUAAAGAGGAUAACCAGCCUCUGGAUCACUCAUUUGAGGAUGUAUUUUGAUAGAUCUUGCACUCAACAUGCUGCUAGGGCUGGGAUUGUCAUCAUUGAUCCCCAGAAUGUUCACCACUGUUAUUAAUUUCUCUUAGAUUAUCAAGAUACUACCAAUAAUCGGGCGGAGUAUGAAACACUAAUAAUUGGCUAGGAAAUCCUGAUAGAGUUGGGGGCAACUGAAGUUGAGGUUUUUGGUGACUCAGAAUUAGUGAUCAAUCAAUUGAAUAGAGAAGACAAGUGUAAGCAUAUCACCAUGGCUGGUUAUUAUUUGGCAGCUACAUAACUAUUGAGCUAUUGGGGCACUGAAAUAUCAGUCAACCACAUCCCCAAAGAAUCAAAUGCAAUUGCCAAUUAGAUGGCGCAGUUGGCUUAUGGAGCACAAAUCCAAGAGAGAAGAGUCAAGGUAGAUGUGGAAGUACAAAUGAGAAAUCUACCUUCUAUCUUUAAAAGAGGAUUCAACUAGAUAUGAUGACUAAAGAACCAAAGAUAGAAGACUGAAGAACACCUUGUUGAUGCACAAAAUCAGUGAAGACUUUGGAACAACGUAAAGUGUCAAGUUUGUGACCUUCGCUCCGUUGCUUCGGUCACCUUGUGAUGAUGAUGUGUAACGAGGUAGAGAUAAGGAAGCAAACACAAGAUGUACAUGGUUCGCCCUAAGUCUGGCUACGUCCAUGUCGCAGAGGAGUUCUCAUUAAUAUUGAAGGGUUUACACAAAUACAUAGGUUUAAGCAUAAUUAUCAUUAGUGGGUUCUAAUAACUAGUUUAAGCACAAUAAUGACAUGAGGGAUUAAUUGUAGGAGAAUGGUCUCCUUUUAUAGUUGAGGAGAGUUUUUAGCUUUUGUCUGCGGUCGAUGUGGGACUCGAUGAGCUUUAUUCUGAUGUUGACAUGUGUUGCGUUGUGAUUGGCCUCCUGGUUGGAGGAAAAAUUUUAUGUUGUGGCAAGGGUGCCUUAGCAUGAACCCCUCAGUGAGUCCUUGAAGGUAUGACGUUGAUUGGUGCUCGAUAGUUUUGAGAUUGGUCAAGUAUGGUACAAAUAGUGCUCCCCUAAGUUCCCGAGUGAGGAAAGCUUCUUGGUUGGGGACUUGACAAAUCCAAGUCACUGAGUAAUCAUGAACUUCUGAGUACCAAGGUGUGGUAGCAUAUAUAGGAGUCCCCCAAGUCUCUGGACGAGAAGAAUUGCCGAAGAGGUGCCUUACUUAUUGCCAAUUUAUCAAAAUAGGGAAGCCUUGCUUUUAUAUCACACACUUUCAUUUAUGCCUUAUCGCAAAAAUAUUUCAAACUAGUUUGAGCUUCAUAAAGGCCUAGAAAUUUCUUUUAUGCUAGAAGCCCAACAUUUUUCUCUUUAUGUUAGAAGCCCAAAAUUCUUGUGCAGCCUGAAGCUACUCCUUUGUUUUGCAAGCCCAAGAAAAGGGGAGGCCCAGUGUCUUUUUUUUUUCUUUUUUUUUUUUUGUUGUUUCUGGUUUUUUUAUUUUUUGUUGUUUCUAUUUUUGUUUAGUUGCCAAGCCUAAGGAAAAAGAAAGCCCAGCUGUAGUUAGAAUCAGCCCUAGCCUUUGUUUGAAACUGGCCCGAGGCCCAGCUUAAGGCCAACCCAACACUAUGCACAACAACCUGUCCCGUGCCCAGCUUAAGACCUUUUUUUUUCUUUUUCUUUUUUCUGUUUUUUUUAAUCCGAACCCUAAUUACAUAGCCACCUAUCCCGUACUCUCUUCCUCGGCCUUCCCAUUUUGGCUGCGUAGCAUUCCACUCUGGUCUGUUUUUUUUUUUUAUUCAGCAGCCCAAUGCAUCAAGGUGGACAGUGGCACCUCUCUUUAUCCUUCUGUCUAUGAUUGUGCAGUCUGUAUCAACAUAACAUUUCCUUGUUCCCUCCCUUUUCAGCGUUCCUUAUGGAGACCCACCAAAAUCCAAAAGGAAAUUGCUCUCUGAUUUCUCCGUUAUGUCAUAUUUUCAGAACACAAACCGUUGGCAGCUGUUGCUUCGAAGGAAACUAGCUUCUACAUCUCCCCACGCGAUUGGGGCCGUGACACAGAAGAGCUCGAGUAAGUUGAGGAUGCAGGUAUGCAGCCUUUUCGAAUAGAGUGCAAAUUUUUCUCUAAGACCAGCUUAGAGGGGGUUGCAGAAGCUGGGGAGUUGUGCAGGUUGUCGAUGAGUGGCUGUAGCUGGGUUGUAGAGACGGGUUUGUGCAAGGGUGGCUGCAGGUAGGAACUUUGGUGGUGGAGGGAGCGGGACCGUUGCCGAUAUGCAGGCAUUUGGGUGUUGGGAAUGCGUCGAAGGAAUUUGGAGUUUUGGGUUUUGAUGGAGAGGUUGAGAGUUCAAGGUUGAAGGGAAUGACCGCUUUGAUUUCCAUAACGCAGCAAGUUCAAAGCUUGCUGUGAUUUUGGGUUGAAGGUUGCAGGUGGAGUGGCGUCGAAAGCUUGCUCUGAUGCGGGUUGCAACUUCAAAGGUCUAACAUUUUUCCUCGGACCCAUGUGACUCCAAGGCUCUUGAUUGGUAGCUAAAUGAGUGAAAGGUUAAGACUAUGUUCUUCGAAUUUUUGCUUAAUUUGAUGCCCUUGUCUAAUGUUGUACCCUGUGUUUGUAUUUUGUUUUUUUGCUAUAUGGUUUGUAUUCUGUUGAAUAUUUGUGUAUUCAAGUUGAUAUUGUCUUAGGAUAGCUUGUUUGGUUUCAGGAGUUGGGAGAGUUUAAAAAAUGAUUUCUUAUGUAAAAGUUUAUGUUUUACAAUGUAAUGGGUGAAGGUUAACGGUUGUAGCUUUUUGCUUCUUCGUGUGUAUAGCUUGUAGCUUGAGUGAUUUAAUGUGGGAGAGACUACACAAAUAGGUUUUGCUUCCACACUCUUGAGGAAAAGUGUGGAAGGCUUUGUUGAAGCUUUUGGUCAAAGCCCUUUUUUCAAGAGUGUGGAAGGCUUUUUGAAUUUUUUUGUUGAAGCUUUCGGUUGAAGCUUUUUUGAAAAGUACAUAAAUAGAUUUUGCUUCCACACAUUUGAAGAAGAGUGUGGAAGGCUUUUUGAAUAUUUUGUUGAAGCUUUUGGUUGAAGCUUUUUUGAAGAGUACAUAAAUAGAUUUUGUUUCCACACUCUUGAAGAAGAGUGUGGAAGGCUUUUUGAAUUUUUUGUUGAAGCUUUCGGUUGAAGUUUUUUUUUUAAGAGUACAUAAAUAAAUUUUGCUUCCACACUCUUGAAGAAGAGUGUGGAAAGCUUUUUGAAUUUUUUGUUGAAGUUUUCGGUUGAAGCUUUUUUUUUUUUUUUUUGAAGAGUACAUAAAUAAAUUUUGCUUUCACACUCUUGAAGAAGAGUGUGGAAGGCUUUUUGAAUUUUUUGUUGAAGCUUUCGGUUGAAGCUUUUUUUUUGUUUGAAGAGUACAUAAAUAAAUUUUGCUUCCACACUCUUGAAGAAGAGUGUGGAAGGCUUUUUGAAUUUUUUGUUGAAGCUUUCGGUUGAAGCUUUUUUUUUGUUGAAGAGUACAUAAAUAAAUUUUGCUUCCACAGUCUUGAAGAAUAGUGUGAAAGGCGUUUUGAAUUUGGGUGUGGGAAGCUCAUACCCUUGGGUGUGGGAAGCUCAUACCCUUGGGUAUGAGAAGCUCUCUUCCUUAGGUGUGGAAAGCUCUCUCCCUUCGGUGUGGGAAUCUUUCUUCCUUAGAUGUGGGAAGUUCAUGCCCUUAGGUGUGGGAAGUUCAUGCCCUUAGGUGUGGGAAGCUCUCUCCCUUGGGUGUGGGAGGCUCUCUUCCUUAGGUGUGGGAAACUCUCUUUCUUAGGUGUGGGAAACUCUCUUUCUUGAGUGUGGGAAGCUUUCUUCCUUAGGUGUGGGAAGCUCAUGCCCUUAAGUGAUGACACCUAUUACUCAGUACUUGAAAGAUCAUUCUUUCCCCACAAGUAAGAAGACCAGACAACAAGCAACUAAGUAUGUCAUGUGGGAUGAAUUUAUGCUAAGGAAGACCCUAGAUGGAUUGUUGUUGAAAUGUUGAGGCCAAGAAGAAUCAAUGAGAGUAAUGGGUGAAGUACAUGAGGGAAUUUGUGAGGCACAUCAAGUUGGAACUAAGAUGAGAUGUUGCUUAAAAGAUAUGGCUAUUUCUGGCCCGAGAUGGAAAAGGAUUGCAAGGCUUAUGUCCGAGGGUGUGAAGCAUGUCAAAAGCACAGACCUCUCCAACAUGUACCAUCAGUACCCUUGAAUCCUAUGAUAAAGCUUUGGCCCUUCAGAGGAUGGGCUAUGGACUUAAUCGGGCAAAUUUACCCUGCUUCUAGCAAGGGACAUACAUUCAUAAUUAUGGCAACAUAUUAUUUUACCAAGUGGGUAGAAGCUUCAUAUGUGAAGACUAUCACUUCAAAUGCUGUAAAAAAGUUCAUUAAGACCAAGAUUUUACAUAGAUAUGGGGUGUUCGAGACAAUUGUGACAGAUCGCGGGCAAUUUUUUAUUUCAAAAGAAGUAGAGGAAUUUGCAACUUAGUUCAAGAUAAAGAUGAUCCAGUCCAGUCCUUACUACCCCAAAUCAAAUGGUCAAGCAGAGACUAGCAAUAAGAUCUUGGUGAACAUUAUUAAGAGAAUGAUAACAGAAAGUCCAGCGAAAUGGCAUGAGAAGUUGGGAGAAACUUUGUGGGCUUACAGAACCUCUAAGAGGGCAGGAACUGGAACUACUCCUUAUACCUUAACCUUCGGGCAAGAUGUUGUACUCCCCAUGGAGAUUAAUGUGAGUUAUGUUAUGAUUCAAAAUCAGUUUGGGCUACACAGUGAAGAAUGCAUUCAGGCUAUGUGUCAAGGAAUUGAAGAUCUAGAUGUAGUCUGAAUUGAAGCUUUAAACAAGAUUCAAGAAAGGAAGAAAGUUGUUGCCUGAGCUUAUAACAAGAAGGUGAAAUUGAAAACCUUCAAGGAAUGAAAGUUAGUAUGGAAGGCAAUUUUGCCCUUAGGAGCUUAAGUCAGAGGCUUUGGAAAGUGGAGUCCUACUUGGGAAGGUCCUUUCAUUGUUAAACAAGUAUUAAAUAAUGGAGGUUAUUACGUGGUAGAUUUGGAAGGAAACUUGCAAAGGCAUCCAGUUAAUGCUAAGUUUUUGAAGAAAUAUCACCCAAUCUUAUGGGAUGUUAGGGAUUGUUAUAUUGAAGAAGUUUAAGCAUUGGGAAGAAACCUAAAGUUAGUUUGUGCAUUCACCAUAGUUAAGUUUUAAGAAGGAAUACAGGCUGAAGUGAAGGAAGAAGUCAUUUUUAUUUCAUCAAAUAUUGAAGUUACAUAAGGUUUAACUUAACAGUUUUACAUCCUUGGCUAGGGCAGCUAUCCUAGAGUGGUAUGUUUGCAUGAUAGUGAAGAUUUUGCCAGGCUCCUCCAAAGCAAUAUUAUUGUUGGUUAAUUAUGCUUCAGCAUCCUCAACUUCAACAUUUACUUUCUUGACUUCUUCAAUCUUUUGGUAAAGUCAUUUGUUCAGCCUUGAGUGUAGACAGUUGCUCCUCCAACUUUUGAAUUUCAGAAGUCACCUCUAUAAUCCUUGCCUCCAUGGCUGAGCCUUCUUCUACUAGCUUCUGCAAAGAAGAUGAGGUUCUUGAGUGCUUCUCCUUGUAGCAUUUUACUUUGUUGCCCUGCUUCUCUGCCCUCAGAUGCUGGUCCCUUAAUGCCCUCAAGUUCUAAAAAAAGUUAAGGAAUGACUCAAACUAAACCUUUGUCAUGUGUUGGGCUUUGUAGAGUUCAAUCAGAGCCUUCUCAGCAUCUUGAAGUCCCUUAAGGCUAAAAGAAGCAUUGAAGUCCAUCUGCAUCCAUUCUUGGAAGAUAUUGCGCCGAUCUUGAAGUUGUUGAGGCUCAAAAGGGCGCCUUUGAGACCUCAACUUUGUUCUGAUUUGCCCGACCUCUUUGACAAGCUCGGGCAACGAAGUUGUAGCUGGGAUAGGUGCGAGAGGUGGAGGCAUUGCUUCCGUACUCCCAAAAGUUAAGGAAGUAGCAGUAGUCCUUAUCUUCUUCGGUCUAUGGAUAGGAAUUCUCGUAACCCCAGAGGCCAAGGGAGACCUUGGGAAAGCUGCUUUAUGCACCAAAGGUAGAAGAGAUUGGUCCAAGCCUUCUCUAAGACCCUGUUGCAAACCAAGAAAAACAAGUUAAGAAUAAGGUCUACAAUUCAGAUUAAAGGAAGGCAAGAUAAGAGGAGUUAAUAUACCUGGGUUGAGAUCGGAGCCUUAGAAGAAGGUGGAUGAGUUGUUUUCUGCGAAGGCGGAGGAGGCUCAACCCUACUCACUGGAAAAGAAGUAGACGGACUGGCCUGAGCAGCCUAGGAAGCCCGAGGACUAGUUACCUCUGAGACCAUUGGGAUCUCAGAGACUAUUAGCUCCCUAAAUGAAGUGGUUGGUGGCUAAUUAGUCUCAUGUGUUGAGGAUGACUAAAAAUAACAAAGUAUAAGUACAAAUAGAAAGAACUUCAAGCAUAAAAGGCUCAAGCUAAAGGGCUUACCAAGUUACUAUUGUCAUCCACAAAGUGUAACAUCUCCUAAGUUGAAGGAUUUGAGAAGAACUUUGCCCAAUUAAAGGCGCAAGAUCCCCAACCUUGGCCUAGAGAAGAAUGAAGGUCUAUCAAUAAUUUCAAAAGUGAUAAAGUUGCAGGCUUAAAGCCAAGAGGAAGAAAAGUAUACCUUUGAAGAUUUAGCCCGAGAAGGAGAAUCAUGUAUUGUUCGGGCUAGAGGAGAAAAAUCAUCGGGCUGAGAGAUCCCUUUUUCCCUUAUGUCCUGUUUUAGGCAAUCGGGCAAAGAAUUAAUGCAAAGGGAAAUAAGGGGUAAAACUUUGAAGGGGUGACUUGAGAUGCAGGUUAUACAUUCAAUUCUUCAAGAAUGGUAUCAAGAAGAUCCUUGUCCUUGUGGUACAUCUUCAUGCCUAACGGUUCAUCCCUUGAAACAAAAGUAGGCUUCUUGGUUGCUUGAGAUCCUAGUAGCAAGGAAGAAGAAGUUAUUAGUUCAUAGAGUGAAGAUUGCAAUUAAGAAAAAAGUGAAAUGAAGUUAACUUACUGGAUGACUUCUGCUUCUUUCUUCCCACUUCAAUUGGAGAAGCAAUGGAAGACUUAGAACAUUUGGAGGUUUUAGAAGUUUGGGCCCUGGAUCUCUUUUUCGUAAGGGUUGCCCGCAGACCAGGUAUAAAUAGUGGAGGCUGAGGCUGCUCCUCAAGCUCAAAUUCUGAAGAUUCCACCAUUGUUGCCAUUAUCCGAAGCGUUGCUUGAGUUUCUACAAUGGGCUCAGCCUCACCCUCAGAGUCUCCAAAUAACUAAGAGAUGUCCCUAACCUCUCAAGCUGCUUGACUGAAACCAACACUUUGUCCCUAACCCCUCAAGAAAAGAAAAAUACUUAUUAAAAGAAGUUAGUUCUUCUAAUAGAUCAUCUCCUUUCAACUUUCAAACUCGCUUGGCUUGGGAUAAGACUUGAUUGUGAGUUGCCCGAAUAGGUAGGCAUGAGACUCCCUGAGAUCCCCUCCAUACUUCUUAGCCCACUUGGCUUCCCACCUGGAUGAGAAGAAAUCAGUACACACAAAAUUUAAUAUCAUGGGCUUUCGGGCAACCUUGCUCAUCACUUCUAGGCUACGCCGAGCUGCCCGAAAAGUAACUUCUUGAUAAGAAUGAAAACGAAAAGAAGUACUACAUUGUACUGAAUCAAAGAAUGGAACAAAAAUGUCUUGUCUGAACCUCAACUGCCUAGCACAGAAGUUGGGGUGGUAUACUUCCAGUCCACGAUUGUAGCCUCAAUCGAUGUGGACUCCCUACGCCAAAUCCCUUGGUUGAAUGCAGCUGAUGAAUUUAUCCUUGCAAAAUUGGUUGGUGUCAUCCCCAAAGGCAUCUUGGAACGCUUGGUCAGAGAACUAGGGAUACCUCUUGAGUACUGAAGCUCCCCACUCCAAGUCUGCCCAAGUGCGGCAAACUCUGAAGAAGUAAAGGCAGGAGAAUGUUGAAUGGUUGGUGGGAGAGGCCUUGGCCAGGAUUCGAGCAAGGGAUACUCAUUCGGGGAAUUUUAGAUUAGGUGCCUGAAGCUCAGGAAAAUACCAUUGUAACCAUAACUAGACCAUCCAGGUUGGCCCGUUGAGGUUAGUUUCGAAUGGUUCACUCCUGGUCAUCUCAAAAAGAAGAUGAUAAAGAUGAGCAAGAAGAAAAGACCCUGUGGCCACAUCAUCAAACAAGUGCAAGGCCUCCACCCAAGGACUCCACUAUAAAUUCACUUCUUUGGAUUUGUUGGGGAAGAUAUGCUUAUUGAGCCAAUACAAGAGGAAGUGCAUGUGCUCUUGAUCCCUAUUUGCAGUAGCAGAAGAGGGGCUGAAGGCAUUCUUGGCAGAUGGGAUGAAACCUUUGAAUAAGGUCUCAUAGCUUUUGAAGGUUAAAGAAUCAUACUCCAAUCGGAUGAUAGAGUCAGAAUCGCCCGAGCCUUCAGCUGUCGGGCUAAAGGGGGAGGACCAACCAUGGGUGACUUCCACGACUCUGCCCGAGGGCCAUAGCCCGAAGGCUUGAGCCAUGUCAAGGAUGGUUGGGGACGUGGGACCCAUCCUAAAAUCAAAAGCGUUGGUCCCCUAAUUCCAGAAAAGAAGAGCUGUGGUCAGCAGUUUUGGAUUGGUGAUCACGGUGGCCUUGGAAAGCAUUAUUGGCUCGUAUAUGCCGUUGUUCAUCCAUUUCUUCUUGAAGAUGGGCUCAAGCUCAUUCACUCAUUGUGCCCACGCCUCAUCCUUCAUCAAAGGGAAGCCGUGGCGGUGGUUCGACCACUUGGAGGCCGAAAUGCUAGCCUCGGCCAAAAAAGGGUUGUGGGUGAACCAAUUUGCCUUGUACAUGAUGUUCUCCAUGGAAAUGGGGACCCUGGAGGUCCAGGCAAGUCCCAAAGAAUGUACUCCCUCUUCCUCGAAGAAAAGAGAAGUAUUGAGGCCAGCCCAAGGGCGAUGAAAGUUGUUGAGCAAGGGAUGCAUAGUAACGAUCCCUUCAUUAGACUCGUAAGAAGAUUGAGCUUGAGCAGCUUUGGGUGCCAUUGAGCUUUGAAAGAAAUGAGAGGAAAAUUGGGAAUAGGGGGCAAGAACUAUGAGAGCAAGAAAAUUCUAGAAAUUAUGAGGGUUCUGAGAAAUCUAGGAUUUUGGAAGCUCGGAGGAUUAAAAUUGCUAAGGUAUUUGGCCAAAGGAUUUAAGUGAAGAUUAUAUAGUAAAGCAGUUAGUUAAUGUUGGAAAUCGUGGGUUAAUGCAAAGGUUUAGUUAACAACGAUUGUUUUAAAUAGUGCAAGUCCCGAGUAAAAGCAUGCGGUUCGUUUUAAUCAUCAUUGACGCCUCGGAUUGCAGACUCAACAAUGAUUAAAGGGGGCACUGUUUGGGUUAAUAUUUAAAAAUUGGGCUUGAAAGAAGACAAGCCCAAGGAUGUCAAAAUUAAAUGAAGACUUGCCCGAGGCCCAACAUUAAGCAGCCAAGAAAAAAGCCAUAUGCCCAUAAUUGAAGUGACAAGUGAUGGAGACCAACCUACUAUCAGCCAAAAAACACUUUCUAGUGGCAUUACAAGUAAAAAACUGAUAACUCACUACCCUCUCAGUACUUUUGGGUAAGAGCAAAAGCUACAGCAGCUAGGCCAAACUGUAUAUAAAAGGGAAGACAAGCCCCAGAGACAAGGACACUCAACCAAUCAAACAAACAAGCAAACAAACUCUGCUCUUAAGCCAGUUUGUGCUCUUCAAGCCUGAAAUCAACCCAGAUUCAGUCUUUUCAAGCAAUAGUUUCCUUACAAAAGCUAUAUUUUGUCUAGUAUAAAAGCUUUGCUACCUCCCUUAUUGUUGUAGUAUCGAUUUCAUCGUGUAAACCUGUUUACCAUCCAUCCCUUUUAAGCAUACAACCCUUGUAAACUCAAAGAGAAGUGGAUGCAAGAAGUUCGACCUUGCCAAACAAGGUGAAAUCUUGCCCGAUUCUCUUUGUUUGUUCUCUAAAUUAGUAGAUCUAUUGAUUAAUGCACUCUUCAACAUGUUUUCAAGUUAUUUCCACCUGCUUUUCUAUUUUAGGAGUCUCAUUUGCAUCUGGUUAACUUAAUGGGUAUGUUUUCAUUAAGAGCAAUUUGGAACCAAACAAAUGACUUAAGGGGCUCUGGACUCCCUUCAUUCGAACAUACAAGAUUAUGAACUAAAAGUCCUUGUUUACAAGGCUAGAAAAAAAACUUAAUACAGAUUUAACCCAUAUGUGACAAUCAUUUGAUAACAAGUUCGAUUAACUUGGGGCGCAAGUAAUCGACUUAAAACACACUUGUUCUACAUCUGCUAUACUGAGAUAGCAGUGGCGCGCCUAAGCAUUUAGUUAGUUUUGAUUGCGAGCCUCAAGGCCUACACCUAAGGCCCCACAAAGGCACAUUUCAGAACUAACUUCAAGCUCUUAUUGCAGCACACAAGGCAAGCAAUAGCUCGACUACCAAACAUACACAUCCAAAGUGUCAAACCCUUGGGGAACUGUGCUGAGGUCCAGAGAAAUCUUUGCCCGAACAAAAAGCAAGAGAUUUUACAUCUGGAUGGGGAGUUUGCACCAGUUUGAUAUACGUCAGGCCAUGGAGAUACUCAUAUAGUACAACUUCUUAAAUAUUUUUUAGGGAGCUUUAAUGAAAAGGGCUUGGAUAAAGUUUAAUUUAACCAAAAACCACCCUAUACUAUUAUUUAAUCAAAAGGGCUUCAUAUUUAAUCAUAAGGACAAAACUAUUCUAUUUCAGGCCCACAUCCAUUAAACCCACAUGGGAUGAAUUAAAAGCCCAAAACGAAAUAAAUUUUUUUUCCAGCCCCUGCCCCUAACAAAAAUCCCAUUCUGUUAGCCAAUCUGUUAGAAUUAAACUUCUUUUUAUUUACAAGUAUGCCACUACCUCAUUAAUCCACCAAACAGAGAUUAAUAGGUUUGUUAUUCAAAAGGUGCCUACCUCCUCCAACAAACGAGCUUCCUCUCACCUUGCGAUUUCUUCCGACUUUAGUCGGUUGAAAUGAGAUAGCUAACAAGCCGUCGAGAAGGAGCUUCUGGUCCUUAGCCUCAAGCUCGCCGACGUCGAUCUCCAUAGUGUCUCCGACGACGUUUCUGAAAAUGCCGCGUCAUACUCGGGCGUAGGUCGGGAGCUGUUCUAGCGCGGUCCACCGCAGCGCCUCCUCAUCGUCCCCUCCCUCCCGAAACGACCCCGAUCUCGCGAACACGUUCUCCGCCGAGUUCCACAUCGGAAAUCCCCAAAAGCUCUCCCUAGCCACAGAAAAUGCAGAGGCUUAAGCUGAAGAGGGAGAUAAGAGAGAGAGAGAGAGAGAGAGAGAGAGAGAGAGAGAGGCUAAUACAAAGUGGAGUGUGAAUGUGAGAAUGACAUGUUUGAUUGCUAAAAGUGGUAGUUAGAGCUCUGCAUUUAAUUUAUCUAUCUAAAUAAGUCUUGCUGUUUGUUGGCACGGAUGAGAGAGAGAGAGCUUCUACUCUUUCUCUAAAAUAUUUCAUCUUUCUCUCUCUAAAAUGCCCCAUUAAAGUUUUUCACAGUUUGUGCAGGACGACAGAGAGAGAGGUUCAUUUAAUGGCCGCGGGAAAGACAGAACACAGGAGGCCUCUUUCAAAUCACAACUCGCUCGGAUAUUUAAAUCAACUAUAUCUGCUCCACAUAUGAAGCUUCUAUUUCAUCCAACGGCUGGAAUUAAUCGUGAAAUGGGGAAGUUUGAAAGAAUAUAAUUUUUGGAGGCUCAAAAUAAUUGAUGCCCUUGUUUCUUUUUUACCUACGAAAAAAUGAAAACUCUUUGUUUCUUGGUACUAUUGCUAUAUUUCUAUAAAUAGUAUUUAUUUUGUUCAAUUCCAGAAAUACUGUGAGUUAUUUUGCUAUCUUUCUAUAAAUAGUGUUUAUUUUGUGUGGAGGAAAGUGGCAUUUGGUUGGUGGAAGGUUAAUUAUGUUGGUGCAUGGAGAGAAGAGACGACGAUUGGUGGUACGUGUUGGGUGAUUAGAAACAGCAGUGGUUAGUUCCAAUUGGGAGGAGGUCCUGGUGGAGUGAGGGCAACCUCCAGUUUAAUAAAUAGUGUAGUACCCGUGUCAGUUUCAUAAAUAGUAAGUUUAAUAAAUAGUGUAGUACAUGUAUCAGUUCAUAAAUAGUCAGCCAGUUUAAUAAAUAGUGUAGUACUUGUGUCAGUUUAAUAAAUAGUGUAGUACAUGUGUCAGUUUCAUAAAUAGUCAGUCAGUUUAAUAAAUAGUGUAGUACCUGUGUCAGUUUCAUAAAUAGUGAGUUUAAUAAAUAGUGUAGUACAUGUGUUAGUUGCAUAAAUAGUUAGUCAGUUUAAUAAAUAGUGUAAUACCUGUAUCAGUUUCAUAAAAUAGUCAGUGAGUUUAAUAAAUAGUGCAGUACGCGUGUCAGUUUCAUAAAUAGUGAGUUUAAUAAAUAAUGUAGUACAUGUGUCAGUUUCAUAAAUAGUCAGUCAGUUUAAUAAAUAGUGUAGUACCUGUGUCAGUUUAAUAAAUAAUGUAGUACAUGUGUCAGUUUCAUAAAUAGUCAGUCAGUUUAAUAAAUAGUGUAGUACCCGUGUCAGUUUCAUAAAUAGUGAGUUUAAUAAAUAGUGUAGUACAUGUAUUAGUUUCAUAAAUAGUUAGUUAGUUUAAUAAAGGGGUAUGAUAUCCACACACCCCAUUUUACUUCUCACACACCCUUCUAAUUUUCGGCCGUCGGAUCGGAUGAAUUGAAGAAGAUCAACGGAUAGAAAUUAACAAGGGUGUGUGAGAAGUAUUUUGGGGUGUGUGGAUAGCACACCCCUUAAUAAAUAGUGUAAUACCUGUAUCAGUUUCAUAAAAUAGUCAGUGAGUUUAAUAAAUAGCAUAGUACCCCUGUUAGUUUCAUAAAUAGUCAGUUUAAGAAAUAGUUAGUAUUAAGUUUCAUAAAUAGUCAGUCAAUUUAAUAAAUAGUGUAGUACCUGUGCCAGUUUUAUAAAUAGUCAGUCAGUUUAAUAAAUAGUGUAGUACCCGUGUCAGUUUUAUAAAUAGUGAGUUUAAUAAAUAGUGUAGUACAUGUGUCAAUGUCAAUUUUAUAAAUAGUCAGUCAAUUUAAUAAAUAGUGUAGUACCCGUGUCAGUUUCAUAAAUAGUGUAGUAUCCGUGUUAGUUUCAUAAAUAGUCAAUUUAAGAAAUAGUCAGUGUUCAGUUUAACAAAUAAUGAUAUUACCCGUGUUUAGUUUUCAAAAAUAGUCAGUAUUCAGUUUAAGAAAUAGUUUAGUAUACGCGUUCAAUUUCAGAAAUAGUCUGUUUAAGAAAUAGUGUAGUAUCCAUGUUUAGUUUCAGAAAUAGUACCCGUGUCCAGUUUCAUACAUAACAAUUUAAAAAAAUAGUAAGUGAAGAAAUAAAAUUUCAAUUUUUUAACUUUUUAUGGUGAAUGAAAUUAAAAAUAUAGGUGAAAAAAUAAGACAAUCGGUAUAAAUAGCCUUGGUCAAGAUUGUAGCACAAGUAGUACCUGCAUGAACAAUUAAAAUUUGUAAUUACCAAGCCAGACAAAACUUUGAGCAAGAUCAAUCCAUUACGUAAUAUUUAAUUCAACUAAAAGAAAGAAAGAAAAAUAAAUAAACUUGUUAGUAAACUGCAGAGCUAUAAAAUAAUAGUAUUAUACCUCACAUGUUCGAUCUGAUCCUCUACUCUAAAUUAAAAUUAAGGAAACAAAACACAGAUUUAUACAUGCAUAGAAAACUAGAUAGCACUUGAUGAAAUAGGAUUUGUCACCUUGCCACUGUCUCUCACUCCCUCUCUCAUCUAACAAAAGAACAACGAAAUUUAUUUUUUAUUUUUUUUGCAUUAAUUUGUGGUUUUUAUUUUCAACAGUGACGUUUUGGAAGACAAUUUCAAAGGGUUGCGAGGGAUUUUAAAAGGUUUGUAAUUGGCAGUGUCAAAAGGCUUGGGAGUUGAAGAAUGCUACAUGGAGAAAGCUUUUAUUUCCCAUCUUAAUUAAUCUCAAGUUUCUCAUCAAUCAAACAAAAGAUAGAAAAUCAAGUCGCAUAUCUAUCUACCCAAAAGUAUCCUGGAAAUUGAUAGGGUUGGGAGGGAUGUCCUUGCAGUCGGAAGACGCAGGUAAGCGUUCGAACGCUCAGAAGCCGCCCUUUGCAAUUCUUGCACCUUAGGAACGGCAGCCAUGAUCCAACUCUGACAGGUUUUUUCGGCGGAAGGUAGAUUCGGUAAGGGCGUGUCAUCUAGGUCAUACAACGACAUCUCCGCUUCUUUCUGAAGUGCGAUCUGCAUCUGUUCAUCACAUGCAUGAGGUUUCCACUGCCAUUUUUCAGAGUUGGUGGUUAUUGAUGUGUGUGUUGGAAUUGGAGAGGGAAGACAGAGAGGAGUUGAAUCUUAAUUUAGUUGGAAGAGAAAAUUACCUGGUCAGCUGGAUAACCAAAGAAUCAAGUAAAAUGGGAGCUCGUUGAUUUGACGAAGCAGAAGAUCUAUAGACAUCACAGAGAAAAUUACCGACAUCAUGGAGAAAUAAAUUUGAGAUCUAUAUACCUUUCCUCUCUCGCGAAACGGACCAAAUAAACGGGAAAGCCAUGACGUUAAGGGCAAAAUUGGAAGUUCGAUAAAUUACAUUUUUUGAGCUAAUUUUAUUGGGCUGAUAUAAAAAUGGGUUUUGUACUAACCAUUAAAUAAACUUUCAAUGUGGUUUUUGGUUAAAAGUUAAACUUUUCAAGCCCUUUUAGUUAGUUUUCUUUAUUUUUUAUGAUUGGUUUUAUAUGAAGAUUACGGUGAUUAGUCGACGAUUAAUGCUCAAAUGAUAAGCGUACUACGUACGUAAGUACUCUCCUUCUCUCUCAAACACACGCAUACACAGAAUUGGUAUACUAUUGUACACAAACGUAGCUCCUGAUAUAUUCUGAUUCAAGAGCUUUCAUCAGUCAAAGAUGCUGCUAUGCAUGGACAAUCGAUUAUCUAUAGUAGUACUUCGUUUUAAUUCCAUAAAAAUACUAUUGAAGUUUGAUUUGUACUUCGUUUUAUAAUUUAUCUUGUUGCGGUUAUAAACUAAUUUAAUAGUAAACUCUGUUUUCAUGUGCUUAUAUUGAAAGCUGAAUAAAUUUUCUCUUUGUUCUCCUAUGAAACACAUAAUAAUGAUAUCUUACCAACUAGUUCUGAACUAAUAAUUCCAAGACUAUCAAUUUCCCAAGUCAAGUAACUACAUUAUUCCCACUUUCAUCCUGGAAGGCUUGAUUCUUUGGCCACGUCUAUCUUUAAUUUAAUUAUGUUUAUGCUUCCUGUUUUAUCUUUCUGUAAAUAUAUGGUUCUGUUCCGGUCACCUUUUGCCUAAGCGUAUACAAUUUGUUGUAGUUUGUUUGAGACAAAAUGGCAGAAGGGCUGGACAAGUAGGAGGCUUCCUGUUUUAUCUUUCUAUAAAUAUAUGGUUCUGUUCUGGUCACCUUUUGCCCAAGUGUAUACAAUUUGUUGUAGUUUGUUUGAGACAAAAUGGCAGACGGGCUGGACAGGUAGGAGAGAAACUUCGUAGUGCGGCGCUACUAGUGAAGCUCUCACACCUGGUGGGACCGAAUACAGGAGGUCCCAUGCAUAUGUGAGACCUACAGAUUGUUAUGCGGAAGCGGCAUUCGACUGUAAGUGAAUAGUAAAACAGAACAGAAACAAAACCAACAUCAACAAGAACACCAAGAUUUAUACUGGUUCGGCAAUGCCUACAUCCAGUUUGGAGACGACGGAGUAUUCCACUAUAAUCAAUGAGAACAUACAAUAGUGUUUAUCACUCAAUUUCCCAAAGACCCAAAUAACCCCAAGCUCUCACACUUACAAUAGGAAGAGAAAACCAAAAAAAUACAAAGCAAGACAAUUUGAGAAAAUUCUUCUCUAUGUCAAAUGGCUUCUUGCUAUUUUUCUCUCUUCCUUGUUAUUCUCUACUUCUCCAUGCUUAUGGGUUGCACCUUGCUCUCCUUUUAUAGCCAAAGAAUGGUCAAAGGCCUACCAUCAAGUCAAAAGAGUUAGGCACAAAUUAGGCACAAAUUAGGCACAAAUGUUGUUUGCCUCCCAUUACCACAAAGUAGCCCAAAGAUUUGAACUUUGACUACAUGUUUGAGUCAAUAAUCAACACAGAUGACGCGGUUGGAGUGUCACUGCCCAAAAUUUUCCCAGAGAAGUAAAACGCUGAUUUUUUCUACUGAUACUUGGAUUAGUACCCACAAAUAAAAUUCUUUAGUGGAAAAUUUGUUGUGCUAUAUGUAAGAAGUUGAAACUUCUCCAUUGAGAUAUUCUAGUCUCAUCGUCGACAUUGUGCGUAGUAUAUUUUAAAAUUUAGAGGACGCUACUUUCUGCCUGGAUUCUACAGUGUAAUUAUAUGGAAUGCAUAUCUCAUGGUAAUUUAGACUUCAAUUUUAGUCCAGAGUCCAGACUUAUCAAUUAGUAGGUCUUGAGUUUCUAGAAAUGCUCUGGUCCAUUUAGCAAGUCCAGUCACACAUAUUGUGCUUCCUUUUAACUGUUUUUUUUUUCCACAGGUCACUGGUGUUGAUUAAUAUGGACUGAGAAAGUAGCUAUUUUGAAUUGAAUUUACAGCUUGAAUUUCAUUGUAUUGCAUAAUAGACAAUAUGUACAAGAUACAAUCCUUAUUCUAUAAGGAAACAAUAAAGGACACACACAUAUCCUUCCUAAUAAAGGAUUUUUUAAUAUUUACAAUAUAUUUAUAUGCCUUUUUUAAUACCACUCACGGCAACACUCCCCCUCAAGUUGGAGCAUAGAUAUCACACAUACCCAACUUGACAAGUGAGUCACCAAAAGAUCUACUAGACACGGCAUGAGUGAGGAUAUCCGCAAGCUGCUCUUCCGAGUUCACAAACGGUAUUGAAACAAUUUUCUUCUCCAGCUUCUCCUUAAUAAAAUGAUGAUCAACCUCCACAUGUUUUGUUAUGUCAUGUUGUACCGGGUUCUCUGCAAUCUCCUGUGCAGAUUUAUUAUCACAAUACAAACUUGUCGCCUCUUUUGCUUUGAAACCUAGACCACCAAGUAACUUACGUAACCAAAGAACUUCAUAUAUUCCAUGUGCCAUACCUCUGAAUUCGGCAUCAGCUGACGAUCUUGAUACCAUGUUUUGCUUCUUGCUCCUCCAAGUAACUAGAUUUCAACCAACAAACGUAAAGUACCCAGAAGUAGAGCGUCUAUCAGUUACAUCACAUGCCCAAUCAGCAUCAGUAAAUCCUCCAAUCCUCAGAUGACCGGAAGUUUUAUACAAAAUUCAUUUUCCUGGAGCCAACUUCAAAUAAGCUAAAAUCCGCAUAACAGUUGCCAUAUGAUCCACACUUGGCGAGUGCAUAAACUGACUCACCACACUUACUGCAUAGGCUAUAUCCAAACGAGUAUGAGCUAAGUAAAUUUGUCUUCCUACCAGUCUCUGAUAUGUGCCUUUAUCCACUAGCUCUUGAUCCGAAUAAAUUCCCAAGUAAUGUUUCUCCACAAUGGGAGUAUCCACGGGUUUACACCUAAGCAUCCCUGUUUCCUUCAAUAAAUCCAAAACAUAUUUCCGUUGAGACAAAAAAAUACCUCUGGACGAACGAGCAACUUCCACACCAAUGAAAUACUUCAAAUCACCUAAACUCUUCAUCUCAAACUCGGCAUAAAGGUUCUUUUCCAGUUUGACAAUUUCAUCUGAAUCAUCACCUGUUAUUAUCAUAUCAUCUACAUAAAUAAUCAAAGUUGUUACUUUACCGUUUCUCCGCUUCACAAAUAAAGUAUGAUCAGAAUGACUCUGAUAAUACCCAUUCUUUCUCAUAGCCUGAGUGAACCUCCCAAACCAUGCACGUGGUGACUGCUUAAGCCCAUAAACAAACUUCCGCAAUCGGCACACUCCCAAUUUUCCGCCGUUGCUAUACCCUGGAGGGAAGUCCAUAUACAUUUCUUCCUCCAGAUGUCCAUGAAGAAAUGCAUUUUUUACAUCAAACUGUUUCAAUGGCCAAUUCAAAUUUGCAGCUAGUGAAAUAAGAACUCGUACCGUAUUCAUCUUAGCCACGAGAGAGAAAGUUUCCUGGUAAUCAACUCCGUACAUUUGAGUAUACCCUUUCGCCACCAACCUUGCUUUAUACCUGUCAAGUGAUCCAUCAGCCUUGUAUUUCACAGUAAAGACCCAUCGGCACCCAACUAGUUUCUUUCCCUUUGGCAGCUCAACUAUUUCCCAAGUAUUAUUUUUCUACAAUGCCCUCAUCUCUUCAUCCAUUGCUUCAAUCCAUUCUAGACUCUUCACAGCGUCUUCUACUCGAGUUGGUACCUGAAUUGAAUCCACAUAUUCACCCAUGCCUGACGUUUGGAUGACAGACUUUCACAGAACACAUAAUUGGCUAUAGGAUACUUCACUUUUCCUUCUGGAGAGAACUUGUCAGGUGGUACACCACGAUUUUGCCUUGCUGGCAAUUUAUAUGUACUUAUAAUAUCAUUAGUUACAUGAGUAUCACUAGUACUUACCUCAGGGAUAUCCAAAGAAGAUGCAUUGGACGACAACACUGUUGAGUUAGAGAGAGGGGGGAAGCUUCAGCAAUAAUUGGCUGGUCACCAGUGCACUCCCCUUCGGCAGCACCAAUACAUGGACUAGUAGUCUUUUCUUCAGUGGGAAGCUGAGGGAUACUUGGACCAGGUUUCGUGGGACCCUGUUGUCUACUCAUAACUGCAGGCUCGGUAGAAUGAGACUGAGCAUUAUCACUUACAUCACUCGUCACACCCUGCACUCCCCCUGAAGAUGUUUCCUCUGGUACAUCCAACCAUUCGAGAACACCACCAAGAUCACAACUAGAACUCUCCCCCUUGUGAUCAAAAGGCGGUGAUAUAGGAGUAUAAAAAUAUUCAGACUCAGAAAAGGUCACAUCCAUGGUGAUAUACAUGUGACGAGUGGCAAGGUGGUAAAACUUGCAACCUUUCUGGUGGGAUGCAAAACCCACAAAGACACACCGAAGAGCACAAGGAUCCAAUUUACUACGAUGAAUCUUGUGAAUAUGAAUAUAAGCCACAUACCCAAACACUCGAGGAGUCAGUGUAUUGGUAGAAACAACCGGAACAUGUUUUGUUAACACUUGGAGUGGAGUACGAAAUUCGACAACCCGGGAUGACAUGCGAUUGAUAACAUACACGGCGUAGGUGAUGUGUCCGUCCAAAAACUCUUGGGAACUGACCCACCAAUAAGCAGUGCACGAGCAGUUUCCAAAAUAUGAUGGUUUUUCCUCUCAGUAACCCCAUUUUGUUGUGGGGUGUAUGAGCAAGUUGUCUCAUGGAAAAUUCCUUGAUCAUGGAAAAAAUUGGAAAGCUCAAAGUUAGCAUAUUCUCCCCCAUUAUUAGGACGAAGAACUUUAAUAAUGGAGGAAUAUUGAACAGCCACCAUCUGAGAGAAAGACUGAAUAAUUGCACUUACAUCACUUUUAUGUUUCAACAAAUACACCCAUGUCAUACGAGUGCAAUCAUCAACAAACAUAACAAACCACUUAACUCCUGAAACUGUAUUAACGGGUGAAGGCCCCCAAACAUCUCAAUUCACAAGCUCAAACGAAAGCAAUCUUUUAUUCAUAUUAGAAGGAAACGAAGCAUGAUGGCUCUUAGCAAGAAUACAUACUUCACAAUAUAAGUCUGAUUCCUUUAUUUCAUGAAACAUACUAGGCAACAUACGCCUUAAAUAACCAAAAGAAACAUGUCCUAACUAACGAUGUAGCAACCAAACUUCUUGCAGAUUACUAGUACAGGAUGCUUGAACUGCAUUAACUUUGCCAGGAACGACGUCAUCCACAUAGUACACUAUCUUAGUGCCACGCCAAAUUAUCUCCUUGGUCUGAAUAUCCUGAAUAAAACAAAAAAAUGGAUACAUAAGUACAACACAAUCCAGUUGCUCAGUAACUUGGGGAAUAGAUAAUAAAUGGUGAGGCAACGACGGAACAAGCAAACAGUGGUGGAGAGAAAGAGAUGGCGUGAAGUCCACUAUGCCAGCUCCAGUCACCAUGGCAGUGGUGCCAUUUGUCGUGGCAACACACUUUUGAUGUGUCAUUGUCAUAUACUUAAAUAACCUUUUAUCAAACGUCAUAUGAUCAGUUGUUCCAAAGUCCAUAAUCCAACUUGUAUGUUGUUCAGUACCAGAGGCUAAAAGAACACGCCCACAAUACCUGUAUUGGAUGAAGACUCACUGGGAUUGAGUCGGGUCAACAAGGCUUGACUUGGAUCCCCUGAGUAGGCACGGCAUCUUUGUUUCCAGUUGUUGUGGCAGCCAUAGGUGGAUGCCUUCCACUAGCUCCGCUAGAAGCACGCUCUUUAGCACGCAACUUUUUCUUCAAUUCCGGAAACCAUUCAGGUACUCCAUGUUUCUGAAAACACGUAUCUUCCGUAUGACAAGUUUGCCCAUAAAAAGUACACUUCAAAUCAUCCUUAUUAUCUCGAGUGAAAGGGUAAGAAUCAGGUGAUGAAGAUGGACUAGGGCCGACCAGAAGAAUGAGGUCGUGACAUCAUAGGCACGAGAAGGGUUCCUCCUUGGUUCCUAGCGGCACUAACUCCCAUCAUAAUAGCAUGGCGUUGAGCUUCCCGCCUAACUACUGAAAACACUUCCUCCACGGAUGGUAGAGGGUGAGUUCUCAAAAUAUCACUACGGACCUUGUCAAACACAUCAUCGAGGCCCGCUAAAAAAGCAUACACACGGUCUAGUUAAACUUCUUCCCGAAGUGUCUUCAAGUCAAGAGCACACUCCAUCUUGAUUGGUCUUAUCUGAUCGAGUUUUUGCCAAACAACUUUAAGAUCAGCAUAGUAUACACCAAUAGGCCGCCCUUCUUGGCAAAGUCAAGAGCACACUCCAUCUUGAUUGCUCCUUAAUACUCCUUGUCACGAACCCUUUUUUUCCACGCUCAGCAAUAUGCAUCUCUAAUACUUUUGACCAAAGAGGGUAAUUUGAUCCAUUGAGUUUUACGGUAUUUGGUACGUUUGAAGCAUCAUUUUGAAUAACCACAUGAUUGACAACUGACCCGUGGGUAGAGCCAAAUGCCCUACCUUCCAAUUUCAGCACAGCCUCUCCUUUGUCACUUGCCAUUAAUCACAAUACACACCACACACACGGUUUUGCUGCAGGGAUGCAGUGACAAACCCUGAAAUCUGAUGUGGUCCUUGUCUCCUACAACAGCAACACGGCAGCCUGGACUUGCUGCAGAAACGUAGCAGAGAUCAUAGAUGUGUGAGGGGCUUUCUCGAGGUUUUCUUGCUUUUACUGUAGCAGCGGCACGGUGGGAAUUUUUUAGGGUUACGCUUGUCUCUGAUGCCAAAUUGAAAUUACGGCUUGAAUUUCAUUGUAUUGCAUAAUAGACAUAUAUACAAGAUACAAUCCUUGUUCUAUAAGGAAACAAUAAAGGACACACACAUAUCCUUCCUAAUAAAGAAUUUUUAAUAUUUACAAUAUAUUUAUAUGCCUUUUUUAAUACCACUCAUGGCAACAUUUUGCUCCUUGAUUUACCUUGUCCCGUACGUCUCAGUAUGAACGUGUGACUGUUUUAGCUACAACUGGCUUCAUCAUCUUUUUUUUCUUUUUUUUGAAUCUCCGCAGUACGAAGAAAAUUUAUUGACAUGAAAAAUAAAAGUUACACCUAGUUAAAAGGACAAACAUUACAUGUCAUACUACAACAAAUGAGAAGGGAAUAAAAACUUGACCCCUCCUGAAACUUGAAGAAAAUGAAUACAAGAAAAGACGGGGGUGCAAAUGAUAAAAAACCCUCUGAUAUAGAACUUAGAAGUCAUUGCAACCAAGUGACAAUCUACAAACCAUAUCCGAAAAAGAUUACCUCGGACGAAAAAAAUGAAGUCCAACACGGUCUCUUCUAUAUGAUGCAUCUGCAAAAUCAAGUAUCAAGUCCCACUAUGUAAAACUACUAUUUAUUGUACCAAAAUUAGCAAAAGAAUCUGCCAAACAAUUUCCUUCCCUAAAAGAUAUGAAAAACGGAAGCACAAGCGAGCAAUAUACCAUAGACAACUUGCUUCAUCUAAUGGAGGUAGAUUCUCUGCCCUCCCGUACCCUCCUGUUUUGUGUGGUUAUGGUUAAGCCAUGUCAACAUUUUAUAUUUUUUUUUAUAGAGAUAAUAAGAUAAAAAUGAAUAGUAAUAUAAAGUGCUGACGUGGCUUAACCGUGACCACACAAAACAGAAGGACACGAGAGGGCACAGGAAGUGGGAGGGCAGAGAAUUUGCCUUCUCAUCUAAUUGGCUUUGUGUUUUCUGUUUGUAUAUGGGAAACAAAGGUCAAUGGAUUCAUUGACGUUUAGCAUAACUGACAAUUGCCUCCUUAUGAAUGGUUGCUUGGCGAUUUGAAAUUACAGGUCUCCUUAUCACAUAUGUGGCUUUGAACUUGAUGGACGGCCAUGGCCAACCGGCUUUCUUUGUUCCGUUCACACUUGGUAAGACACAAGCUUGGCUAAUCUACACCAACAUCUAUAUUGCUUGUGCUCUAUAGAACGGAAUUAGGUUUCGCGCUGAUCGUUCAUUGCAAAACAAAAUCCACGAGCAUCCAUUGACAUAAGCUAGUUGCAUUUGGGGAUGGGCAAUGGUUAUGGUGAGCGGGUAACCGCGGUUAUUUACCCAUAACCGUUUAUGCUCAUACCCGCAUAACCGUUUACCCAUUGGGUAAUUGCCUAAACGGUUAUACUCAUACCCAUAACCGUUUAUAAACGUUUAACCAUACUCAUAACCGCAUAUCUAUUUAACCGUAACUGUUUAAUACCCGUUUACCCAUUUAUCCUUUUUAACCUGUUUAUCUUUUUUUUUUUUACCAUUACUCAUUUUUCACCAGUCUACAUGUUUUUUAACAACUUGAAAAUUUAAAAAAAAAAUUGUCAUAAUUUUUUUUUUUUUGACAAUUAAACACCGUUAUAGGUACAUUCAUCAUACAUUUCCGUAUUUUAAUUUUUUAAGUUCUUAUACCAUUCCAAUAAUUGAAAUAAUAGUUUACAGACGAUAUUUUUAACUGUUACCAAUGAAGGUAAUAUAAUAUUUGCUAAGUAUUAUUGGGUUACAAAAAUUGUUUAGAAGACAUUUUUGUCAAAGCAUUUCUGUCAAUUUCACGGUUAUCUGCAAGAAAUUUAAAUUACUUGAUGAUGAGAAUCAUCAUUCCUAUAACAUUGUUAUUGAGAGAAUGACCGAUGAAUUCCUUGCUAAUUUAUUGGGUGCUAAGUAUUAUUGGAUCGAGAACAUGAUUUGUAUUAGUUUUACAUAUAUAAAAUAGAUGGGUAAACGGUUAUCCGUUUAUAACGGCGGUUAAUACCCAUAGCCGCUCAUUUAAAUUUCACGGCUAAACGGUUAUACCCAUAACCAUUUAUUUAUCUAAACGGUUACCCAUAACUGUAAUCGUUUAAUUUAAAUGGACGGGUUACCGCGAUUACCCAUAACCAAUGGGUAUUUGCCCAUCUUGCAUUUCUGCAAGUACCUUUUUUACUUUGGGAGACAUGAGAAGUGAUCUCAAAGUUCUGUGGAUAAGGGGGGAAUCGGGAAUCGGGGAAUCGGAUAGCAAAUAUUUACCAAGUUGUAACUAUUAGAUGAUUUUUUAAAGAAUCAACUAAUACAAGUUAGAAUUCAGUUCCAAAAACAGAGUCCGUUUUCUUAGACCCUAUAUGGUCCAACGUUACUGGAUUAUAUCACUAGUACAAAAAUGGUCAUAAACGACAGUUUUUAACUGUCUGUCUGGUACCAAUUAAUCGAACUUUGAUGAUAAAAGUCAAGAACAAUUGUGACUGGGAUUAAUUACCAUGAGACCCUACAAUAUGUAGAAAAUUUUCAUUGUGACUAGAACACGGAUGGUACACCAUGUAUUUUUAUAUAAAUAGUUGAAAAUUUUAUUUUUUAAGUUAUUAACUUUUUAGCACACAUAUCUCACUUAUUUAUAUGAUGACAUGUGAUGUACCACCUUAUGUUCUAUUUACACUAAAAAAUCUCUCUACAAUAUUUGCAUUUAGUGAAAAGGGUGUGCUAUCCACACACCCCUUUUUACUUCUCACACAUCCCUUGUUAAUUUCUGUCCGUUGAUCUUCUUCAAUUCAUCUGAUCCGAUAGCUGAAAAUAAAAAAUGUGUGAGAGAAGUAAAAAGGGGUGUGUGGAUAUCACACCCCUUAGUGAAAGUAUAAACACUACUGUAUAUACUGGGCCUGAUUUUCACGGCACGGAGCUCAUUUAAGCAUCUUUUUCUAUUAAUAUAUAUAUAUAUAUAUAUGUAUGUAUGUAUGUAUGUAUGUAUAUAGUGUGUUAUGAAUUAACAAAAGCAAUUGAAUGCCUUCAAAUUUGCAUUUUAUAUUUUUGGUUGACCGCAAAGCUUUCAAAAAAGAAUAUAAAAUAUUCAAUUUUGUCGAAAGAUGUAAAUAAUAAUGUAAAUUUACAUAUAUUAGAAGUGGUCCGCGCUAAUAAAAAGGGGCACAAUAAAUGGAAUAUACAUUUACAUGUCUCCGAUUCAAGUAGAAGUAACAUUUAUCCCUACAAAUGUGAAAUGUGAUUUAAAUGUAAUAUUGAUAUCCUAAAUUUGCAUCUCUCCGAUGAAAAUGAUUCAAAUUUAAAUUUUGACUGACGAGUUUGGUAUAUUAUUUAUUCCACUUAAUGUGAAAAAAAAAAAAUAUAUAUAUAUAUAUAUCCCCCAAAAAAACGAAACAAAUAACAAUAAACGCGAUUUUGAAUUUUGACUUUUGACUUUGAAAGCUGCACAUGAAACAAAACAAAUAACACGUUGACAUCAAGGACCAGCACAAGAAAGAAAGAAAAAAUCUAGGGUAAAAGAUUGUUUACUACCCUAAUGUUUCGUGGUUUUCAACAUUUAGUACAUCAAGUUUUUUUCGUCUCAGAGUCAUACCUAAAGUGUAAAUUUUGGGACAAUCUCAUACAUCCGUUAGUCAAACUGUUAAGUUUUUCGUUAACUGUGACGUGGCGCAUUGAGUGGGCGCCACGUGUCAUCCACGUUUUUUUUUUUCUUUUUUCUUAUUCUUCUUCCUUCUUCUUCUUCUUCCUCCGACUGCAACUUUCUACUUUUUUUUUUUUUUUUUUUUGCUUCUUCCUUCCUUCCUCCUUCAUUUCCCUUUCUUCCCCUUCUUCCUUCUUCUUCUUCUUCUUCCUCGAAAUUUGGGGAAUGUUUUUUUUUUUCUUUCUUUCUUCUUCUUCUCCAUCUUCUUCCUCAAAAAAAAAAAAAACACUUUCAUCUUCCCCCAAAUUCGGAGGAAGAAGAAGAAGAACGAAGAAGAAGAACGAAGAAGGAGAACGAAGAAGGAGAAGAAGGGGAAGGAAGAAGGAGAAGAAGGAGGAGGAAGAAAAAAAAAUUGAAUCUGGGCAGAUUCGGAGGAAGAGGAAGAAGAAGAAGAAGAAGAAGAAGAAGAAGAAGAAGAAGAAGAAGAAGAAGAAGAAGAAGAAGAAGAAGAAGAAGAAGAAGAAGAAGAAGAAGAAGAAGAAGAAGAAGAAGAAGAAGAAGAAGAAGAAGAAGAAGAAGAAGAAGAAGAAGAAGAAGAAGAAGAAGAAGAAGAAGAAGAAGAAGAAGAAGAAGAAGAAGAAGAAGAAGAAGAAGAAGAAGGAAGAAGGGGGAGGAAGAAGGAGGAAGAAGAAGAAAGAAAAAAACAAAAAAACAUUCCCCCAAAAAAAAAAAAAGCAGAAAGUUGCAGUCGGAGGAAGAAGAAGAAGAAGAAAAAAGAAAAAAAAAAGAAAAAAAACGUGGAUGACACGUGACGCCCACUCAGUGCACCACGUCACAGUUAACGAAAAACUUAACAGUUUAACUAACGGAUGUAUGAGACUGUCCCAAAAUUUACACUUUAGGUAUGACUCUGAGACGAAAAAAACAUGAUGUACUAAAUGUUGAAAACCACGAAACAUGAGGGUAGUAAACAGUCUUUUACCCAAAAAUCUAUCUCCUCAUCGUCCCUUCAGUUGAAUUGAGAGAUAUCGGAUCAGAUUAUCUUGAAAAAUACGCCGUCAAUUGUGAAGAAUAUGAAUUUGAUAAUUAAACCAACUUUGAUUGGAAAUGACUCAGAUUCAUGCAGCCACUAUGGUAACAUCUGGCGUUUUCAUGAUAGCAAGGUGCUCCCCUUUAUUUGAAUACCCACCUACGGCUUUGAUUUUAUUCUCAAAAUUUCGUUCUCAUGCUCCAUUUUCAAACAUGGAAAAAAACCUGAAACAAAAAAGACAAGAAGAGUGAGAGAAUCCACUUUGGCUCGUUUCUAAUCACGCUAGUGCUCCUUUUCUUCCCUACCCUUUAUUUUGUCUCCUUGGACUUCUCUCUACCUCUCUGUCACUUCUUUCUUCCUCUAUCUAUAACACCACCAUUUCAUUUCUGUUUGUUUAAACAUUUAAUUUCAGUUUUUUUGCAAGUACAAGCAGAGGAGGAAGAGAUAUGUUAUAGCAUAUAUAUUAAAGGUUAUUUUAUAAAUAAUAGUGGGUUUGAAAAUAACAUUUUAAUUUUUUCAUCUUUUUGAGGUCGGUGAGAUUAUAAUGUGGGUGGAAAGAUAAAACAUUAGGGCGAGUCUAGUAACACUCCAUGAAAUAUUGAUGCCAAAGGUCAAGUCAAUAUAUUUCAAUUGGCAUCGUGAAAAUUUUAAUUUUGCUCGUCACUUAUUUUCUUAGCUUGUAAUUUAUUUGUAUAUGUAUAUUUAUUUUGUAGUACGAUUGAGACAAAUGAUAAACGACUUGGGAAAAGCAGAAUUCACGUUUAACCAUAAUAAAGAUGGUGAAAACGCGUCAAAUCCUGAAUCCAUAGUUUUCAUUCUUCAUUCAUUCUUGAAUUGUCUCUUCUUUGCAAGCUGUGACGAUUCCAAAGCUAAAAGAAAAGAAGACUUGGAACAAAUUUAUCCCUUUUAAUAGUGUAUCAUUUUAUUCUUUUCAAUAAUUUUCCUUGAGAAACUUUGGAACAAAUUAUUAAUCAAGAUACAAAGAAAAGAAGACAAAUAAUUCAACCAAGAUCAAAGACAUUAACAUUGAGAGCGUGUGGUGGAAUUGGAGCCGGUCUUCCCACGCUUUUGUUGACAAGAACCUUAAUGUUAAACAACAAUGCUUCAGGCAAUGUAAAACAUGAGGUUACCGAGUGCACAAAAAACGAGUUUCAAAGGCUUGCUGGACACGUUAAUCUCACCUCAACAACAACAAUGAUAAAUGAGCAGAAACGGAUUAAAAAGAAGGGGGUUUUGAACUUUAAUCUUUGGAGAAGAUUACACUUCAAUAAAUAUUUAGUGUUAGAUUGGAUAUUGAUUUUAGUCCUUUAAUGUGUACUUAAUUCAAAUUUAUAUUAUAUUUUUGUUUUAAUAUUUAAUAGAUAUCUUAUUUAAUGUCAUUACAUUAAAAUUUAAAUUGAUUGUUAUACACAUUUUAAUUCAUUAAUUUUAUUUCCUCUAAUUAGGGUACCUAAACGUCUGUAUUAUAAUAUAUUUUACUAAAUUAGGGUACCGAAAUGUCUGUACCUAAAUAUAUUGUAGUGAAUUAGUGGCACAUAAGAAAAUAUGCAAAAACAUAAGUGUACCAAAAAAUUCCAUACCUAAAUAUAUGAUAUUAAACUAGUGUACUGAAAUGUCGGUACCUAAAUAUAUUAUACUAAACUAGUGUACCAAAAUGUCCGUACCUAAACUAGUGUUUGAAGUGAAUGACAUUAUUGGAUAUUCUAUUUUUAAAAUUUAGGAAAACUAAUGAAAAGGGCUUGAAAACUUUGAGUUUUAAUGAUAAGGACAAAAUAAAGGGUAAAGUGAAUAGUAUCAGGAUUGACUUUUUAGUGUAAAAAUAUGGUUUUUCGUUAAAGUGAACAGUACCGGGUGCUUUUCGUUAAAGUUCCCUUUUAAAAUCUUAUUCAUUUAUUCCGUAUCAUUCAAUUCAACGUACUAUUAAAUAAUUUUCUUAUUUUGUGGUGUUCUCUUUUAUAAUUUGGCUUUUCAAUCUCAUGACUUGAAAAUCCCACACCCAAACAUAGCGUGUCAUAGAUUGUCCGUGACAUUUGUCGGUUUUUCAUUAACAAUUUUUCACAUUUAGUACUACGAACUAAUAAUAUUCAUUUUCAUUUAUAAGUAGAAGGUGUUAAAUUUAAAUCUCGUAAAAUUGUGAGUUUGAUACAAUAUUUACUCUUAUAGUGUAAAUAUAUAUCGUUGUAUAAAAAUAAAAAACAAUUUCUAACCAAAAAGAUAAGUCAGUCUAGUGAAAAAUAGAGCAAGAAUAUCAAAAAUAUUACUCUUAUCAUCUAUUAUUUGGUGUGGAACACACUUUUUCCCUUCAAUUGGUUUGAAAUUCCCAGCAAGAUUUUUAAUGAAGCCAUAUGCAUCCUAUGGUUGUACGUAUUAUCUUCAUUAAUGCAUAUCCUACAUUUUCAUCCACAGCCACCCACGCCCUCAGCCAACACGGACCACACAACCCAACCCAACCAACCCACCCACCCAACAAAAACAAAAAAUAAAAAAUAAAAAUAAAAAUAAUUCCUGACCAUUUUGAACCCCAUUUGCAGCUUCUUCUAAAUCAAAAUCCUGAAUCCACAGUUUUUCUUUUUCAUUCUUCAAUUGUAUUUAGGUUGAUUUAGUUCAAUUAAAAUGGAGGGUGAUGGAAUCAGAUGCUUCAACAAACUCUUUCAUGCUUUAAUUGUGGUGGUAAUUUUACUACCAUGUGUUGUCAACCAUUCCCCUUCUCUUGGAUUCAACAAUAUUUCUUCAGGAGGAGUGAUGAGGUGCAUUGAGAGGGAAAGAGAAGCACUCCUUGCUUUCAAACAGGCCUCGUGGAUGACAACAACUUCCUCUCUUCGUGGGGAAUAGAAGAACACAAACAAGAUUGUUGCAAAUGGGUAGGCGUCCACUGCAGCAACCGUACCAACCAUGUUAUUCAACUUGAUCUUGGAUUGGAACGUUACCAUCGAAGUCGCUCAUUUGAUCAGAAAGGACACCCACACGAUAUCCGAUAUCAUUUGCAAGGUAAGAUGAUGAAUCCUAAACUCAUUGAGUUGCAGCAUUUGAAAUAUUUGGACCUUUCGUGGAUAAACUUCAAUGGGAUCCGACUUCCAGAUUUCAUUGGUUCCCUUUCCAGUUUAAGAUACCUCGAUCUCUUUAGUGCUUCUUUUGGUGGUCAAUUUCCAAGUCAAGUUGGAAACCUUACCCACUUGCAACAUCUUGAUCUCAGCUUCAAUCACUUUGCUAAUGUAGUAAAUCUCAAUUCAUGGCUACCUCAUCUUUCUUCUUUAACAUAUUUGGAUCUGAGUUACAACAAUCUUAGUAAUGUUCCUGACUGGUUGGAAAUAGUUAGUAAGCUCCCCAAACUUACAAACUUGACACUGUUAAAUUGCAGUCUUCCUUCUCCUGCAAUUCAUUCCAGUACUCUUUUUAACAUAAAUUCGUCUAGAUCUCUUGCUCAUGUUGACCUUAGUUCCAACGAACUCACUUCUUCCAUAUUUCGUUGGUUGUCCAAAUACAAUGCCAGUCUUGGUCAUCUUGACAUGUCUUUCAACCAAUUAACUGGCUUAUUUCCCGAUGUCAUUGGAAACAUGAGCUCUCUUACAUAUCUAGAUCUCUCUUUUAACCAAUUUGAAGGGGUGAUUUCAGAAAGUCAUUUCUCGGGUCUCUCCAGAUUAAGAUGUUUUGGUUUGUCCUCGGCCUCACUAACUUUAAACUUCCAUUCUAAAUGGGUUCCCCCUUUCCAAUUGGAUUUCAUAUUCUUGGGGUCUUGCAAGAUGGGCCCACAUUUUCCAAAUUGGCUUCAAACUCAAAGAAGUUAUUCAGUCCUUGAUAUUUCUAAUGCAGGAAUAUCUGAUACCCUUCCAAGUUGGUUUUGGGAAAGGCUGUCUCAUCAUAAUGAAAUUGAUUUUGUAGAUCUCUCCAACAAUCAAAUUAGGGGAACAAUUCCAAACUCGCAAAUCGAUUUUUUAUAUUACCCUCGUCUACUAAAUUUGAGUUGGAACCAAUUGGAAGGUCAAGUCCCUCCAUUCCUAUUAAAAGCGUCAUCUCUUGAUCUGUCCCACAAUAAUUUUUCAGGGUCUUUUUCUUUCUUGUUUCCAAUGAAGGCAAGUAACUUAACGUUGCUUGAUCUCUCGAGCAACCAUUUAGACGGACAACUUCCCGAUUGCUGGACUCAUUUCAAAAAUCUUUUAAUUCUUGAUUUGAGUGACAACCAUUUUUCGGGGAGAAUUCCUACCACAAUGGGCUCUUUAUUUUCUAUUCAAACAUUGAACCUAAACAAUAAUGGAUUUGUGGGGGAAUUGCCUUCAUCCUUGAACAAUUGUUCAAGCCUAGUAGUUUUUGAUGUUGCAAAUAAUAACUUAUCAGGGCCGAUACCUGAAUGGUUAAGGUAUGGACUUCCAAAUUUGACUAUCCUUAUACUUCGUUUGAAUCACUUCUAUGGAAGCAUUCCGUUACAAAUGUGUAAUAUGAGAAGCAUUCAAAUUUUGGAUUUCUCGAUGAACAAUAUCUCCGGAAGUAUACCCAAAUGCCUCAACAAUUUGACUAAUUUGGCUAUAAGAGGAAGUUCAAGUCUAACUAUCACUCGUACCAUUUAUGUAAACUCCCAUACUAUCACUGGUUAUAGUUAUGAUGACGAAGCAUCCUUGAUAUGGAAAGGCAUGAUGUCCAAAUACAAGCAUUCUAGGGCUUGUAAAGAGUAUUCAUCUGUCCAGUAACCGAUUAACAGGAGAGAUUCCUUGUGAAAUCACUGAUCUUGUGGGGUUGGUUUCUUUAAACCUAUCAAGAAACAACUUAACAGGUCAAAUAACUCCAAAUAUCGGGAAGUUGCAGUCUUUAGAUUUGCUUGAUUUGUCAAACAACCAAAUACAUGGUACAAUUCCAACAAGUCUCUUUGGAAUAUCUGGCCUUGGUAUGUUGGACUUGUCCAACAACAACCUGUCUGGAAAAAUUCCCAUAGGAUCUCAGCUUCAAAUUUAUGAGCCCUCUGUUUUUGCCGGAAAUCCUCUCCUUUGUGGAAUUCCACUUCAGACAUGCUCUUCUGAGGAAACAACUCCAGAGGAGCAGCCGGUGGUUGGGAAUCAGGAUGAAGAUAAUGAUGGGUUUAUAACUCCGGGAUUUUACGUGAGUUUGGGGCUUGGAUUUGUUGUUGGAUUCUGGGGAGUUUGUGGGAGUUCGAUAUUCAAUAGGUUAUGGAGAUACACAUACUUCAAGCUCUUGAAUGGUUUAAAUGAUUGGCUUUAUGUCGGGGUGACAUUGUUCGGGCAACAAAGAAUGCUCGAUGAAUAAACUGUAAGUUUUCUGUGACAUAAUGAAUAAUAUUGCAAUUAACAUACAUGUCUUCUUCUCUUUUAAACUCCCGGCUAACAGCUAACGCCUGUGGUUUACCUGAAUUUUUGUAGCUCGUUCAUCGUCUUGUUUGCUACUUCAUGCUAACCCUUUCGGCUUUCGGUUUGAGGAGGAGCCUGAAGGAGAAGAAGAAUGCAAUAACUUUUAGGGUAAAAGACUGUUUACUACCCUCAUGUUUCGUGGUUUUCAACAUUUAGUACAUCAUGUUUUUUUCGUCUCAGAGUCAUACCUAAAGUGUAAAUUUUGGGACAGUCUCAUACAUCCGUUAGUCAAACUGUUAAGUUUUUCGUUAACUGUGACGUGGCGCACUGAGUGGACGCCACGUAUCAUCCACGUUUUUUUUUUUUUUUUUUUUUUUUUUUUUUUGCUUCUUCCUUCCUUCCUUCCUUCCUUCCUUUUCUUCCCCUUCUUCCUUCUUCUUCCUUCUUCUUCCUCCGAAAUUUGGGGAAUGUUUUUUUUUUUCUUCUUCUUCUUCUCCUUCUUCCUUCCCUUCCUUCUUCCUUCUUCUUCUUCUUCUCUUCUUCUUCUUCCUCCGAAAUCUGGGGAAGUUUGUUUUUUUUUUUUUUUCUUUCUUCUUCUUCCUCCUUCUUUUCUUCUUUCUCUUUCCUCCUUCCUUCCUUCUUCUUCUUCUUCUUCUUCUUCUUCUUCUUCCUCCGAAUCUGCCCAGAUUCAAUUUUUUUUUUCUUCCUCCUUCUUCUCCUUCUUCCUUCCCCUUCUUCUCCUUCUUCGUUCUUCUUCUUCUUCCUCCGAAUUUGGGGGAAGAUGAAAGUGUUUUUUUUUUUUUUUUUUUGAGAAAGAAGAUGGAGAAGAAGAAGAUAGAAAGAAAAAAAAAACAUUCCCCAAAUUUCGGAGGAAGAAGAAGGAAGAAGGGGAAGAAAGGGAAAUGAAGGAGGAAGGAAGGAAGAAGCAAAAGGAAGAAGCAAAAAAAAAAAAAAAAAAAAAAAAAAGUAGAAAGUUGCAGUCGGAGGAAGAAGAAGAAGAAGGAAGAAGAAGAAAAAAAAAACGUGGAUGACACGUGGCGCCCACUCAGUGCGCCACGUCACAGUUAACGAAAAACUUAACAGUUUGACUAACGGAUGUAUGAGACUGUCCCAAAAUUUACACUUUAGGUAUGACUCUGAGACGAAAAAAACUUGAUGUACUAAAUGUUGAAAACCACGAAACAUUAGGGUUGUAAACAGUCUUUUACCCUAACUUUUAAGUUAUGGGGGAAGAGAUUUUACAGAUUGAAGAGCUCUACUGUUACUUGUAACAAUAAGUUGGAAUUUCUCCAAAUACAUUAGAGGUAGAUGUAUUUGACUCAUUGUCGAGUUGUAAUUUCACACAAGUAUUUAUGGUUUUAGUUUCAAUUUUUCUCAAUUUGUAAUGGAUGAAUAAACUGCAUUCCAAAUUGAAAGCCAGGUUCAAAGAGCUGUGUGUAAGAGACUAAAAAGAAUGGCACUAAACGAAGGACAUGAAUUAAAAUUUCAAAACUACAUUGAACUUGUUAAACAAAUGCCAAAAUAAGUGAGACGACCAGUUCGUGUAACCUCAUACAAGCUCGUGAUAAACGGACGAGUUUGGCUCAUAAAAAUAGAGGCAGAAGUAUUAUUUUUUGAUUUAUUUGUUGCCCUAACAUACGAACAGUUGCCCCCAAAAUCCAACUCCAGCUAAUUACCCCAACAAAAGAAGAAGAUUAAAUUAUGAAGAAGGGAAAAAAUAAUUAUGUUUGGGUCCAAAUAAAUGAGAAUAGGAACUCUUGGUAGCCUGUUAGCAUCUGGUCAAAAUUGUUCCAGCCUUUGGCCAAUAAGAGUUUUGUUCGAGCCGUUUCCACUCUGGAUAUACUCCUGUAUGCUCGAGUGGUAAGAUGAGUAAUAGGGAAUGUAAUGCUGAAUAAGUGCUCUUGAGUUUAAUGUUUGUCUCUUGUUCUGAUCCUUCGGUGAAUAACAUACGAUUCAAAAGCGGAUAAAACAGAUACACACUCGGGAGUUUCAUAAAGAAAGAUAUGUUAUACAAUGUAUUCAAACGUUGAUCGAACAUUCAGGAUUGGUACAAUACUAGUGGAAUUAAGCUUGUCUGAGUGAGGGAAUAUCACUAAUCAAAUAGCUAAUGCACAGCCAACUAAGUGAACAGGGAAGGGGGGCAAUAUCGAUAUCAAUAUCAAUUCCUCUCACUUGGUAAAAUUAUAACGUGACAGAAACAGAAUGGCCAACUAUGAAUAACCAGGAAUACGAAAAGAAAUACUAAUGAAUAAUAUUCAUCAGCCCGUGAAAAAUAAAAAAUAAAAAAUAAAGGAGAUUCUGGAAAACCACACGUAGGAGACAAGUAAACAGAUUAUACUUUCCAGCUUUCACUCCACAACUAUAUACUUUAUGGAUAUCAUAUAGUAAAGAGGAAUGGUGAAAACAUUUUCUUUUCGGGUUGCAGAGUUAAGUUUCACAGACCCACCGGGAUUAGCACUCGCCCUCCACCCUUGGUCUUAAGGAACAUGGCAUGUCAUUAGGUUCAAAAGCUAUUUGAAGGGAGAAACAUGUAAAGCAUUUGUAACCUUACUUACCAAAAGAAAGUAACGAAAAUAUCUUAGCGCUGAUUUACUUAUGUGACAAGAGUAUUAUGUGUCAGGAAAAAAAAAAUGGUAGAAGGCUAGAAGCUUUCGAAGAGGAACAAAAAAGUAAGAAGAAAGAGAACAUACAAGCAUAUCUUCUGACAGAACUGUUUCCAUUAAUGGAAAAUGGUACAGGCCUCCUUUCCUGACCCAAAGAUAGGAUUUCUUGCAUCCUUUCAGGCCAGUCUGAAUUUAACCUCCGAGCAAAAUCUUCAACCUCCGUGAACAAAGAUUUAAGAAAAUACGUAACAGCAGCAAGAACAAGGUUUCUCUCUACAAAUUGCGUAUUUACAUGCAGAACCAUUGUGGAUUACGCAACUUAAAAUUUCCAGUUACAUCCUAAUCAGAAAAUAAAAUAAUACUGACUGUAGAGAAAAAGAUUUGCAGUGCCAGAAGAGUGGGCGGCCGGAACCAUGUUUCGCAACAGAUGCUUAAUGGUGAUGACCAGAACGAGAGCUCUUUUUCUUUAUAAGCAUAAACAAAUAUAUAUUUAAAAUAUCCAAACACACACACAAAAUAGGAAUUAACCCAAAACACACACAAAACCGGCCUAAGAGGGAAUGGAGUGAUGGCUCACUUACUACAAGUUUUUUACUCACUUAGAAUGAGGUAUAAGGUCAGCUUUAAGCUCCAUCCUUCAUUAGGGUUUCUUUGAGGAAAGAUGAGCGAACAUAAGCUCUCUCUUUCUCUCUAGAGAGGCCAGCCAACAUCAAAUCUUUAGCUAGCAAUCUUUGCUUCCAUGGUCACUUAUCUUCGUCCUUCACCAUUCUUGGUGUCAGAAUUUAAAGGUCUCCAACUUUUGGGGACUUUUGGAGAAUCAUUCAAGCAUCCAAAUUCAAGAAUCCAAAGAGGCUACAAGAUGAAGAUGACGACCAUGGAGUCCUAACUCAAGGAGAAGAAUGAAGGUCUUCUCAUUAGUCUUUGCUCAUGCAAAGAGAAACUCCAAAGUAUCAAAUUUUUAACUCUUUUGUUAUUAGAGUUAAGUCUUAGUUCACUACCACUACUACGCUUUAAAUUUCAUGGUUUAAGUUUUGUUUUAAAUUGCAUACAAGCACGCUUCCUCCAUUUAAUUUUUGAAAGCAUGCAAUUUGUUGCUUAAUGAACUUAGAUUUUCACAAAUUUUCCUUCAGUUAUAUGGAUCCCCAAGCCUUCCGGCAGAAAUUCAGCAAUAAUAGACCUGGGUUUUGGUCACAUUCGCCAUUGAAGAUGAACUAACUUCGACAACCCGCUGCAGCGCAACCCACGAGGUCACCCACCUUCAGCCCUCGCGGUUUGAAGUUUGGAUCGCCACGACGCCAGCCUUAUUCCACAAUAGCAGCAGCACUCCACAGACCCGUCGCUGCAACCCAUGAAGCUUCAACCCGCGGUUCGUACCACCAGACCCCAGCCGCAACCACAUUCGAAUCCCUCGACAGCCGUCCCCCGAGCACAGCUUUCCCCGCGACGCAACUGCAGCUCAACCCACGACCAGUUUCAGUCACGAGCUUCGAGUUCAACCUUUGGAGGUCUCGCGUUUCCCAGAUCUUCAGUCAUGAACAGACGAUGGUCUUUGUGCAGCCCGAAAAGGAGAGAUCGACGAGGAUAAGGAAGGAAAUGGAUGAAGGGAUAAGGAAGGAAAGAGAGAGUUGUGUGGCUGUGCGACCGUUUGGAGGAGAGAGACGGAAACAACAAUAGAAAGGGCGCUGGCUACUGCAACAAGAAGGCUGGGUCCAAACUUGGGCCUAGUGGGCGUCCAGCACAAAAGGGAUAAGGUUAGCCUGCUGCAAUGGUUAAGCGGCGUGGGCCUCCUUCCCUCUUUUGCCUUGAGCUAUUAAAAAUAAAAAUCAGGGAGGCAACAAAGAAAUUGAAUAAAACAAAGAUAUGUGGCCUUAUAAAAGAAGGCUCAAAUGUACACCAGAAGAAGGAAGGGAGAGAAUUUUUGAAAUUUGUGCUCCUUCGGUGACUCGGGAAAUUAAGACACCUUCUUCAGCAACUCUCCUUAUUCGAAGAUUUCAACAGACUCCACUAUAUGCUACUACACUUCGAUAGUUAUAAGUUUCGUAAUUACUCAGUGACUUGGGUUUUGUAAGUCCCAACUAGUAAACUUUCCUCACUCGAGAACUUGGGGAGAUAACUAUUUGUAUUGUACUUGACCAAUCAUGAAACUAUCGGUCAACUUCAUAUCUUCAAGGACCCACUGAAGGGUUCGUGAUGAGGCACUCCUGCCGAAGCACAAGAGUUCUCUCCAAUUAGAAGGCCAAUUUAGUUCCUGAAUUAUCACCUGAGUGAAAAUUAGGUCCUAACUUCUUCUCUCUUUUUUUCAGAAAAACUAGUCCUUGAAUUAUAAAACUCGGCCAAUUACAUCCCUAAUAUUAUAUUUGAAGCUACGAUAUUCAAUUUUCCAUCAACUUAAGUCACGGUACAUGCAUGUGAUACACAUUUGAGGGUAGAUUGGUAAUUUUACAUAAAGAAUAGUGUUUGGAGUUAACUUUGAAGGGUUAAUUAGAUAUUGGAUUCGCAACCUAUAUAAAAUGUUAAGGGCUUAUUGGCUAAAAAUGAUGGUCUUACACUCUAAAGUGUUUCAAGUGACUUAAGUUGAUGAAAAAUUGAAUAAAAAAAAGCUUUGAAUAUAAUACUAGAGAUGAAAUUAGUAAUUAACUGAAAAAUAAGACCUAAUUUUUACUAAGAUAACAGUUCAGAGACUAAAUUGACAUUUUAUCCUAAAUCAAUUGCAUCUUUUGGGUUUCUCACCACUCCUUGAAACACCAAUUCAUUUAUGCACUUCCAAAUUCUCCAAAGAACAAAAACCACCUCCUACAUAAUCUCCUCUCUCCGCUGCUCAUCCUUACAUCGCAUACCAAUAUACUCCAACACGCACGAAAAUCAAUCCCCACAAACGCCGUUGCAUCCAGUUGUAAUGAGCAGCAAUACCAAAUGACACGACUAAAUUCACACCCAAAAAAUAGGUGUUCUUCCAUUUCCUCAGCACACCCACAAAGGACACAUGAAUUGUCCACUCUCAUCCUCCUACGAAUUAGAUUUCACCGAACCGCCAUAGAGUUGUUACAACACCUCCAAAUAAAAAAACUUCAUUUCUUUGGCACAUGUAAUCUCCAUAUAUUCGGAUUAUUGUUUAAGUGUCGAUUAACGUGUUUAUUUCUUAUUGGUGACACAUAAUUUGGUUUGAAAUUGGCUUAUAAAUUUGAUUAACCUAGCAUUACUCAACACAGUCAGACUCAUUCACAAUCUAACAAAUGUCCCUAACUUAAGCUAUUUGUCGCCCCAACAUACCUGGGUGUAGAAAAUUGACUAUAGCAGUAUGCUUCUAUUGAACUUGAACUCAAUGUUCUAAACCUCCUUCCCAUAGUUUAAAUUAGAUUAGAAUAUUGCUCAAAUUAGAAAAGCUAGAUGUAGCCCCAAACUUAAUCCGGAUGAUGAACAUGCAAAGUAUGAUUAUGUUGUAAGCACUUAUUUAAAUAAUAUUGAUCAUUCUUGCUAUAAUAUCUCACCUACUGAAGCGUGCACUGAUUGCCUCGCUUUUAAAAAGAUUAACUUUCAUCCAGAUUUAGUGGUUGACUUGAAAAGAUAAUACUUUUGAAAGUUGUUGCUUUAAUAAAAUUAUUUUACACUAAGAUUUCCAUACCUUGGUGAAUCAAAACAGUAGUUUGGCGGAAAGCAAAUUUGUUAAUCAAAAAAGUAGUUAAUUUGUUAAUCAAAAAAGUAGUUUGGCGGAAAGCAAAUUUGUUAAUCAAAAAAGUAGUUUGGCGGAAAGCAAAUUUGUUAAACAACUCGUCUUUGUUUUGGUUGCUUGUAUUUUAUCAAAACUUAGUGGGUGGGCAAUGCAUAUAGAUUAUUGGGCGAACUAGAAAAAGCAGUAAAUUAGGUGGAAAGAAAAUUUGUUAAAGACUCACCUAUAUCUGGUGCAUAAAAAAAUCUCAUUUUAUCAAUCAUUGUCUAGUGAAAUUAUUGUAUAGCUUAGUGCUUGAUGUAGUUUAUCAAGUGGAAUUAUUCUGCUUUCGUAGCUGAUUGUGCUUCUUGGUCUUAAUUUGACUCUAAUGAACAUGGUUGAACUUGAAGGAAUGUACAGCUUCAAAGUGCUUUACCCUUGGAUUUCAGUACCUUGAUGAAUAAAAAAAUAGUUUGUUGGAAAGCAAAUUAGGUAAAGACUCACCUAUAUAUGUGGUGCAUUAUAAAGGUUCAAUUUAUCAAUUAUAAUGUCUACUGAAUUAUUAUAUAGCGGGCAUUUCUAAUGGGGACUCUAAAGCCAUCUCCAACCGAUGGUUAGCCAGAUGACUCGUUUUAGUCAUCUGGCCCUCUAAGAUCCUCCAAGAUAUUAAUAUUUUAAUGAACAAUACAUAUCCAUAUUUGCCUCCGUCUCCAACCGAGGGCCAGAUGGCUCGUUUUAGCCCUAUCACACAAAAACCGUCUCCAAUCGAGGGCCAGAGGGUCAUAAGGCCAAACAUAAUUUAUUAUUUAAAAACUACAACUUAAAAUAAAAUGAAACAAAUUUUGUGAAAUAGAAGUUAUAGGAAAAAAUGGAAUUUAAAAAAAAUAUGAAACAAAUUUUGUAAAAUAAAAGUUAUAGGAAAAAAUAGAAGUUAUAUGAAAAAUUUUGUAAAUAAAAAAUAAUAAUAAAACUGUAAAAAAAAAAAUCAAAUCAAAUGCAACAACUAGUCAGCUAGCCGUUGCAUUUGAAUUCUUUCUUAAGAAAACCGACAGUAAUACAUUUAUACUAAAUAAUAUAAAUGUAUUCAUGUCGGCUAUAACCGACAGAAAUAACAAAACAUUAAAAAAAAUGGCCAGCCCCAGGCUGGCUGGCUGCAUGCAGCUAGCCCUCCAGCCCUCUUCGAUUCCGUGGGACCCUCCCAGGUUCCAGAGCCCUCUGACCUAGCCCUCGGUUGGAGACGGUUUUCAAGCUAUUUUCGGCCCUCUGACCCUCUGGACCCUUAGGUUGGAAAUGGCCUAAAUGGUGUCUCCACAACCUUAUAGCCUCUAAAUAUAGGGACAAAGGGCUUUCAAUAGGCUUCUAAUGAGCUGGACUAAAGGUUUUUACAGUAUCCCAAUGUAUAGAGACUCAUCGGAUACCUCAAAAAAAUUCUCAAAUGUAAAGACAACAUAGGGACUCAAAGAGUGCGCCCAAAUGUUGAUUUUAAGUGGGAAACAAACCUCACCCACGUGAUAAUGUUGGACAAAAGCUUCUCUCACCACCAAACUGACGCAACGUCAGUCAUGGGCCCAUACUGCACUUGUGUCAUUUUUCUUUCUUUUCUUUUUUUUUUUUGAACCAUUGAGAAACCAACGGUUGAGUUUUUUUUUUUUUUUUGGUUUUUGUUUCUUGUUUUUAUCGGCAACCACAAUACUAUAACGAAAUAAACAAUGCUUUUUUUUUUAAAUAUUUUAGUCCCUACAUUUAAAGAUUCUAUUAUAAGGACCUCCUAUUGCAGACAAUAUUCAUUUGAAGACCUGAAUAUUCUCUUAAAGCCCCUAAAAGUGUCCUCAAGUGUGGUGGUGGAUACCCAAAAAUAGGUAUUCCAUUGAAGAUGCUCUUGGUACUCGAUGAACUUAUCAAGUGGAAUAACUUUGCUUUCCUUAGUAAUUGUACUUGGUCUUAAUUUGACUCUAAUGAACAUGGUUGAACGUACUGCUUUUAUUACUACACAUGAAUCCCUGCAUUGGAUGCAUUGAGAAGAUUUUACAUCAGUGUGGGGAUCGGGUUUGUUGUUGAAUUUUGGGAUGUUUGUGGCACAUUGAUAUUCAACAGGUCAUGGAGAUAUUCAUACUUCAAGUACUGAAAUGUUGUAAACGAUUGGAUUUAGGAAAGGGUGGAGUUGACAGAUAAUGCUUUGAUGUUGUUUUUGUGGAUGCAAAUUUCUUCCUUCUUGAUCUUAGACAAAAUUGCACCUACAAAACAAUGAACAUCUCAGCUCAAGGCCAAGAGCCUCACGUGCCCAUGAUGAAUGGAGGGCUUUGGCUGAAGAACCUCUGAUGCCAAAGUUAAAAUUUAGAAAGAAAAAAUGUUUGAGAAUUCUAGAGAAUUUUAGCAAGAGUUGGAACUAGUUUUUGGGAGAGAAUGGUGAGCUAUAUAUAGGGAUAUGGCCGGUCCUAUUAGGAAAAUAGGGACCGGCCAUUUAGGUAUUUUUUGGGUGUAAAUUGUGGUUAAUUAGCCAUUAAUAGUUUAACUAGGCAAUAAAUCUAUUAAUGGACUAAUUAACAUAUUUUGAAAGAAAUUAUAUAGGGAGUUAUGGAAUGAUUAAAAUAAUUAGCUAAUUGAUUAGCUAAAAAUGGAAAAAUGAGGUAGAAAUAUAUGGAAUGAAAUAGGUUUUAGGAGUUACCUUGUAGAAGGGAUUUGAUGAGAUAGGUUUUGAAUUGUUACCUAUUUUGGGCACUUUUGAUUUAGUUGAAGGAUGAUUGCCCGCUGCUCAUGCGUAAGAAUCUCGUUGUACCUUAAGGGUAUUUUUGUCCUCUUUUAUCCUGUCGCAUUGUGAUUAUUUUUGGCUCCACAGUUUUAGCAGCAUCUUUUUGGCUCAUGCAUAUCUUGGUGACACUCAUGCAUGUGCCAUUCAGUUGGAGACGGAGAUUGGUGACUGCACUUUUAAAAUUAUGACGGACAACUACUAGUGUACUUAACUUGUGUUUGAUUUUGUGGCCUUGUCUCAAUGUCGACAAUUUGCGCACUAUAUUUUUGCUUUUGAGGAAGCAGCACAUGAAAGAUUCAUGCCAAAGGGUAAGGCAAAUACAUGUAAUAAUUUGAAGACAAAAAAUCACUAAUUCAGGUCAAUACAUUUUCUAUUUGCAUUGUAGAAAUUUUGAUUUUGUUCAUCACUUAUUGUCUCCUCUUGUAUGAAAAAAGUUGUUCUUUCUAAUACCAUGGAAUUUUUUAUUUUGCAUUGUGAAAAUUUUGAUUUUGUUCCGCUUUUUUACCGUGAUUUCGGCAACUAUUUUCGUCGAUUGAAGUAUUGUCACGUCCCGGACUCAAAAUGAGUGAAAGAAAUGAUCUCGGGCCCAUAUGCGAAUAAAAAUAAAAUAAAUAAAAAGAAACUUAAACAGGUUUGAAAACUAGCUCAUUUAAAAAUGAUGCGGAAGAAUAAAUAGGCUAGUACGCCAGAAUGAAUGGGAAAUUGAUUUAUUUAAUAUACGAGUCAAAUACACAAUAAAUAAGAAUUUACUAAAAUACAAUAAUCACCAUUCGACUUCACGUACAUUUCACGAGUCCCUUAAUUCUCUAAAUUGAUCUGCAGCCUUAGAUGCUUGGAUUCGACUCCCUGAUCACUGAUGUGAAAAUUGUACUGUAAUUCGACUUAACUCAAGUUAUGAAAAUACAGUAAACAAGUUGGAAGGCUACAAAGUUCCCUCUGUCUCACUUUCCUUCUUUUUCUUCGGGUCUGAAAACUUGGAAAACAAAUGGUGUUUUCCUCGGACUAGGAUUGUCUGCCCUCCACUUCCGAUGUCAUUUCCGUUUCCUCCUAUUUGUGUGGUCACGGUUAAGCCACGUCAACAUUCUAUAUUACUAUUUAUUUUUGUCUUAUUAUAUCUAUAAAAAAUAUAUAUAUAAAAUGUUGACGUAACUUAACCGUGACCACACAAAACAGGAGGGCACUGGAAGUGGAGGGCAGACAAUCCUUGUCCGUUUUCCUCUUCAUUCUUUUCUCUUUCUUUGUGGUCCAAUCAAAGAACAAGAGGGCACGAAAGGGCACUGGAAGUGGAAGGACAGACGACCUUUGUCCCCAAUCAAAAUCCUUCAUAUGUGACCCCAUGUCAUCAUUCAUAUGUGGCUAGCUAUCAAUUUGUCACGUGGCGAAGUCAACCAUCUGUCGCUGCCACAUGUCAAUCAUUUAGUCGUCCUCUAAACUGACAAAUAUUCCGAAAGAUACUAUCAAAAUCACCUCUAGUUUCAUCCUACUACUUCCGGAUCAUCAAUUGUUCUCAAUCAAAAUAAUAUUUUUCCCAAUAUCUUAGUCAUCCGAAAUAACGACUACUUGUGAAACAUUAAUAAUUUCAGGGUUUCAAAGCUAUGAACCUUCAUCUAUUCUUCACAAUCUUCAAGUUAGUAUGCUUUGUUUCUACAUUAAUAGCCGUUUUGGAGUCGGGUGUUUAGAAACUUAUAAAUCUGGUUUUGGCCGAUGGUUUUGGUCGGUUGCCGGCUAGAAUUGAUUGUCGGGAUAGUUAUAAAAGUUGAUCCUUAUGUUGAGUUCUAUAUGCCUGUAAAAUUUGGUGUGUCAGAAAAUUGGGUUUCUAGUUUCAUAAUCAUAUCAACACUAAAUCAAGCCCAGAAAGGUGGCGUUAGAAAGAUUUGUAUAUCCCUCACAAACUUGUAGAAGGAACCUUCCUUAAAAAUCACCAUCUUGACCGGCUUAUAGAACAACUAAGCCCAAAAAUUCAAACUGAUAGCACUACGCAGUCAACCUUCUUUUCUUUGCCACAAUCAAAUGGCAUGGAAUAAAAAUCUUGAAUUUUUACACUAUUAACUUGAAAGAUCACAAACACACAGAAUUACUUCAAAUUCCUUUUUUUUGAUAACUUUUUUCCCUACCAACGAAAUAUAGAAUAAAGUAUUAAAAUUAUACCAAAAUAGUUAAUAAAUUAUAUCUAAGACUAUGGUAAAAAUAUAGAAUAAUGUUGAUUCAUCAGCAAGUAUUGAAAUAAUAGUUUAACACAUUUUUAUUUGGCCUAUCGAUUCACCAAACAUAUACAUACACAUAACUAGAGACAGCAAGAGAGAGAAUAGUGGGAAUCAUUCAUCCCACAGUCCGACGCAUGGAUUCUCCCCAAUUCAACGAAAGUCCUCUUCAUUAUGUACACAAAAUAACAACAAACACGUUUUUGAGUAAUUAUAUCUCUGCCUGCCCUUUUACUUUUGACUUUAGAGAAAGCGGCUCAUGUGAUGUACGAUUCAUGCCUAACUUUAAAGGCAAAUACAUUAUUCUAACAAACUAUUAAAACUUAAAGGGGUAAUUUGGAUUUCAGAGAAUUUUAAUGGAUUUUUUUUAAGUAACAAAUUUGAAAAGAUUUUAAUAGAUUUAUAAUUUUACUUGGAUUUUGACAAAUGUAUAUGGAUUCCUAUUAUAGAUUUUUAUGGAUUUGAAUGGAUUUCUUUAAUGGAUUUCUUAGGAUGUUAGUUGACUCCUACAACAUAAAAUGAAUUUGUUCGUGGCAGGAAUUUCCUUGGAGGAUGUUCCCUGGCCGACGAGCACACAGCUCCCCGGGAUGGUUGGCGCCGGUUGAGGCUUCCUGUCAGGCUUCUGCUUUACUGGCGGGCUUGUCGGGCAAAGCUUAGUCGGGCAAGGCUUGUCGGGCAAAGCUUAGUCGGGCAAGGCUUGUCGGGCAAAGUUCUUCGGGCAAGGCUGAAAGAGAAGGACAGAGUUAACUUUGAAAUAAUGCCUUUAUGGGGCCUUAGGUGUAGGCCUUCCCUUUCUCUUGGAUUCAAUAAUAUUUCUUCAGGAGGAGUGACGAGGUGCUUUGAGAGGGAAAGAGAAGCACUUCUUGCUUUCAAACAGGGCCUCGUGGAUCACUACAAUCUCCUCUCUUCGUGGGGAAGAGAAGAUCACAAACAAGAUUGUUGCAAAUGGGUAGACGUCCAUUGCAGCAACCGAACCAACCAUGUUACUCAACUUCAUCUUGGACGGGAAAGUCUCGUGCGUGUCGUACAGCGUGUCCCGCCUCCCCCAGUUCUUAGGGAUGAAACCAGAAAUUUAACUAAGAGGGGGCAUCUUAAAAAAUUUGAGCUCCUUUUUUGGACAAAUAAAGUUAGUUCUUUUACAAAUGCUGAAAAAUUAAUUACAAAAUGCCUAAUUUUAUUACUCUAUUGUCUAAUUUUGUCUUUAAUUGUUGACAAUCUAAUGUUCAUUUGUACUAAUUAACCAAAUACAUGUAACUCAAUAAGGUUUAGACAUUAGUGUGUGAGAAAAAUAUAUAAGACGGAGGAGCAUUUGAAAACUAAAAAAAGAUUUUCACUAUUUUAAUAUGAUUAAUUGAAUAAUCUGCCAAGCAAAAAAAAAUAGAAAUGAUUAAUUGAAUAAUUUGUCCUGAGGGACCACGUGUCGUGAGCCGUUCCUGCUGCGACUCAGUGCUUUGUUCGCAGAGAUGAGCGAUAGGAUCGUCUCCGUGGCGGUCGACUGUAAGCAGAGCAUGUUCUACGGGACCACCGUCCGUGGGGUCAAGUUCUGGGACCCUACUUCUUCUUCAUAAACCCGAGGCCGACGUACGAGGCCACGUUUCUGGACCGGCAGCCGGACAACAUGUCGGACGACAAGUUUCUAAUUCCACAAAAUACAAAAAGACUUAUAAAAUGUAAACAGAACGAAACAAUCAACGCGGAAUUGUGUUGAUUGUUGCAGGCUUUGUCAUUAUUUUGGAGAGAAGAGUCAGCGUCUAAUUACUACACCUACGUACAGAAAAGUAGGUGGUCCACUCACACAUGUUUCAUACUUGACCAUUUGAGUCAAGACAACUCAGUGUGUGGAUCGUAUUGUGAACUAUUACGUAGUGACCCAGCCUUAUAAGAUACUCGCAUCUUUCCUUGUGCUCCUAAAUCAAUUAUGAUCGUACACUUCUUCUUCUUCAUUCUUCAAUCAUCUUUGCCUUGAUUUUGUUGAAUUAAGAUGGAGAACGACGGAAUCAGGUGCUUGAAGAAAUUCUUUCACACUUCCAUUGUGGUGCUACUUUUUCUACAAUGUUUCAACCCUUCCCUAUCCUCUGGAUUCUAUAAUGUUUCUUUGGGUUUCGGAGCAAUUGGCCACCGGGUGGUGACGAGGUGCAUAAAGAGUGAAGGGGAAGCACUCCUUUCUUUCAAACAAGGUCUGAUUGAUGACUACAAUCUCCUCUCCUCCUGGGGAAGAGAAGAACACAAGCAAGAUUGUUGCAAAUGGCUUGGCAUCCACUGCAGCAACCGAACCAACCAUGUUACUCAACUUGAUCUUGGAUGGAAUCAUAUGAAUGAAGUUUACUCACUUCAACAGAAAGGACAGCAGGAGUAUCCCGUAUAUUACUUUCAAGGUAAAAUGAUGAGUCCUAAACUAAUUGAGUUGCAGCAUUUGAAAUAUUUGGACCUUUCUUCCAUUAACUUCACUGGGACCCAGCUUCCAGAUUUCAUUGGUUCUCUUUCCAAUUUAAGACACCUCGAUCUCUGGUAUGCUUCUUUUGGUGGUCGAAUUCCAACUCAGAUUGGAAACCUUACUCACUUGCAAUAUCUUGAUCUCAGAUCCAAUCACUUUGCUAAUGUAGAAAAUAUCAAUUCAUGGCUACCUCAUCUUUCUUCUUUAACAUAUUUGGACCUGAGUUACAACAAUCUUAGUAAUGUUCCUGACUGGUUGGAAAUAGUUAGUAAGCUCCCUAAACUUACUAACUUGUCUCUGUCUUAUUGUAGUCUUCCUUCUCUUCUAAUUCAUUCCAGUACUCUUUUUAACAUAAAUUCUUCUAAAUCUCUUGCUCAUGUUGAUCUCAGUGAUAACCAACUCACUUCUUCCAUAUUUCUUUGGUUGUCCAAAUACAAUGCCAGCCUUGUUCAUCUUGAUCUCAAAUACAAUAACUUUGCUAAUGUAGAAAAUCUGAAUUCAUGGCUGCCUCAUCUUUCUGCUUUAACAUAUUUGGACCUAAGUUACAGCAAUCUCAGUAAUGUUCCUGACUGGAUCGAAGCAGUUAAUAAUCUCCCUAAACUUACAAACUUGUCUCUGUCUUAUUGCAGUCUUCCUUCUCCUCUAAUUCAUUCCAGUACUCUUUUUAACAUAAAUUCUUCUAAAUCUCUUGCUCAUGUUGAUCUCAGUGACAACCAACUCACAUCUUCUUCCACAUUUCUUUGGUUGUCCAAAUACAAUGCCAGCCUUGUUCAUCUUGAUCUCAAAUACAAUAACUUUGCUAAUGUAGAAAAUCUGAAUUCAUGGCUGCCUCAUCUUUCUGCUUUAACAUAUUUGGACCUGAGUUACAGCAAUCUCAGUAAUGUUCCUGACUGGAUGGAAGCAGUUAAUAAGCAUCCUAAACUUACAAAUUUGUCUCUGUCUAAUUGUGGUCUUCCUUCUCCUCUAAUUCAUUCCAGUACUCUUUUUAACAUAAAUUCUUCUAAAUCUCUUGCUCAUGUUGAUCUCAGUUACAACCAACUCACUUCUUCCAUAUUUCUUUGGUUGUCCAAAUAUAAUUCCAGCCUUGUUCAUCUUGACCUCUCUUACAACCAGUUAACUGGCUUAUUUCCCGAUGUCAUUGGAAACAUGAGCUCUCUUGCAUAUCUAGAUCUCUCUUCUAACCAAUUUAAAGGGGUGAUUUCAGAAAGUCAUUUCUCGGGUCUCUCCAGAUUAAGAUCUUUGUCUCUGUCCUCUACCUCACUAACUUUAAACUUCCAUUCUAAAUGGGUUCCUCCCUUCCAAUUGGAUGUCAUAUUCUUGAGGUCUUGCAAGAUGGGUCCACAUUUUCCAAAUUGGCUUCAAACUCAGAAAAGUUAUCGGACGCUUGAUAUUUCUAAUGCUGGAAUUUCUGAUAUCCUUCCAAGUUGGUUUUGGGAAAGGCUGUCUCAUGCUCCUGAAAUUGGUUAUGUAGAUCUCUCCAACAACCAAAUUAGAGGAACAAUUCCAAACUCGCAAAUCAAUUUUGUAUGUUUCUCUCGUCAACUAAAUUUGAGUUGGAACCAAUUGGAAGGUCAAGUCCCUCCAUUCCUAUUGAAAGCUUCGUCAUCUCUCUUUCUCUCCCACAAUAAAUUUUCAGGGUUGUUUUCUUUCUUGCUUCCAGUUAACGCAAGUCAUUUAAGAUUGCUUGAUCUCUCGAGCAACCAUUUACAUGGAGAACUUCCCGAUUGCUGGACUCAUUUCAAAAAUCUUUUAAUUCUUGAUUUGAGUGACAACCUUUUUUCUGGGAGAAUUCCUGCCACAAUGGGCUCUUUAUCUUCAAUUCAAACAUUGAACCUAAACACUAAUGGACUUGUGGGAGAAUUGCCUUCAUCUUUGAAGAACUGUACAAGUCUCAUAGUUUUUGAUGUUGGAGAAAAUAAAUUAUCAGGUUUGAUACCUGAAUGGUUAGGGGUUGGACUUCCAAAUUUGACUAUCCUUAUCCUCCGUUCUAAUCACUUCUAUGGAAGCAUUCCAUCACAAUUGUGUAAUAUGGGAAGCAUUCAAAUUCUGGAUUUCUCGAUGAAUAACAUCUCCGGAAGUAUACCCAAAUGUCUCAACAAUUUGACUAAUUUGGCUCUAAGAGGAAGUUCAAGUCUAACUAUCACUCACCUAUUUAAGGCAACCUCCACUGAUAUUGCUGUCAGUAUUUUUGAUUAUGAAGACGAAGCAUCCUUGAUAUGGAAUGGAAUAAUGUCCAAAUACAAAAGUACCCUGGGGCUUGUAAAGAGUAUCCAUCUGUCAAGUAAUCGAUUAACGGGGGAGAUUCCUAGUGAAGUCACUGAUCUUGUGGGGCUGGUUUCUUUAAACCUAUCAAGAAAUAACUUAACAGGUCAAAUAACUCCAAAAAUAGGAAAGUUGCAGUCUUUAGAUUUGCUUGAUUUGUCAAACAACCAAAUACAUGGUACAAUUCCAACAAGUCUCAUUGGAAUAUCUGGCCUUGGUAAGUUGGACCUGUCCAACAACAACCUAUCUGGAAAAAUUCCCAUCGGGUCUCAACUUCAACCCUAUGACGCCACUGUUUUUGCUGGAAAUCCUCUCCUUUGUGGAAUUCCACUUGAACAUAUGUGCUCUCCUAAGGAAACAACACUGGAGGAGCAACCAGUGGUAGACAAUCAAGAUGAAGAUGAUGACGGGUUUAUAACACCUGGAUUUUACAUGAGUUUGGGGCUUGGAUUUAUCAUUGGAUUCUGGGGAGUUUGUGGGAGUUUGAUAUUCAACAGGUCAUGGAGAUACAUGUACUUCAAACUCUUGAAUGGUUUAAAUGAUUGGCUUUAUAUCAAGGUGGCAUUGUUCAUGCAACGAAGAAUGCUCGAUGAAUAAGCUGUAAGUAUACUGUCACAUAAUGAAUAAUACUGCAAUUAACAUACAUGUCCUCCUCUCUUUUAAACUCCCGGCUAACGGCUAACGCCUGUAAUUUACUUGAAUUUUUGUAGCUCGUCCAUCGGCUUGUGUGGUACGACAUGCUAACCCCUUCGGCUUUUGGGUUGAGAAGGAGCCUGAAGGACAAUAGCUUUUAAGUUAUGGUGGAAUUUCUCCAAAUUCAUGAGUGGGAAAUGUAUUUGGUUCAUUGUCGAGUUGUAAUUUUACACAAAUAUUUAUGGUUUUAGUUUCAAUUUUUCCCAAUUUGUUAUGAAUUAAUGGAUGAAUAGACUGCGUUCCAAAUUGAAAGCCAGGAUUGAAGAGCUGUGUACAAGAGACUAAAAAGAGUGGCACUAAACGAAGACCAAAAAGAGUGCCACUAAACAAUGGACAUGAAUUAAAAUUUCAAAACUACAUUGAACUUGUUAAACAAAUUCAAAAAUAAGUGAGACGACCAGUUUGUGUAAUCUCAUACAAGCUUGUGAUAAACGAACAAGUUUGGCUCAUGAAAACAAAGGCAAAAUUAUUAUUAUUUUUAUUUAUUUGUUGCCUUAACAUACCAAACAGAAGCCCCCAAAAUCCAACUCCGGCUAAUUACCCCAACAAAAGAAGAUUAAAUUAUGAAGAAGGGAAAAAAUAAUUAUGUUUGGGUCCAAAUAAAUGAGAAUUGGAACUCUUGGUAGCCUGUUAGCAUCUGGUCAAAAUUGUUCCAGCCUGUGGCUGAUGAGAGUUUUGUUCGAGCCGUUUCCACUCUGGAUGUACUCCUGUAUGCACGAGAGGUAAGAGGAGUAAAAGGGAAUGUAAUGCUGAGUAAGUGCUCUACAGUUUAUUGUUUGUGGCUUGUUUUGAUCCUUCAGUAGAACGAUGCAGAAGCAGAUAAAACAGUGUAUUCAAAUAUUGAUCAAACAUUCAGGAUUGGUACAAUACUAGUGGAAUUAAGCUUGUCUGGGUGCGGGAAUAUCACUAAUCAAAUAGCUAAUGCACAGCUAACUUGACUGAAAAGGGAAGGGAGGAAAUAACGAUGUCCAUAUCAAUUCCUCUCACUUAGUAAAAUAAGAACGUGAUAGAAACAGAACAGCCAAUUAUGAAUAACCAGGAAUACGAAAAAAAAUUCUAAUGCAUAAUAUCAAUCAGCCCAUGAAAAAAAAAGAGAUUUUGGAAAACCACAUGUAGGAGACAGGAAAACAGAUUAUACUUUCCAACUUUCGCUCCACAACUAUAUGCUUUUACGGAUAUCAUAUGGUAAAGAGGAAUGUUGAAAAAACAAUUUCUUUUCGGGUUGCAUAGGUAAGUUUCACAGACCCACCGGGAUUAGCACUCGCCCUCCACCCUUGGUCUUAAGGAACAUGGCAUGUCAUUAGGUUCAAAAGCUAGUUGAAAGGAGAAACAUGUAAAGCAUUUGUAACCUUACCAAAAGAAACGAAAAUACCUUAGCACAGAUUUACUUAUGUGACAAUAGAUUAUGUAUCAGGAAAAAAACAAUGGUAGAAGCUUUCGGAAGGGAACAAAAAAGUAAGAAGAAAGAGAACAUACAAGCAUAUCUUCUGAAAGAACUGUUUCCAUUAAUGGAAAAUGUUACAGGCCUCCUUUCCUGACCCAAAGAUAGGAUCUCUUGCAUCCUUUCAGGCCAGUCUGAAUUUAACCUCCGAGCAAAAUCUUCAACCUCCCUGAACAACGAUUUAAGAAAAUAUGUAACAUUAGCAAGAACCAAGUUUUGUCUCUAUAAAUUGCGUAUUUACAUGCAGAACCAUGGUGGAGGAUGCAACUUGAAAUUCCAGUUACAUCCUUAUCAGAAAAUAAAAUAAACACUGACGAGAGAAAAAGACUUGCAGAACCAGAAGAGUGGGCGACCGGAACCAUGUUUCACAACAGAUGCUUAAUGGUGAUGACCAGAAUGAGAGCUCUUUUUCUUUAUAAACAUAAACAAAUAUUUAUUUAAAAUGUCCAAACAACUAUUGCACACAGAAAAUCAAAAACCAACAUCUCUCAAAGCCACCAUAAAGAGCUAGCAAAGGCAAAACAUUAUCCCCAAUGUUUACUCAUUUUUAUCACAGACCAACUUUUUUAAGCAACCUUUUUCAUCUUCUUAGCUGGGUGAGGAGUGGAUUUGAACAUGGGACAGUUUAAAAAAGAAGUGGAGAAAUACCACUACAUUAAUAGCUAUUUAGUUUUUAAGCAAACUCUGCAACAUUGAAAAACAAAUGACAAUUUGAAAUUCUUUUGCAGUUAUCAAAUUUCAUCUUCUAAUUGCAUAUCUUCAAUUUCAGAACUGCGUUCACAAAAAUAAAAUAAAAAAAGCAACGAAGUUGCACCAUAAUGAGAUCCACCAUUCUGUUUCCUUAAGCUUUCCAUAACUAAAGUCAUCAUCGACAAAGUUAUUACCACUGAGUUCAAUUCAGUACUUUUUCUUCCACAUGUUGCUCAACGUGAUAUAUUUUUUUUUUUCAUCCACUAAAAUUAAAAAAGAUGAUAUUAUAUUGCAAAUCGUGUAAUAACCCAAAAUAGUUGCAGACAAACCUAUCAAUUUUUUCCUUCAAUGCCGGAUCAAUCUCAUCAUCAAUAUCACCUUCAUCAAACCCAAUCAUAUCCUCCACCCUAUCAUCCUUUAGAUCUUGUAGCUUUAAUGUCAAACUAGAACUAGGCGUAAAUUUGUUGAGUUCAUCACUGGGGCAAGCAAAGUUAAGAUUGCUCGACACCUAAAACAUUUGGGCGAAAAGAAAAAUGAAGAAAAACUAGCUACCCAACAACUCAAGCAGAAAAGUACAAGUUCAAGACCGAAUUAGUGAUUCAAACCUCAUGGAUCUCAUUGGCCUCAUAUAGACACGUGCUUUUCUGCUGAUCUUUUCUCCUGCGAUUCUUCUUUUUGUUCUUGGAAGUUUUAAUUCCUUUGGAAUCUGUGAAACAUAAUUUCCUUACCUCCAAUGAGGCCUUCAAAAGGAAAUAAAGUAAAAAUAGACGACUAAGACACUACACUUCAAAUCCCAUUUAAAGGAAUCUUAAGUACUUCCAAGUACAGUAUAAUGUGGGCUAAUGCAAUCCUGAAAAAGAUUAGUAUCAAGUGUGCAUUGUGCAAUUUGCUCGUUGGAACUACAACCUACUCAAUGAUAAAUCCAAUUUCUCAAUUAACAAUAACCAUGCAGUCAAGGAAUAAGAGAGCAAUUACUCAGGUAUACCUCCAAUUUCUCCAUUAAUGAAUGACAAGAGAUCAUCAACUGAACGUUCAUCGUUUUGCUCUUCUUCGAGAUGACAAGAGAUCAUCAACUGAACGUUCAUCGUUUUGCUCUUCUUCGAGCUCGUCAUUCUGAAAAGUAUGGAAGGUUCAAUAAUGACUACCAAUAAGAAGGAUAUAUUAUUUAGCAUAGUAUAAAAGCCAGAAAACAUAUUAUGUAGUACGUUUUGAAUUUAGAUUCAUCAAAUACCAAACUCACCUUCAAUUUCUCUCUUUCCUGAAGUUCCCUCCUCUUUCUUGCAUAUAAUCGAUUCAAAAGUCGAAUGCGUGGAUCGUCAGUUGAAUUUUUCAAAGGCUCCAACUUCUCUUCCUGGAUGAUUUCUUAGUGGUGUUAAAAACAACAAAGAAACACCAAGUUUUUGCUAAGCAUACACAGAAAUCUCAAGCAUCGGAGACCUCUGUAAGAUCAUCAGGGAGAUGAAAUAUUUCACGUAUCUCCUCAGGUGUUUUCCCUUCAAUUAUUCGUGCAAGAGCACGACUAGUAAGAUCCACCAAUGGUUUUAAUUGGAGGCUGUCAGCUGCUGAAGUCAACUCACAGAGCAACUUUGCGUCCAUUCGGAUGUAUUUUUCAUCAAAAGCCUUGCAUUCCUACAUAAACGAGUGGUGCCGAGUCAUAUGAGCGUGCCAAGUUUACACCAGCAUCAGAGUAAACAUUUAAUCCAGUGUGCAGGUGGAGAUUAAUGUCCUCAAUAGCUCAAAUUUAUGCAAAACAGACAGAGGGCAUAGACUCAGAAAGAAGUAAAACAGAAUGACAUUCCAAAAACAUGUAGAACCUUGUUCGAGCGACCUGGUACUUGAUGAAAUCGGCAGUAAUCAAGAAUUAAGCUCAACAUUGCAGUACCGACUCUUUCAGGAAGAGAUAUUGCAUGGUUCUUGGAAGCUCCCAUCCCUUUCUGUAUAUUUUCUUUGCAUAUCAUAGGGCAAUACACGUGUUCGCUCCCUAAAUCCGCCAUGGCGCCUUGCGGGCAAGCCGGGGAUUUACUUCACAUAUGAGAUUGGUGGGUGCGGGCGUGCCACUACUAGAUGCCGCUAGUAGACGGGAUUUGAGUGAUUGAGGUUGCGCCUGAAUUUGCCCGAAUCAAGAGAUUGUGUCAUUUGAGUGGGAGUUGCUCAAAUUAAGGUUCUUUGUUUGCCUUAAAAAUAAGGACUUUACUUAUAUGGAGAGAUAGAACAAUAUGUAAAUGAUAAGGUUGCUUGGAAAUAUAAAUGACAGAGGAAAGUGACUAAAAUUGCAGAUUGCUUGUAAUUUAUAUGGCUGGAAAUGAGUACAUAACAGCUACAAAUGAGAUCGAUACCGCAAGUGAGCAGCAGAGCUAAUAAACUAGAUAAAAGAAGGCUUUUUGGUGAAGGUUUAUCCCGAAUGGGAUGAAGGUUUGGGCUGACUACAGCUUCGUUGAAGGCAAAUCUGGCUUGAGCAGAGUUUUGGCUUUUGUUUGUUUGUUUGAGUGUCCAUAAUCCUUGUGCAUCUGCUCCUUUUUAUAGAGGUCUGGAGGAAACCCUCCUGCUGAGGUUUUGUAUCUGCCCGAAAAAAGCUUGGGCAGCUUGUAUUCCAUUGCUUUAGACAGCUUGCAUGCUUUUCACUUGCCAACUUGCAUGGAGAAAUAAUAUUAAAAGGGGAACUUGCAUUUCCACCACAAGCUUUUAGCACAUGUUUUCCCACUUGUAAUAAACUAACAUUUAAAAGAAGCAAGUUGGAUUCUUUCACAUGUUCCUUGCCCGAAAGCUUGCUGAUGCUUUUCCAUCCACUUGCAAUACAUGCAUGUACCUUGAUUAAACAAAUGCUAGACAAACCUCCACCACCCAAACAAAUAGGAGAAACAAUAUUAUAGUGUCCAACCCCUCCACUUGCAUCUAAAUAUCUUUCCAAGUUAGCUUUCUUGCAUAUUAAUCCUCCAAAUGCCAUAUUUUACCCAAAUUGCCCAAAUAAGUAAAAAUGUGUAUAUUUUGAGUGCAAACAGUGCCCCCCAAGUUUUACAAAUUUGAGCAAAGUUUGUGAAACUUACAACCCCAAUGCUGCCAGGAUUGAUGUCGAAGGAAGAGGCACGUCUACAUCUUCAGUCCUUUCGUCGUUGAGAAACUUGGCAAGAUAUGUUCGCUCCCUAAAUCCGCCAUGGCGCCUUGCGGGCAAGCCGGGGAUUUACUUCACAUAUGAGAUUGGUGGGUGCGGGCGUGCCACUACUAGAUGCCGCUAGUAGACGGGAUUUGAGUGAUUGAGGUUGCGCCUGAAUUUGCCCGAAUCAAGAGAUUGUGUCAUUUGAGUGGGAGUUGCUCAAAUUAAGAUUCUUUGUUUGCCUUAAAAAUAAGGACUUUACUUAUAUGGAGAGAUAGAACAAUAUGUAAAUGAUAAGGUUGCUUGGAAAUAUAAAUGACAGAGGAAAGUGACUAAAAUUGCAGAUUGCUUGUAAUUUAUAUGGCUGGAAAUGAGUACAUAACAGCUACAAAUGAGAUCGAUACCGCAAGUGAGCAGCAGAGCUAAUAAACUAGAUAAAAGAAGGCUUUUUGGUGAAGGUUUAUCCCGAAUGGGAUGAAGGCUUGGGCUGACUACAGCUUCGUUGAAGGCAAAUCUGGCUUGAGCAGAGUUUUGGCUUUUGUUUGUUUGUUUGAGUGUCCAUAAUCCUUGUGCAUCUGCUCCUUUUUAUAGAGGUCUGGAGGAAACCCUCCUGCUGAGGUUUUGUAUCUGCCCGAAAGAAGCUUGGGCAACUUGUAUUCCAUUGCUUUAGACAGCUUGCAUGCUUUUCACUUGCCAACUUGCAUGGAGAAAUAAUAUUAAAAGGGGAACUUGCAUUUCCACCACAAGCUUUUAGCACAUGUUUUCCCACUUGUAAUAAACUAACAUUUAAAAGAAGCAAGUUGGCUUCUUUCACAUGUUCCUUGCUCGAAAGCUUGCUGAUGCUUUUCCAUCCACUUGCAAUACAUGCAUGUAUCUUGAUUAUACAAAUGCUAGACAAACCUCCACCACCCAAACAAAUAGGAGAAACAAUAUUAUAGUGUCCAACCCCUCCACUUGCAUCUAAAUAUCUUUCCAAGUUAGCUUUCUUGCAUAUUAAUCCUCCAAAUGCCAUAUUUUACCCAAAUUGCCCAAAUAAGUAAAAAUGGGUAUAUUUUGAGUGCAAACAGUGCCCCCCAAGUUUUACAAAUUUGAGCAAAGUUUGUGAAACUUACAACCCCAAUGCUGCCAGGAUUGAUGUCGAAGGAAGAGGCACGUCUACAUCUUCAGUCCUUUCGUCGUUGAGAAACUUGGCAAGAUGAGCAAGGCAAUUGGUAGUGUAACUAGCAUUGGAAAGAAUGUUGUCUGACUUGUGCAUCCUUCUUGUUGAUACCAAAAAACAUGGGAGCAACCUCACUGAUUACAUAGAUAAUAAAUUGGACAAAUGCUCGAAGUCGGGCAAACUGGAGAACAAGGAUAAAACAUAAAUAAACUUGGGCAACUAUUUAUUUUUUGUCUUUUUCUUUUGGCCUCUUUUCAUAUGUAAUAUAAUAUAUAAUACAAAUACAUAUAUAUAUAUAUAUAAUAUAGCCCACUCGGCAAAGAGAACAGAAAGAGACAAGAAGAAAGAGAAAGGAAGGAAAAGAAAAUAAAUAAAUAAAGAAAAAGGAAGAAAGAGAAGAGGACCCUUUCGGGCAAGAAGGGAACGGAAGAGACAGAAGAGAAAGAAAGGGGAAAGGAAAAGGGAGAGAGGGAAAGAAAUAAUAAAAAAGUAAGGAAAGAACCUUUCUUUCUUAGGCCGAGCCAAGUGAAGGACAGACCUUGAGAAAGGGACAAGGAACAGAAAGCAAGAGAAAAGAAAAAAGAAAAGGAAAAAGAAAGAGAUAGAUAGAGAGAAAAAGAUACCCACGUUCUCUAGCCUUUCCUUUUCUCCAAAAGAGAAGCUGUUUCUCUGUUCGAGGCACCACUUAAAGAUCAAGGUGCGGCAACCAAAAUCCAAGUCUGAGAGAGAGAGAGAGAGAGAGAGAGCAAUCCUUGUUCGUUCCCAAAUUUUGCCUCUUUGGAAUUAAGAGAAGUGGAAAGAUGCCUCUUAAGCUAGCCGACGCCACCAUCUCCACCUUCGAUUGUGUGUUUGACAAAUUCAAAGUAGAAGCUCUAAACAACAAAAUCAAUUUCAUCCUUUUCUUGGCUGACAAUGACCCUUCUACCUCUUGGUGCCCUGAUUGUGUGAGAUCUGAGCUUGUAAUCUACAAAAGGCUAGAAGCUAUACCAGAUGAUGUUGCACUGUUGAGGAAAUCAAACUCCUCUGGUGUUAUUUUGUUCAGAGCCCUCAUAGUCUUUCACACGCGAUCCUCAUCAGAUAGAGCAACCUUCUAGCUGACCAUAGUACCUCAGCUUUGAUUGAAGUAGGAGCAGGCCCUCCUCCUUGGUUCUGUUCAUGCAAAUUAAGCCUGAUUUGCAUCUUGCUGUUUGUGACCAAACCGAUCACCAGACUUUUUGUUCUUCCGGAGAGCACCCGAUGACCGUACUCUUUAAGGCAGGAAUUGGUGUAGAAGUGCCACGCCAAACUCGGCUAUUGGGCUCCGAAUAAUCAAUUUUAGGCUGGAGAUGGAGCUGGAGAUUUGGUAGAAUGGUUUUUGCAUGACCUCAGUUCUGAUCUUCACCACUGGAAUUUCAUCAGGGAGCAAAACAGCUUCCCUAAGCUGUAGUUGAUUCUUUGGGACGGAGUGAGAUGCAUAGUGCGCUAGCACACUCCCCUCCCUAACCAGCAAAAAUCCAGACUUUUCUUCCCAUACUGAGAGAUAAUUAGGGAAACUAGAAAUCCCCGAGAUUGGGGAAUGGAAGAAUAUCACCUGCAAUUGUUGCUUAUUGAUCCAUUCCAUUGAGGUCGGGAGCUAUACUAGACUUUGAUCCGCUGUUUGAUGUUCUUUGCCCGAGCUGCGGUUCCAAGACACCACCCAUGGAUUCGUUUUUGGAGUAACAAUACCACAUCGGGCUCAUGGGAGUUUGCAAUAACCCUGCUGUCGAAAGCAUUGUUGGAAUUAAGAUCGUUAUCACUUCCAACAUGAUGUUGCAGCGCAGGUUUUGGCUGGAAUUUGUUGGGAGGUAACGACGAGCAGCUGUGAGCUACGAUGUUGUUGGUUGACUUGUUUUUCACAGAAGCUUGCUCUGUCCACCAUUUAAGCAAUUUUUGGGCUAGGAAGCCAUUGACAGGUUUGUUGGGGGAGUCGGUGUAAUUUCCAGCAUCUCCUUCAGGGGCAGCUAUGGCACGAGCACUUCAAAUACGUUUGCCCGAUCAAACAUGGGGCCCCAUGUCUAAUUGACAACAUCUAAAUAAAUUGUAGCAGAGAAAAAGUCUUGCUCAUCGGGCAAGAUUAUAGCUCCAUCGGGCAAUAGCAACAUACUUUCAUCAAGCAUUCGGGCAAACUGCAAAAACAAUUCUGCACCCACCAUCCAACCUCCACGGUUUAAUCGUAGCCUCAAUGGUAGUCGUCGAAGUAGCCCGACCCUUGGUUGUAGGAGCUGGUGAGAGUUAGGGAGACAUGCAGAGUCUGUUGGUGGUGAACAGGGAAGACGUCACUUCCGUCGGGCAUGGUUAUGGUGGUCUCAUCGGGCACCACCAAUCGGGCAAGAUAACCCCCCUGCUCUUUUGCAAUAGCCAUUGAGAAGCUGUCUGAUAGAUUUUUGCACAGGAAAGCCAUGAUUUGGCUUUUUAUAAAACCUCCAAUUCCAAGAUUCUGGGUGAGAUUUUGUGGAAAAUGUAGUUUUAUUGUAUGGUUUUGGGUUCGGGCUAAAUACACCCAUUGGAUAAGAGAAAAGGUGGAAAGAAGGGUAAAAAUGGCUACUCACAAACUGCCCAACUCUUUAUAUUUUCUGUAAAAUUCCCCAGCAAGAAAACAAAAAGGGAAAGAAAGCAAGAAAAAACAAAGCAAGAAAGCAAAAUGUUUUUGUAAUUUUUGGAAUUUUUAAUUUUUAUAUCUUUUUCUUUGUAACAACACAAGAAACACACCAAGAAAACAGAGCCCUUUCGGGCAAACAGAAAAAGGAAAUUAAAGGCCUGUCAAGCAAGUUGGAAAAAGACAAAUAAAAAGAAAGACUUGUCAGACUUUCUUUAAAAAGAGUAAAACAUAAAAUGGACAAAAGCCCUUUCGGGCAAACCAACACCAAAGGAAGAAAUAUAAUCUUUUUAUUUUUCUUUGUUGUCCUUUUUUUUUUAAAAGCUAUACAUAUAAUAUAAUAAAAUAUACACCUACGAAAAGCCUUCGGGCAAAACACUUUUAUCAUAUAAUAUAAUAUAAUAAAUAUAGAUAUAUAGAUAUAAAAGUGUUUUGGGCAGCAGAAAGACAGGUGAGAGAGAGACAAGAAGGAAAAGAAAGGAAGAAAGAAAGAAAGAAAAAGAAAAGGAAAGAAAAAGGAAAAGGAGGAGAAGGGUACUGGAGAAAAAUGCACAAAAGAAUAACAUAAAAGAAAGCCAUUCGGGCAAAUUGGAUGAAGCCCCUUGGCUACUCAAGUGUUAUUUUUCUCUCAACACUCAAAUCUUUUUCUCUUUUUAAAAUUGAGUGUAGAGAGAUCAAACCCACCAUUUAAAUUGGCCAUGCUAUGUAGCUUGGGAACCAUAGGAGGUGGCCAUUCAUGUUUGAUCCCAAGCUUUGUCCUCAUUGAGAUCUCGAUGCGGACAACAUGCUUGUGUUGGCGGGGAAGAUUAUAGGAGCUAUUUUCUUCUUCUUCGGGCUCCACAUGAGGUGUGGGCUCAUGCCCCCCGAGCGUUGGUGUUUGGCCUACAACGGCUUGGACUUCUACAACCAUAUCCAUUUUCAUGGAUUUUUCCUUGGGUGGGGCCAUUGUUUGGCCUUCAUCAACAUGUAUGAUCUGUUCUUCCUUGGUUGUAGUAGGGUGAGUGUGCUUUGUAGAGGGGAUUUGACACAUUUGAUCUAUCAACUUUCCCAAAGUUUCUCCAAAAGUUGUAUAGCUUUCCUCCACCUUUUUAAAACACUUAGUCAUCUCUUCACCAUAUUCGAUGCUUGCCACAUGGAGUUUUGACACCUUCUCUAAUUUGCCCACAUCCUCUUUGUAGAGCUCUUCAUCCGAAUGAUCAUGAGUUGGCAUCUUAUAUAUUGGCUUUAUGUACUUAUUGGAAGUCUUUUGAUACUCAAAGCCAUUUGUUGGCCUAUCAUAGUAUUCAUGAAUAUGAUUGUCUUCAAAAGAAUAAUAACCUUCAUCAUAACCAUAAGUUGGCCAAUCUGUAAGAUCAUUAUUUAUUUGAUGGCCAUUAGUUGGCCGACAAUCAUGUUCCAUGGGACUUGAGUACUUUUCAGCCAUGUACCCAUAAGUUGGCAACUCAUAGGUUGGCUCUAUGUGAUAGCCAUAGCUUGGGCGCUCUUCCACACCAUCAUCUUCCGAAAAAGCAGAAAAAUCAUGAACAUAAGGAUUGUUCAUGAUCUAACUCCAUAUAAGGAUCCCACCGGGCGUGCCAAAAUAUGUUCGCUCCCUAAAUCCGCCAUGGCGCCUUGCGGGCAAGCCGGGGAUUUACUUCACAUAUGAGAUUGGUGGGUGCGGGCGUGCCACUACUAGAUGCCGCUAGUAGACGGGAUUUGAGUGAUUGAGGUUGCGCCUGAAUUUGCCCGAAUCAAGAGAUUGUGUCAUUUGAGUGGGAGUUGCUCAAAUUAAGGUUCUUUGUUUGCCUUAAAAAUAAGGACUUUACUUAUAUGGAGAGAUAGAACAAUAUGUAAAUGACAAGGUUGCUUGGAAAUGUAACUGACAGAGGAAAGUGACUAAUAUUGCAGAUUGCUUGUAAUUUAUAUGACUGGAAAUGAGUACAUAAAAGCUACAAAUGAAAUCGAUACUACAAGUGAGUAGCAGAGCUAAUAAACUAGAGAAAAGAAGGCUUUUUGGUGAAGGUUGAUCCCGAAAGGGAUGAAGGCUUGGUGCUGACUACAGCUUCGUUUGAAGGCAAAUCUGGCUUGAGCAGAGUUUUGGCUUUUGUUUGUUUGUUUGAGUGUCCAUAAUCCUUGUGCAGCUGCUCCUUUUUAUAGAGGUCUGGAGGAAACCCUCCUGCUGAGGUUUUGUAUCUGCCCGAAAGAAGCUUGGGCAGCUUGUAUUUCAUUGCUUUAGACAGCUUGCAUGCUUUUCACUUGCCAACUUGCAUGGAGAAAUAAUAUUAAAAGGGGAACUUGCAUUUCCACCACAAGCUUUUAGCACAUGUUUUCCCACUUGUAAUAAACUAACAUUUAAAAGAAGCAAGUUGGCUUCUUUCACAUGUUCCUUGCCCGAAAGCUUGCUGAUGCUUUUCCAUCCACUUGCAAUACAUGCAUGUAUCUUGAUUAAACAAAUGCUAGACAAACCUCCACCACCCAAACAAAUAGGAGAAACAAUAUUAUAGUGUCCAACCCCUCCACUUGCAUCUAAAUAUCUUUCCAAGUUAGCUUUCUUGCAUAUUAAUCCUCCAAAUGUCAUAUUUUACCCAAAUUGCCCAAAUAAGUAAAAAUGGGUAUAUUUUGAGUGCAAACAACAUGUCAACCUCCUGUACCACUUGUUGGAUUGAACCGUCGGUAGUCUGAAGCCAGAUAUAAGACUUCAUCAUCUGAGAAUGAGUUGGCACCGAUGUGGCUUUAGAAUUCCAACAUUACAAAGUACACGAAAAAUAUAAAACAGUUAAACAACCCACCCACCUUCACCCCCUCCAAAUAAACAAAAACAAAAAGAGAGAACAAAUUAACACUCAACAAGUAGAGGCGGCUACAAGCAUUCAAAAGAAACGAAAAACAGAAAACAAUCGAUUCGACUAUGGCUUGAAGAACAAAGAAAAGAAAACAUAAUGCAUUUAUCUAUUAAACACUAGACAAAGACGACAUAACAUAGUGGAAAAAAAGGAAGAAGGGGCAUAAAAAGAAUCACGAAGAACGCGUACGGAAAAGUGAUAAUACCUCAGGUUCAAUAACAGUCAUGUCACCUUCUGACAUUUGAACAAUCCCAAGUUCUGAGGCUUAAAAACUGGAGUGCAUCAGGCAAAAGAAAACAGCUUUAUGCUUCUUUUGCAGCAACUUGCUGAUACCCUGUUAAGUCAAACAAAAUUAUAAUUAGCAGCCCUUCUAUGCAAAUCCUUACCCAAAAUUAAAGUUUACACAAAUUUAACAUAAACCCAAGUUAGCUAGGGCAGUAAACCACCCUUUGCAAUCCCCAAGCCGUCGUUUAGAUUAGAUUAGAAUAUCGCUUUCAAAACAUAAACCCAGCUCUUACUUGCCAUGAAACAAUACAAGUUCCAAUUUUUCCUAACAAAUCUAUACUUCAUACAUAUAUAUUUCCACUAAACUUAAUUCCAUUUAUUCCCAAGUACAUGAAAAAGCAUUCUGGUGAUUAUAUUGCCCUAAAUCAAGUGAGAAAAAUUGCAAUUCAUAGGUAUUUUAGCUGAAUUUCUCGAUUAAACUAACUGUUAUUACCAGUAAAUGAUUGUUUUUCCUAAAGAUUUUAGUUCACCGAGCUCCGGAUUAAAGGGUACUUGGCAAUUUCAUUUUUCUAUUCAAUCAUUUCCAUUUUCCCGCACUUUCUGGGCAACCAAACAGGCAUACAGAAGAGAAAAAAAACAUGGUAAAGAAAAGCAAAAGGACAGACAAUUAAUUAACACGAAGGAGACAUACGAAAUGUACGGAUUCCAGGUAGGGGGAGCUUUGAAUUGCAGAGAUUUGGCGGUUGUCGGCGAAUCCCCAAAAAUGGAUAAAAUUGCGAAUAAAAUUUAGGAAAAAAAAAGAAAAAGAAACUCUCGUGUGACUGAAGUUGCGUCAAAAAUCAAAAGGUCUGCAAAUCACACGUCAGCGUUUCGUUAGGGUUUCCUGACCUCUUGUAUUUAUUUUGAUUUGAUUGAUUAGUGUUGUUUGUUUGUACAAUUCCUGGUGCGGGCCCACCUUAACCAACGGAUCAUAUUGAUCAUCAAUGUGACCUGGUAAUUAGCAGGCUUUGAUUGAAAAUGGUUCUUAUCAAUGAGGCCCGUACUCCCCUUGUAUAGUUGGACACUGAAUAUUGAGUUAAACCUCGUUGCAGUGAGAGGUUUUUGUGUGAGGCCAUCGCUGUUGGUGAGUCAUUUGUGUUGUGCGCAAGGUCUAAAAUUAUUCGACAGCCUGCUGCUAUUAUCACCAACUAGGUGAUCAAAAGUACGUCCAGUACUCUAAAAUUAUACAUGAGCAUCACUCAUGUCAAUCAUGCAUAAACACUCAUGAGCAUCACUCAUGUCAAUCAUACAUAAACAUUCAUGAACAUCAUUCAUGUCAACAUUCAUGAGCAUCACUUAUGUCAACAUCCAUGAGCAUCACUCAUGUCAAUCAACAUAAACAUUCAUGAACAUCACUCAUGACAAUCAGCUUUGAAAGUUUCAUUUACAGAGCUCCAACUUCAAGAGCUCCAGCUUCAAAAACUUCAUUUACAAAGCUCCAGCUUCAAAAACUUCAUUUACAAAAGCUCCAGCUUCAAAGCUUCACCUACAAAGCUUCAGUGCAUGGUUUACAAAGAUCGCCUCCGAACAACUGCCACUUCGGUCCAUACAUGGAUUGAAUUUGAAGUCUCCAGCCAAUAGCCUCUAUUGACUGAAGACUUGGGGGACUGCACUCUGUACCAUAUAUUGGGCUUCCACAACUAGGUCUCAUGAAAAAUACUUUGGGACUCUAGUCCAUUAUUUAUGUACUGAGGAGCGAACCCUUAUUCUAUAAAAAGGACUCCCUUACUUUCAUUAGAGAGCACACAUUAUUCAUGUACUGAGGAGCGAACCCUUAUUCUAUAAAAGGGACUCCCUCACUUUCAUUAGAGAGCACUCAUUAUUCAUGUACUGAGGAGAGAGCCCUUAUUUUAUAAAAGGAACUCCCUCACCUUCAUUAGAGAGCAUCUCCACCUGUUGAGCAACCGCCUCGCCCCGAGCAUCAACUCUUAGCCCAUCACUUAUGUAUUAAAGAGCAAGCCCUUAUUCUAUAAAAGGGACUCCCUCACCAUCAUUAGAGAGCAUCGCCGCCUAUUGAGCAACCGCCUCGCCGCGAGCAUCAACUAUAGCCCAUCAUUUAUGUAUUGAUGAGCGAGCCCUUAUUCUAUAAAAGGGACUCCCACACCUUCAACGCCACAAGCGGAGCCAACCAAGGCAACAUAAGCCACAAGCAGGGCAACCUCGCAACAUGAGCUACUUUUAGUUGAGCAUCAUUUCAGAUUGGGCACCGCCUCAUAUCGAGUAUUAGUUCUAGGCGACAUCUAGUUACUUCGGCCCACACGUGGACUAAAUUUCAAGUCUCCAGCCAAAAGACUCUCUUGACUGAAGACUUGGGGAACUACUGUUUGUACCAUACUUAGGGUAUCCAUAUUUAGAUCUCGUAUAAAUACUCGGGAGACUCAAAUGUAAUUAUGUAAUAAAUGGAGGGGCAAAUAUGUAAUAAGUGAGGAGCCCUUAUUCUAUAAAAUGGCUUCUUCACCCUCACAAACCGAAAGCUCUCAUCCUCACAAACAGAGAGCUCUCUCAAACUCUCUCUUUCUUUGGGGGACUCCCCCUCACCCUUGUAAUCCAUACGUACAGUUAGAGAGAAAUACAAUCAACAUCAGUGUGGACGUAGCCCAAACAUUUGGGUGAACCACAAUACAUCUUGUGUUCUUUACUUUCUUGCAGAUUCACGGUUGGAUUUACGUUGUUCCAAGACCCCUCCGGUUUUGUGCAUCAAAAUAAAUCAUAAUUCCCAUUUACGAAAUUUCAUAAUCACCCUGGAAUUUUCACCACAAACACAAUACAAUUUAUGUAUGUAUUUCACAUAUAAAACAUGAAUGCCACUUCAUUCACAAAAUAUGAAUUAAUACAACCACAAUGCAUUCCACAAUCCAUAUAACAAGAACUCAAGAAUAUUGCAUAUUGUAGAACAUGAUCAUUUGCUCUGAUACCAUUAAAGUUGUCACGCCCGAUCCCGACAUAUGUCCAAGAUCGAUACGUGACGUUACAAAAUACCCAUAUCACUCACACACCCCGCUUCUAGGAUAUGGACAAUGCACAACUCAAGAUUCAAAUUUCAUGAUAAUUUUUCUUAUACUUUAUGGUUGCAUCUAACCUCCUCGUUAGACUGUUUACGUACCCUCAAUAGGGAUCAAGCCAUUCGUAGUUCAACUUCGCUAUAACUCGACAUAUAACACAGUAUGUUCAAGCCAAAAUGCAUAACAUUCCUCAAUCAAACAUUUGGACUUGACAAGCAUGAAUUAUUCGAUUCAAACUACAUAACAACCCGCAUGACAAUCAAGGUUUCUAUUUCAUCCAUCAUAUAAAUCAUUAUGUUUCAACAUAAAAUUGCUAUUCAUAUCAUGUAAUAUAUCAAAGAAUCAACACAGCACAAUAGUAUCCUCUAGUCGCAUUAAUCAUUGAUCUAAUCAUAUUAAUAACAAUCAUAUUCAACAUCCUUCCACAAUCAUCUCAAGUAACCCAUUCCAUGAUAUCAAGGAGGCACGAUAUUAACAUUUAAUUAUGUUAAUCAAUCAAUCAAUCAAAUCACACCUCAAUGCACAAAAUUAAUAAAGGACUUCUACAUAGUUCUCUGCCUGGAUUUCAAGUAAUAACUUGAUAAUUCUAAUUUAUAUUCACAAGAUAUAUUAUGGGUACAUCCCAUUCAAUCGAAUCCAGGGAACAAGUCUAACUUAAGGAAAAGAGCAAAAGUAGGGAUAACGGACCACUCAACGUAAUCCAAAUCAGGAUACGAUUCCGAACCAUCACUCAAUGGAAUUGCGGAGUAGAAAGGAUUUUGGACCAUCUCUCAACGGAAUCUGAGUGGAUACGAUUCUGGACCAUCACUCAGCGGAAUCGCGGAGUACAAUGCAUAACAACCACUAAAUGAAACCCAAGUUGGAUACGAUUCCGGACCAUCACUCGACGGAAUCGCAAAAUAGAAGGGAUUCCGGACCAUCACUCAACGGAAUCCAAACAAGCAUAUGAUUCUCCCAUCAAAUGUACCAAGUACAACUAAUCCUCCUCACUUUUAGAAUGCAUAUGGUCCCCCAACGCGGAUUAACCAAGUAGGUAGUGACUCCCCAAAGUGUAUUAACCAAGCAGAGUCAUACCUACAAAACUGUUAGGCAAUGAUCACCUUAUGCGGAUUAACCAAGCAUGAUCACCCCUAAGUAUAAAUGGCCAUAAGGAUCACCCAACGCGGAUUAACCAAGCACGAUCCAUAAAUAGUAUGGUCCGCCAACGCGGAUAAACCAAGCAAGACCAGCCAUGCACCACGUCUACAUAGUGCAGUCUCAUCAUCACACCUUAUACAUAAUUAUACGCAUACAUACUAUCGAUUCCGCAUAUCAACCAGCAUUCAGUCAUAUGGAGCACAACACAAGGAAUUCCCUCAAUUACUAAUUCUACUAAAAAUCUAAUAAAGUACCUAACUCAUCUCCUGACUUUCAUCUCCAUCUCAUGCUAGGUAAUAGUGCAAAGUUCAAAUAAGUAUUCAGUUGGCAAUCAUAUCCAAAUAAUUAUCAAACAAUAUUUAGAUCCCAUAAUUGUCAUAACAUUCUUCAUAAUUAUCAUUCACAUUAUUAAAAGUUAAUUAAACACAUAUCUAUCACAAACAUCAUCAAUACACAAGCCAAAUCAUAUUUAAUUAGCAUAGGUCUAUGGCCAAAUAUAUAAAAUUCACAUUUCAAUAGAAAUCAUAUUUAUAAGACCAAUUCAUAUUCACAAAUGAUACUAAUAGUAGAAAUUAAGAUAAUAAUCAUAUUUCAUAUAUUCAAGUCGCUAUCUAACCAAUGUAGGCCCACUAGACUUCACUUAGUCCCUCAUGAUACUAAUUUUAGUAAUUAGGACGUUUCGAGACAUGUUGAUCAAAAGUCAACUUUUGGUCAAAGGUAGGGUCCACAAUUCUACACAAUUCAAUCCGGAAGAUCCACACCUUGGAUUUCGGAUAUGUAACUUUCCAAAGUCCACAUUAUGCUCAAAUAACAACAUGCUAAAAUCUUAACACGAUCCGACGAUUGGAUCUCCGCCAAUUAAAUUCAAGUGGCGAUCGACAUUUAAUUUUACAAACUUAGAAAUCCAAUUAGGGAAGAUCUGUAUGUCGGAUUCUCGAUCCGUAAGUUUCUAUGAUCCAAAAAUAUUAUGUUCUAUCACACAUUAAGAUUUGGUGACAAUCCAACGGUCGGAUCGUCGAAUCAUAUUUUUGACCUAACCACGUAUCGUAAUGAAAUUAGGUUCAAACAAUCAAAUCAUAUAAUAAGGAUAUCAAUUAUGAAAUCAGGGCAUCUAAUUGAACUUAAAAGGACAUCAUCGGCCCACUGGCCAGGCCGCCGCAGCACACGCCGUCGCGGGUGGCGGUCGGCCACCCCGACUUGUCGGAAAAUUCAACUAUUUUUAAAAAUUACUAAAAAUUAUAGAAAUGAAGAUCUCAAAGAGUAAAAAACUUUAUACCUAUGGCCAAGUUCAAUUUGGCCGGGAAACACUUCAAUUUCACUCAAACCCGCCGAAACCCUAGAAAAGGGUGUGCUUUGAUUCGGCUUCCAAUCGAACUCCGACGCCUCCAACACUACUUGAGCUUUGUUCCUGGGGUUGAGAGAAGUCUUUUGGUGGUGGUCAUGGAUGGUGAAACUUGUCGGAGCCACCGGGAAAAGGGAUAAAGCUGCCGGAACACCCGUGGGUUUGUGGCUUCGAACUGGAAAAAUGGGAAGGAAAUUGUGAAAUCUAACACUACCAGGAUGUAGGGCUCAUCAAAGGCUUUCCAUGGACACCAAGAUCACCCAAAACGGAGUUCGUAUGAAUAAGAUAUGGCCGGGUCAAAAAUGGUGGUUCGUAGGUCAAAAAAUGACCCAUUUCAGGUCCCUACUUUCCCCUCCUUCUCCUUCUCCUGAUUGGGCAGCUCCUAACCUUUUAAAAAUCUGAUUGGUUCCCUCCCUCUUCUAAUUGAUUGGUCCCUUAAUCCAAAUAUCUGAUUAGGCCUCUUUCCCAUAAAGUGGGAGUCUAAAUAAUUCCUAAAUUCUAUAGUAUCCCAACUUCAAACGCCCGUAACUAUAUCGUUAUAACCCGAACUCGUAAACGGCUUUUGCCUAUGCGUUCGUGAUCUCUAAAUCUAAUCAACAAUAUAAAUUGUGACCUUGAAUGGUCUACGGAUUUUAAAUAAUUAAUUUCCCAAAAAAUAAUAUAAAAACUCAAUAAUACCAAUACUUAGAUUAUAAUAAUGAAAUCCAGGAAUGGGAUUUCACAAUUUAUAUGUCUGUUCCUCCUGGUCUUCGGCGACAGUGGGAGAAUCUUGUGUGUCGCCUUCACAAGUCUCUUUAUGGUCUCAAGCAGGCUUCUCGCCAAUGGUUUGCCAAAUUCACUACUGCCAUUCUUUCCGCUGGCUUUCAACAAUCCAAAGUUGACUAUUCAUUGUUCACUAAAAAGUCUGGUACUUCUUUUACAGCCUUGCUCAUUUAUGUGUAUGAUAUUGUGAUUACAGGCAACGAUGUUUGUGCAAUUGAUUCUCUGAAGUCUUUUCUCCGUGAUCAUUUUCGGAUUAAAGACCUUGGUGAUUUAAAAUAUUUUUUGGGCAUUGAGGUUUCUCGUUCCAAACAAGGGAUUUAUAUUUCACAGCGCAAGUAUGCAUUAGAGAUUCUCAAGGAUUAUGAUUUUUUUUUAGCACAACCCAUUACUUUCCCUAUGGACGACACAAAAUUCUCUGAUAAGGGAGAACUUCUCAAGGAUCCUGAAAAGUAUCGCUGAUUAGUAGGACGGUUGAUCUAUCUCACAUAACUCGGUCGGACAUCACCUAUUAUGUGCAUGUUCUGAGUCGUUUUAUGCAUGAGCCAAGGAUACCUCAUAUGGAUGUUGCGCUUCGUGUUGUUCGUUAUUUGAAGGCUACUCCAGGUCAAGGCUUAUUAUUCCGUUCUGACAACCAAACCAAGUUAACUGCAUUUUGUGACUCUGAUUGAACAGGUUGUCCUAUCACUUGCCAUUCGACUACUGGGUAUUGUGUAUUCUUGGGCAAUUCUUUGGUUUCGUGGCGGGCAAAACGACAGGAAACUGUUUCACUUUCUUCAUCAGAAGCAGAAUAUAAGGCUAUGGCAAGUGCUUGUUGUGAGUUAAUUUGGCUUCGGUUUCUAUUGAAAGACUUGAACAUUCCUUUCGAUGGUCCUUCCGUUUUAUUUUGUGAUAAUCAAGCAGCAUUACAUAUAGCAGCUAAUCCUGUUUUUCAUGAGCGGACUCAUCACAUUGAGAUGGAUUGUCACUUUAUACGAGAUAAGAUUGCAGAUGGCACUAUAGAAACCAAGUAUGUUGGUACGGCACACCAGUUGGCGGAUUUGUUUACCAAGCCUCUCGGGAAAGACAAGUUUUCGAGUAUGUUACGCAAGUUGGGAGUUCUUGACAUCCACUCUCCAACUUGAGGGGGGGUGCUAGACAAGUAGAAACGUAGUUGGAAUCUAUGUAUAAUUGUAAUCCUAGUUAUAGUUGUAUUCCUAACUUGUGGGAUAAUUUCUUGCUGACCAAGUUAUGUAAUUGUAUAUAUUUGUGUUUCACGUAUCAAUGAAAUGCGCUUCAAACCCAUAUAUCUUUUUCUACAUAUUUUAAAUUGCAUACAAGCAAGCUUCCGCCAUUUAAUUGUUGAAAGUAUGCCAUUUCUUGCUUAAUGAACUUAGAUUUUCAUAAAUUUUCCUUCAGUUAUAUGGAUCCCCAAGCCUUCCGGCAGAAAUUCAGCAAUAAUAAACCUGGGUUUUGGUCACAUUCGCUAUUGAAGAUAAACCAACUUCGACAACCCGCUGCAGCGCAACCCACGAGGUCACCCACCUUCAGCCCUCGCGGUUUGAAGUUUCGAUCGCCACGAUGCCAGCCUUAUUCCACAAUAGCAGCAGCACUCCAGAGACCCGUCGCUGCAACCCAUGAAGCUUCAACCCGCGGUUCGUACCACCAGACCCCAGCCGCAACCACAUUUGAAUCCCUCGGCAGCCGUCCCCCGAGCACAGCUUUCCCCGCGACGCAACUGCAGCUCAACCCACGACCAGUUUCGGUCACGAGCUUCGAGUUCAACCUUUGGUGGUCUCGCGUUUCCCAGAUCUUCAGUCAUGAACAAACGAUGGUCUUUGUGCAGCCCGAAAAGGCGGAGAUCGACGAGGAUAAGGAAAGAAAUGGAUGAAGGGAUAAGGAAGGAAAGAGAGAGUUGUGUGGCUGUGCGACCGUUUGGAUGAGAGAGACGGAAACAACAAUAGAAAAGGCGCUGGCUGCUGCAACAAGAAGGCUGGGUCCAAACUUGAGCCUAGUGGCCGUCCAGCACAAAAGGGAGAAGGUGCUGCAAUGGUUAAGCGGCGUGGGCCUCCUCUCCUCUUGGCCUUGAGCUAUUAAAAAUAAAAAAUAAAAAUCAGGGAGGCAACAAAGAAAUUGAAUAAAACAAAGAUAUGUGGCCUUAUAAAAGAAGGCUCAAAUGUACACCAGAAGAAGGAAGGCAGAGAAUUUUUGAAAUUUGUGUUCCUUCGGUGACUCGGGAAAUUAAGACACCUUCUUUAGCAACUCUCCUUAUUCGGAGAUUUCGACAGACUCCACUAUAUGCUACUACAUUUCGAUAGUCAUAAGUUUCGUAAUUACUCAAUGACUUGGAUUUUGUAAGUCCCAACUAAUAAACUUUCCUCACUCGAGAACUUGGGAGAGAACUAUUUGUAUUAUACUUGACCAAUCCUGAAACUAUCGUGCAUUGGUCAACUUCCUACCUUCAAGGACCCACUGAAGGGUUCGUGCUGAGGCACUCCUGCCGAAGCACAAGAGUUUCUCUCCAAUUAGAAUGCCAAUUUAGUUCCUGAAUUAUCACAUGAGUGAAAAUUAGGUCCCUAACUUCUUCUUUUUUCAGAAAAAUUAGUCUUUGAAUUAUAAAACUCGGUCAAUUACAUCCCUAAUAUUAGAUUUGAAGCUACGAUAUUCAAUUUUCCAUCAACUUAAGUCAUGGUACAUGCAUGUGAUACACAUUUGAGGGUAGAUUGGUAAUUUUACAUAAAGAAUAGUGUUUGGUAAUUUUACUUAAGUUGAUGAAAAUUGAAUAAAAAAAGCUUUGAAUAUAAUAGUAGAGAUGAAAUUAGUAAUUAACCGAAAAAUAAUUCAAGCACCUAAUUUUUACUAAGAUAACAAUUCAGGGACAUUUUAUCCUAAAUCAAUUGCAUCUUUUGGGUUUCUCACCACUCCUUGAAACAUCAAUUCAUUUAUGCACUUCCAAAUUCUCCAAAGAACAAAAACCACCUCCUACAUAAUCUCCUCUCUCCGCUGCUCAUCCUUACAUCGCAUACCAAUAUACUCCAACACGCACGAAAAUCAAUCCCCACAAACGCCGUUGCAUCCAGUUGUAAUGAGCAGCAAUACCAAAUGACACGACUAAAUUUACACCCAAAAAAUAGGUGUUCUUCCAUUUCCUCAGCACACCCACAAAGGACACAUGAAUUGUCCACUCUCAUCCUCCUACGAAUUAGAUUGCACCGAACAGCCAUAGAGUUGUUACAACACCUCCAAAUAAAAAAAACUUCAUUUAUUUGGCACAUGUAAUCUCCAUAUAUUCGGAUUAUUGUUUAAGUGUCGAUUAACGUGUUUAUUUCUUAUUGGUGACACAUAAUUUGGUUUGAAAUUGACUUAUAAAUUUGGUUAAUCUAGCAUUACUCACUAGACACAGUCAGACUCAUUCACAAUCUAACAAAUGUCCCUAACUUAAGCCAUUUGUCUCCCCAAUAUACUUGGGUGUAGAAAACUGAUUAUAGCAGUAUGCUUCUAUUGAACUUGAACUCAAUGUUCUAAACCUUCUUCCCAUAAUUUAGAUUAGAUUAGAAUAUUGCUCAAAUUAGAAAAUUUAGAUUAGAUUAGAAUAUUGCUCAAAUUAACAUUCUUCCCAUAAUUUAGAUUAGAUUAGAAUAUUGCUCAAAUUAGAAAAUUUAGAUUAGAUUAGAAUAUUGCUCAAAUUAGAAAAGCUAGAUGUAGCCCCAAACUUAAUCCGCAUGAUGAACAUGCAAAGUAUGAUUACGUUGUAAACACUUAUUUAAAUAAUAUUGAUCAUUCUUGCUAUAAUAUCUCACCUACUGAAGCGUGCACAUUGCCUCGCUUUUAAAAAUAUUAACUUUCAUCCAGAUUUAGUGGUUGACUAGAAAGGAUAAUACUUUCGAAAGUUGUUGCUUUAAUAAAAUUAUUUUACACUAAGAUUUCCACACCUUGGUGAAUCAAAAAAGUAGUUUGGCGGAAAGCAAAUUUUUUAAUCAAAAAAGUAGUUUGGCGGAAAGCAAAUUUGUUAAACACUCGCCUUUGUUUUGGUUGCUUGUAUUUUAUCAAAACUUAGUGGGUGGGCAAUGCAUAAUUCAAUAUUAUAAUGCAUAUAGAUUAUUGGGCGAACUAGAAAAAGCAGUAAAUUAGGUGGAAAGAAAAUUUGUUAAGGACUCACCUAUAUCUGGUGCAUAAAAAAACCUCAUUUUAUCAAUCAUGUUGUCUAGUGAAAUUAUUGUAUAGCUUAGUGCUUGAUGUAGUUUAUCAAGUGGAAUUAUUCUGCUUUCGUAGCUGAUUGUGCUUCUUCUUGGUCUUAAUUUGACUCUAAUGAACAUGGUUGAACUUGAAGGAAUGUACAGCUUCAAAGUGCUUUACCCUAGGAUUUCAGUACCUUGAUGAAUAAAAAAAAUAGUUUGUUGGAAAGCAAAUUAGGUAAAGACUCACCUAUAUGUGGUGCAUCAAAAAGUUUCAAUUUAUCAAUUAUAAUGUCUACUGAAUUAUUGUAUAGCGGGCAUUUCUAAUGGGGACGCUAAAUGGUGUCUCCACAACCUUAUAGCCUCUAAAUAUAUGGACAAAGGGUUUUCAAUAGGCUUCUAAUGAGCUGGACUAAAGGUUGUUACAGUAUCCUAGUGUAUAGAGACUCGCCGGAUACCUCAAAAAAAAUCUCAAAUGUAAAGACCGCAUAGGGACUCAAAUAGUACGCCCAAAUGUUGAUUUUGAGUGGGAAACAAACCUCACCCACGUGAUAAUGUUGCACAGAAGCUUCUCUCACCACCAAACUGACGCAACAUCACUCAUGGACCCUUACCGCACUUGUGUCAUUUUCUUUUCUUUUCUUUUUUUUUUGUUGAACCAUUGAGAAACCAACGGUUGAGUUUUUUUUUUUUUUUUUUUUUCUUGUUUUUAUUAGCAACCACAAUACUCUAACGAAAUUAACAAUGAUUUUUUUUUAAUAUUUUAGUCCCUACAUUUAAAGAUUCUAUUAUAAGGUCUCCCAUUGAAGAUGCUCUUGGUACUCGAUGAACUUUAUCAAGUGGAAUUACUUUGCUUUCCUUAGUAAUUGUACUUGGUCUUAAUUUGACUCUAAUGAACAUGGUUGAACGUACUGCUUUUAUUACUACACAUGAAUCCCUGCAUUGGAUGCAUUGAGAAGAUUUUACAUCAGUGUGGGGAUCAGGUUUGUUGUUGAAUUUUGGGAUGUUUGUGGCACAUUGAUAUUCAACAGGUCAUGGAGAUAUUCAUACUUCAAGUACUGCAAUGUUGUAAACGAUGGGGUUUAGGAAAGGGUGGAGUUGACAGAUAAUACUUUGAUGUUGUUUUUGUGGAUGCAAAUUUCUUCCUCCUUGAUUUUGGACAAAAUUGCACCUACAAAACAAUUAACAUCUUAGGUCAAGGCCAAGAGCCUCAAGGGCCCAUGAUGAAUGGGGGGCUUUGGCCGAAGAACCUCCGAUGCCAAAGUUAGAAUUUAGAGAGAAAAAGUGUUUGAGAAUUCUAGAGAAUUUUAGCAAGAGUUGGAACUAGUUUUUGGGAGAGAAUGGUGAGCUAUAUAUAGGGAUACGGGCGGCCCUAUUAGGAGAAUAGAGACCGGUCAUUUAGGUAUUUUUGGUUGUAAAUUGUGGUUGAUUAGCCAUUAAUAGUUUAAUUAGGCAAUAAAUCUAUUAAUGGACUAAUUGACAUAUUUUGAAAGAAAUUAUUUGGGGAGUUAUGGAAUGAUUAAAAUAAUUAGCUAAUUGAUUAGCUAAAAAUGGAAAAAUGAGGUAGAAAAUAUAUGGAAUGAAAUAGGUUUUGGGAGUUACCUUGUAGAAGGGAUUUGAUGAGAUAGGUUUUGAAUUGUUACCUAUUUUGGGCACUUUUGAUUUAGUUGAAGGAUGAUUGCUCGCUGCUCGUGCAUAGGAAUCUCGUUGUACCUCAAGGGUAUUUUUAUCCUCUUUUAUCCAAAAAUCCACGUGUCGCAUUAUGAUUACUUUUGGCUCCACAGUUUUAGCAGCAUCUUUUUGGCUCAUGCAUAUCUUGGUGACACUCCUGCAUCUACCAUUCAGUUGGAGACGGAGAUUGGUGACUGCACUUUUAAAAUUAUGACGGACAACUACUAGUGUACUUAACUUGUAUUUGAUUUUGUGGCCUUGUCUCAAUGUCGACAAUUUGCGCACUAUAUUUUUACUUUUGAGGAAGCAGCAUAUGAAAGAUUCAUGCCAAAGGGUAAGGCAAAUACAUGUAAAAAUAUGAAGACAAAAAAUCACUAAUUCAAGUCAAUACAUUUUCUAUUUGCAUUGUAGAAAUUUUGAUUUUGUUCAUCACUUAUUGUCUCCUCUUGUAUGAAAAAGUUGUUCUUUCUAAUACCAUGGAAUUUUUUAUUUUGCAUUGUGAAAAUUUUGAUUUUGUUCCGCUUUUUACCGUGAAUUCGGCAACUAUUUUCGUCGAGUGAAGUAUUGUCACGUCCUGGACUCGAAAUGAGUGAAAGAAAUGAUCUCGGGCCCGUGUGUGAAUAAAAAUAAAAUAAAUAAAAAGAAACUAAAACAGGUUUGAAAACUAGCUCAUUUAAAAAUGAUGCAGAAGAAUAAAUAGGCUGGUAAGCUGAAAUGAAUGGAAAAUUGAUUUAUUUAAUAUACGAGUCAACUACACAAUAAAUCAGAAUUUACUAAAAUACAAUAAUCACCAUUCAACUUCACGUAAAUUUCACGAAUCCCUUAAUUCUCUAAAUUGAUUUGCAGCCUUAGAUGCUUGGAUUCGACUCCCUGAUCACUGAUGUGAAAAUUGUACUGUAAUCCGACUUAACUCAAGUUAUGAAAAUACAGUAAAGAAGUUGGAAGGCUACAAAGUUCCCUCUGUCUCACUUUCCUUCUUUUUCUUCGGAUCUGAAAACUAGGAAAACAAAUGUUGUUUUCCUCUUCAUUCUUUUCUCUUUCUUUGUGGUCCAAUCAAAAUCCUUCAUAUGUGACCCCAUGUCAUCCUUCAUAUGUGGCUAGCUAUCAAUUUGUCACGUGGCCAAGUCAACCAUUUGUCGUUGCCAAAUGUCAAUCAUUUGGUCAUCCUCUAAACUAACAAAUAUUCCGAAAGAUACUAUCAUAUCACCACUAGUUUCAUCCUACUAUUUCCGGAUCAUCAAUUGUUCUCAAUCAAAAUAAUAUUUUUUUCCGAUAUCUUAGUCGUCCGAAAUAACGACUACUUGUGAAACAUUAAUAAUUUCAGGGUUUCACAACCUUCAUCUACUCUUCACGAUCUUCAAGUUGGUAUACUUUGUUCCUGCAUUAAUAGUCGUUUUGGAGUCGGAUGUUUAGAAACCUAUAAAGCUGGUUUUGGCCGGUGAUUUUGGUCAGUUGCCGUCUAGAAUUGAUUGUCGUGAUAGUUAUAAAAGUUAAUCCUUAUGUUGAGUUCUAUAUGCCUGUACAAUUUGGUGUGUCAGAAAAUUGGGUUUCUAGUUUCAUAAUCAUAUCAACACUAAAUCAGGCCCAGAAAGGUGGCGUUAGAAAAAUCUGUAUGUCCCUCAAAACUUGUAGAAGGAACCUUCCUUAAAAAUCACCAUCUUGACCGGCUUAUAGAACAACUAAGCCCAAAAUUUCAAACUGACAGCACUGCGCAGUCAACCUUCUUUUCUUUGCUACAGUCAAAUGGCAUGGAAUAAAAAUCUUGAAUUUUUACACUAUUAACUUGAAAGAUCACAAACACACAUAAUUACUUCAAAUUCCUUUUUUUGAUAACUUUUUUCCCUACAAACGAAAUAUAGAAUAAAGUAUUAAAAUUAUACCAAAAUAGUUAAUAAAUUAUAUCUAAGACUAUGGUAAAAAUAUAGAAUAAUGUUGACUCAUCAGCAAGUAUUGAAAUAAUAGUUUAACACAUUUUUAUUUGGCCUAUCGAUUCACCAAACAUAUACAUACACAUAACUAGAGACAGCAAGAGAGAGAAUAGUGGGAAUCAUUCAUCCCACAGUCCCACGCAUGGAUUCUCCCCAAUUCAACGAAAGUCCUCUUCCUUAUGUACACAAAAUAACAACAAACACGUUUUUGAGUAAUUAUAUAUCUGCCUGCCCCUUUUACUUUUGACUUUAAAGAAAGCGGCCCAUGCGAUGUACGAUUCAUGCCUAACUCUAAAGGCAAAUACAUUAUUCUAACAAACUAUUAAAACUUAAUAGAGGUAAUUUGGAUUUCAGAGAAUUUUAAUGGAUUUUUUUUAAGUGAUAAAUUUGAAAAAAAUUUAAUAGAUUCAUAAUUUUACGUGGAUUUUGACAAAUGUAUAUGGAUUCCUAUUAUAGAUUUUUAUGGAUUUGAAUGGAUUUCUUUCAUGGAUUUCUUAGGAUGCUAGUUGACUCCUACAACAUAAAAUGAAUUUCUUUCGAGUACACAAUAUGAAAAGAACAUAAACUGAAAGGAACAUAAACAUAUAUCUAUUGAUAUAGAAUACAAACCAAUCAAAUAUGUAAAUAGAAUGGGUCAUUGAGAAUAUUGAUCCAAGAGUUUGAAUAAUUGUAAAUGAUAGCUUCUGCUUUAGAACAUCAUAUCCAUUCAAGAAUGAUGAUUUCAAGUUUAAGAACAGGAUAUCCAAUCAUGAAUAAUAAUAUAUGUGAAAGAAUAUCAAAUGACAAUCGAAAUUGAGUAGGGACAUAUUUGGGCUGCAAAAUCCUGGGAUAAAAACAUUUUAACCAUGACAAAAAAAAAAAAAAACAUUUGAACUCAAACAAAAACAUGGUCACUAAUUUGCGGGAAAAAAAGGCUUAAAUCAAAAGUGCAAAUGGGAAAAGCCCAACUUAGAAAAAUCAGAAGUGCAAAUGAGAGAAUCUCAAUUCGGAAAAAGCACGAGUAUGAAGCAAAACAACAUACAACUAUAAUCCAAAUUAAAAAAAAAAAAAAUCAUGGUCCAAUUGUUACUCAUCUUCCCAGAGGAACAAACCAAGAGCAUGAAUUCAGAAAAAUACAUAAACAAUGCGAAAAACGGGGAGUCUACCGGGAAAUGCUCUAAAGUCUAAACUCAUGGUAGGAUUGUCCACUUUCUACUGUUUGGUGUGAAAAGAAAUCUUAGGGGGAGGGUAGGAUUGUCGAUACCAUUUGGGUAUUUAGAUCACCCACUCUCAAAUCCAUUAAAAUCCUUCAUUCACAAAAAUUCUAACAAAUGUUUGACAUUUCCACUACAUCUAGAUUUGUAUGGACUUUUAAAACUUUUGAUUGACUACCCAUGAAUUUGGAUAUAUUUUUUAAAUCCUCCUAAAUCUUAAUUUGACUACACCAUGAUUUUAAAAUCUUUUAAAAUCCACAUUUAAACUCCUAAUUGACUACACGCUGAUUUUAAAGUUUAUUAAAAUACUACUAAAUCCUAGUUUGACUACAUCCGAUUAGUUUCCCAACCAACAUUUAUUCACACCCAACACAUUACACUGUCAGGUGUUUUUCCAUACCACGAGUCCUGACCAUUUGAACUACACUUGCAGCUUUCCUUUUGCUCCUAAAUCAAAAUCCUGAAUCCACAGUUUUUCUUCUUCCUUCUUCAAUUGUCUUUUGGUUGAUUUAGUUCAAUUAAGAUGGAGGGUGACGGAAUCAAGUGCUUGAACAAACUCUGUCGUGCUUUAAUUGGGGUGCUAAUUUUACUACAAUGUGUUGUCAACCCUUCCCAUUCCCUUGGAUUCAAUAAUAUUUCUUCAGGAGGAGUGACGAGGUGCUUUGAGAGGGAAAGAGAAGCACUCCUUGCUUUCAAACAAGGCCUCGUGGAUCACUACAAUCUCCUCUCUUCGUGGGGAAGAGAAGAUCACAAGCAAGAUUGUUGCAAAUGGGUAGACGUCCACUGCAGCAACCGAACCAACCAUGUUACUCAACUUCAUCUUGGACGGGAAAGUCUCGUGCAUGUCGUACAGCGUGUCCCGCCUCCCCCGGUUCUCAGGGAUGAAACCAGAAAUUUAACUAAGAGGGGGCACCUUAAAAAAUUUGAGCUCAUUUUUUUGACAAAUAAAGUUAGUUCUUUUACAAAUGUUGAAAAAAUUAAUUACAAAAUGCCUAAUUUUAUUACUCUAUUGUCUAAUUUUGUUUUUAAUUGUUGACAAUGUAAUGCUCAUUUGUACUAAUUAACCAAAUACAUGUAACUCAAUAAGGUUUAGACAUUAGUGUGUGAAAAAAAUAUACAAGACGGAUGAGCAUUUGAAAACUAAAAAAAGAUUUUCACUAUUUUAAUAUAAUUAAUUGAAUAAUCUGCCAAGCAAAAAAAAUAGGAAUGAUUAAUUGAAUAAUUUGUCCUGAGAGACCACGUGUCGUGAGCCGUUCCUGCUGCGACUCAGCGCUUUGUUCGCAGAGAUGAGCGAUAGGAUCGUCCCCGUGGCGGUCGACUGUAAGCAGAGCAUGUUCUACGGGACCACCGUCCGUGGGGUCAAGUUCUGGGACCCCUACUUCUUCAUGAACCCGAGGCCGACGUACGAGGCCACGUUUCUGGACCGGCAGCCGGACGACAAGUUUCUAAUUCCACAAAAUACAAAAAGACUUAAAAAAUGUAAACAGAAUGAAACAAUCAACGCGGAAUUGUGUUGAUUGUUGCAGGCUUUGUCAUUAUUUUGGAGAGAAGAGUCAACGUCUAAUUACUACACCUACCUACAGAAAAGUAGGUGGUCCACUCACACAUGUUCCAUACUUGACCAUCUGAAUCAAGACAACUCAGUGUGUGGAUCGUAUUGUGAACUAUUACGUAGUCACCCAGCCUUAUAAUACACUCGCAUCUUUCCUUGUGCUCCUAAAUCAAUACUGAUUGUACACUUCUUCUUCUUCAUUCUUCAAUCAUCUUUGCCUUGAUUUUGUUGAAUUAAGAUGGAGAAUGACGGAAUCAGGUGCUUGAAGAAACUCUUUCACACUUCCAUUGUGGUUCUACUUUUUCUACAAUGUUUCAACCCUUCCCUAUCCUCUGGAUUCUAUAAUGUUUCUUUCGGUUUCGGAGCAAUUGGCCACCGGGUGGUGACGAGGUGCAUAGAGAGUGAAGGGGAAGCACUCCUUUCUUUCAAACAAGGUCUGAUUGAUGACUACAAUCUCCUCUCCUCCUGGGGAAGAGAAGAACACAAGCAAGAUUGUUGCAAAUGGCUUGGCAUCCACUGCAGCAACCGAACCAACCAUGUUGCUCAACUUGAUCUUGGAUGGAAUCAUAUGAAUGAAGUUUACUCACUUCAACAGAAAGAACAGCAGGAGUAUCCCGAAUAUUACUUUCAAGGUAAAAUGAUGAGUCCUAAACUAAUUGAGUUGAAGCAUUUGAAAUAUUUGGACUUUUCUUCCGUUAACUUCACUGGGACCCAGCUUCCAGAUUUCAUUGGUUCUCUUUCCAAUUUAAGACACCUCGGUCUCUGGGAUGCUUCUUUUGGUGGUCGAAUUCCAACUCAGAUCGGAAACCUUACCCACUUGCAAUAUCUUGAUCUCAGAUCCAAUCACUUUGCUAAUAUAGAAAACCUGAAUUCAUGGUUGCCUCGUCUUUCUUCUUUAAUAUAUUUGGACCUGAGUUUCAACAAUCUUAGUAAUGUUCCUGACUGGUUGGAAAUAGUUAGUAAGCUCCCUAAACUUACAAACUUGUCUCUGUCUUCUUGCAGUCUUCCAUCUCCUCUAAUUCAUUCCAGUACUCUUUUUAACAUAAAUUCUUCUAAAUCUCUUGCUCAUGUUGAUCUCAGUUACAACCAACUCACAUCUUCUUCCAUAUUUCUUUGGUUGUCCAAAUACAAUGCCAGCCUUGUUCAUCUUGAUCUCAAAUACAAUAACUUUGCUAAUGUAGAAAAUCUGAAUUCAUGGCUGCCUCAUCUUUCUGCUUUAACAUAUUUGGACCUGAGUUACAGCAAUCUCAGUAAUGUUCCUGACUGGAUGGAAGCAGUUAAUAAGCAUCCUAAACUUACAAACUUGUCUCUGUCUAAUUGUGGUCUUCCUUCUCCUCUAAUUCAUUCCAGUACUCUUUUUAACAUAAAUUCUUCUAAAUCUCUUGCUCAUGUUGAUCUCAGUUACAACCAACUCACUUCUUCCAUAUUUCUUUGGUUGUCCAAAUAUAAUUCCAGCCUUGUUCAUCUUGACCUCUCUUACAACCAGUUAACUGGCUUAUUUCCCGAUGUCAUUGGAAACAUGAGCUCUCUUGCAUAUCUAGAUCUCUCUUCUAACCAAUUUGAAGGGGUGAUUUCAGAAAGUCAUUUCUCGGGUCUCUCCAGAUUAAGAUCUUUGUAUCUGUCCUCUACCUCACUAACUUUAAACUUCCAUUCUAAAUGGGUUCCUCCCUUCCAAUUGGAUUAUAUAAUCUUGGGGUCUUGCAAGAUGGGUCCACAUUUUCCAAAUUGGCUUCAAACUCAGAAAAGUUAUUGGAGCCUUGAUAUUUCUAAUGCAGGAAUUUCUGAUAUCCUUCCAAGUUGGUUUUGGGAAAGGCUGUCUCAUGCUCGUGAAAUUGGUUAUGUAGAUCUCUCCAACAACCAAAUCAGAGGAACAAUUCCAAACUCGCAAAUCAAUUUUGUAUGUUU
rnacentral:lncRNA from 1 species